UUUGAAUGCCCAAAUAUAUUCACAUGCUCAUACACCAUACAACAUUUUUAAUAAUGCAUUAUGCAUUAGAAACAUAACAUCAAACAAAGAGUUCAGCACCAAGGACAACGCAUGAAAGUCCACACAUUAAACCAAAAGAAACACAAAUGGGCAAGCAACAUUAUUUUUUUGAGGUUCGCAUAGUAAUGACUAAAUACACAACAUUACAUUACUCCUGUGCUGUCAACAAUUCUUCUAACUUCUUCAGCAAUGUGAAGCCAAUUUGUAUCCCAUUGCCAAUGGAACAGUUGGAAUUAUUUCCCACCAAUCUAAAACAUAUUCGCAGCACCAACCUUGAAAGCAUUCAACAUGGGAUUGUUCUUCUAGGAAAACAUGAUAUCAAACUUUUGAGCAAAUAGUACAGCAUCAAGUCCAAAUAUAUUCACAGCUCAAAGACACGUGUCUCCAUCUUCUUUCCACCCGUAAAAUCUGGUCCACUCUCUAUUAAUGCUUGAAUCUUCAGCUACUUCAGAUACCUGUAAACCAAUUCAAGCAUGGCAUGCUCAUUUUAACUUGUAAAUCUUAUUAUUGAGCCAAACAAGAAACAAACACACUAAAAGAGAGGCAAGAAAUCAAGUCAAAUCAGCAGCACCUUUGAUUGAGCACUCAUUGAACCAUCUGGAGUAGUAGCAAAUUUUGUGGUCAGCUUUGGACAUUGAUGGACCUUUAACUUCUCCAAACGAGGGAAUAAGAAAUAAUCACACCAUCCGAAACUAAAACAGACAAUACUUGAUAAUUGUUCUAGCCACAACACCUUUAGAUUAGGAAGCACUAUCUCCUUCUCAACGUUGACAGGUGAAGCUUGAUCAUCCUGCCCAGGAGACUCUGGAAUUAUUUCCCGUUCACCAUCCUCUUCUCUGAUAAUAUGCUUCAAUUCACCGCAAUCACUUAUGCGAAGGCUUUCUAGCUUUGGCAGCCUUUGAGCGAGGGACGGUGUGAAGAUAAAUGCCAGUUUGUCGAGAGAAUCCAAAUACAGACAAGCAAGACUUCGGAGGCUGACAUGUCCGGUGGGCCCCUUCCAUAUGCAUUUGAGCUCGGGUAACUUUGACAGCUGUAACUGUGUUAAAGAUGACAGCAGCGGCAGCUCCUUCUCCUCACUGCUUCCUUCAUCAGCCUCACCCAAUUCAAAUACCUCUUCCAAUGAUUUGCAGUCCUUAAUUUCCACACUCUUUAGAUUUUUCAGAGCUUGCAGCAAUUUUGCUGGAAACGGAGCGCGAACAUCCCCACAAUCGUCCAAAUGUACAGAUUCUAAUCUUUGUAAGAAGCCGUUUUGCUGCCCAUGGAAGGCCAUCUUAUCAGAGAACAAUAUUAUAUUUUUUUCAAUCUCAAGAAAACAAUUUAUAUGAUGUAUAAAUAGGAGAAAAAAAUAGAAAAAACAGGAUUAAAUACUUUUUAGAGAUUACAUAUUAUUGUUUUAAUUUUUUUCUUAAUUAGAGAUAAGUUGAAUAAUAAUUAUAUUUUUGUGAAUAAAAGGUUAAUACAACUCCUAAUAAUUAGUUUCAUGUCAAAAAUAAAAAUAAAAAUACUAACUAAGAUUUUUAUUUUAGUUAUAAAGUUAAUAAAUUUUUAAAGAUAUUUUAAUUGACUACAAAAUUUUCAACACAAAAUUUAUGCUCUUAUAUAUUAAUAAUUUUUUUGUGAAGUUAUUUGAUGUACUUUUAUAUAAAAAUCAUUUUUUUUUUAAUUAUGUGCAUAGUUGUUCUUAUAUAUUACAUGGAAGGGUUUCGUAAUUAAGUAAUGGUAUGAUUGUUCUUGAAUGUAUCAGGAUUAAUUAAAAGGGAUAUAUAGACAAAAUUAUCUUCAAGGAGUGGAAUGUUUCAUUAAUUUUAUAAUUUAUAAACUGAAUAAUAUUAGUGCAGAUGAAAAUAGAUGUUCAUAUAUAAAGUGUAAAAAUAAAAAGUUUCACCGAAAAGAUGUCCAUUGUCAACUUAAGCCUUUUUUUUGUUUUACUUUUUUAACUUUUACCCUAUUCCAUUAAAUGUUUUUAUUUAAAUAAUGAUCUUUUACAUUUUUGUUUUUUAUUAUUAUAUACUUUGAAAAGAUUAGUUUUAGUUGUAUCAAAAACAUUCUUAUAUUUUAUAUGAAUAAGUUGUAUUAGUAUGAAGAUUUUUAUAAAAACCAAAAAUUAUUUUUUUAUUAGUAACAUUUGGCCACUAAGAUUAAAUGAAUGAAAAAUUUUAAAAUAAAAGGGAUUGUCAAUGUAAACCAUUUGCAUGUGAAAUUAUUUAUUUUUACCGAGAUAAGUUUUUUGUUUUAAUAUUAAAUUAGUAUUAAUAACUCUUUUGCAUUUAUUACUUCAUAUAUUUAUUAGUAUAUUUUAUAAAGUAUAAACUAUUCACUUCUCAAUUAAUAAAAUUAAUGAUAAAUAAGAACAUAUCUAUAACAUAAUUGUUAUUUGUUUUCAUGUUAGAAAUUGACUUGAAAUCCUACUCUACUCAUAUAUAACAUUUUGUGUAAACAAUAUAUUUUUGUUUAUAAAUUAAAAAAAUCAUGAUAUUUUAAAAUGCAUUCAAAAUAAUAACAUAUUUUUUUAUUAUAUUUGAAAUUAAUUUAAAGUUUUACAUAGAUGAUAAAACUAGUUAAUUAACAAACAUUUAAAGAAGUAGGGGAUUCAAUGUGCAAAUUGCACCAUGUAUCCCAUCACAAAAUAUCAUGGAUUUAGUGUUUAUUUUUUUUUCUGUGUUUUUUUUAUUAUUUCUUUUUUAUUGGGGACUAAAAUGUAGGCCAGUUUAGAUUAAUCUAUUAGGCCAGUUUACCUUUAAUUUUUUUUUAAUUUGUUUUACUUAAAAUUUUUCUAUGUAUUUUUAAAAUUAUUUUUUUAUUUUUUUAGUCUUUUUUAAAUAGAGAUUAUUUUUAAUUAUUUGAUAUAUAUUUAAGUUUUAAAAGAUUAUUAUAAUUCAUCUAUAAAUUUUAUUUUUAUGUUCUAUAUAAAUGAAUUUUAUUUUUAAAAAUAAAAAAUAUUUAUGUAUAGAUAAAUUUUUUAAUAUGUUCUAUAUAAAUGAACCCUUCCAUAAUUUUGGUAAGUAGAUGAACGAAUUGUCCAUAUAAAACUUCAGCAAAAAAACUUAUCAACAAAAGGAUAGAAGUAGACAUGGCAACAAGGCAUGGGAAUAUGAAAUCAUAAGCUGCAGGACUGAAACAAACAACUCAAUAUUAGCAGAUGAAGGUUCAUCUUCCUCUUCAAAUACUUCCAUUAAUUGGGGGAAGAGCCUCAAUUUCACUCAAACUGGGGAAAGCAUAAAUUAAGAUUGAAAAAUCUGGAUAUCAUUUCAUUACAAUAAUUAAAUUCUUACUUCUUAAGCCCUGCAUCAAGAGACAAGGAAUGAUACAGUUAGACAACUUUCAUUACUCAAAGUUAUGUUCUUAUAUAUUAAAUCUAACAGAUAAUAUGAUUUCUAUGAUUAAUUGUUGGUAUUAAUAACACAAACAACAAUGAGACAGUUAAGUUUCUUAUAUUUAUAUAAUUAUAAAAAAUAAAAAUAAAUAAAUAAGCUACUAUGUUUGUUAUAUAAUUAAAAAUAAGCAAACUUGGAUUUCCUCGCAUUUAUCAAUUACUUUACUUUUAGAAAUUGGGAGGAAGAAAGAAUAAAUUAUCGCAAUUCACAAUUUAAAAUAGUGGAGAAAUAUAAAUUACGUACUUGUAGCUGUGCCAACCAAUUACCCACUUCUUCGUGGCCUUCAAUGGUUAAGUGUUUCAAAGGCAAUUGAGCAUCAAAAUUCCUUGGACCUAAAAAGCUGUAAUUUGAUCUGAGCUCAAGAGACAAUUUUCUUAGUUGGGGGAACUUGAUGAUGCCAUCUCUGUUAUGAGACAAAGAGACUGGGAAGACAUAUUCCAGUUUAUCACAGAAAGAUAUGUUGAGAGUUUUUAAUUCUGGGAAGCAAGAAGACUCUGGAAUUAUUUCCCGUUCACCAUCCUCUUCUCUGAUAAUAUGCUUCAAUUCACCGCAAUCACUUAUGCGAAGGCUUUCUAGCUUUGGCAGACUUUGAGCGAGGGACGGUGUGAAGAUAAAUGCCAGUUUGUCGAGAGAAUCCAAAUACAGAUGAGCAAGACAUCGGAGGCUGACAUGUCCGGUGGGCCCCUUCCAUAUGCAUUUGAGCUCGGGUAACUUUGACAGCUGUAACUCCGUUAAAGAUGACAGCAGCUCCUUCUCCUCACUGCUUCCUUCAUCAGCCUCACCCAAUUCAAAUACCUCUUCCAAUGAUUUGCAGCUGGCAACAAUCAACUCCUUUAGAGUUUUCAAAUUGAUUUGCAGAAAUUUUGCUGUAACAUCCCCACAUUCGUUCACUCGUACACAUUCUAAUCUUUGUAGGGAGCCAUUUUGCUCCCCAGGGGCGGCCAUCUGAUCAGAGAACAAUAUUAUAUUUUUUCACUCUCAUAAAAACAAUUUAUAUGAUGUAUAAUUAGGAGAAAAAAAUAGAAAAAACAGGAUUAAAUACUUUUUAGCGAUUACAUAUUAUUGUUUUAGUUUUUAUUUUAAUUAGAGAUAAGUUGAAUAAUAAUUAGAUUUUUGUGAGAAAAAGGUUAAUACAACUCCUAAUAAUUAGUUUCAUGUCAAAAAUAAAAACAAAAAUACUAAGUAAGAUUUUUAUUUUAGUUAUAAAGUUAAUAAAUUUUUAAAGAUAUUUUAAUUGACUACAAAAUUUUCAACACAAAAUUUAUGCUCUAAUAUAUUAAUUAUUUUUUUGUGAAGUUAUUUGAUGUACUUUUGUAUAAAAAUCAUUUUUUUUAUUCUGUGCAUAGUUGUUCUUAUAUAUUACAUGGAAGGUUUUCGUAAUUAAGUAAUGGUAUGAUCGUUCUUGAAUGUACCAGGAUUCAUCAAAAAGGAUAUACAGGCAAGAUUAUCUUCAAGGAGUUGAAAGUUUCAUUAAUUUUAUAAUUUAUAAAUUGAAUAAUAUUAGUGCAGGCAAAAGUAGAUGUUCAUAUAUAAAGUGUAAAAAUAAAAAAUUUCACCGUAAAGAUAUGUUCAUUGUCAACUUAGGCCCUUUUUUAUUUUACUUUUACCCUAUUCCAUUACAAUUUUUUAUUUAAAUAAUGAUCUUUUAUAUUUUUGUUUUUAAUUAUUAUAUACUUUGAAAAGAUUAGUUUUAUUUGUAUCAAAAACAUUCUUAUAUUUUACAUGAAUACGUUGUAUUAGUAUGAAGAUUUUUAUAAAAACCAAAAAUUAUUUUUUUUAUUAGUAACAAUAUUUGGCCACUAAGAUUAAAUGAAUGAAAAAAUUUAAAAUAAAAAGGAUUGUCAAUGUAAACCAUUUGCAUGUGAAACUAUUUAUUUCUACCGAGAUAAGUUUUUUUUUAAAUAUUAAAUUAGUAUUAAUAACUCUUUUGCAUUUAUUACUUCAUAUAUUUAUUAGUAUAUUUUAUAAAGUAUAAACUAUUCCCUUCUCAAUUAAUAAAUUUAAUGAUAAAUAAGAACAUAUCUAUAACAUAAUUGUUAUUUGUUUUCAUUUUAGAAAUUGACUUGAAAUCCUACUCUACUCAUAUAUAACAUUUUGUGUAAACAAUAUAUUUUUGUUUAUAAAUUAAAAAAAUCAUGAUAUUUUAAAAUGCAUUCAAAAUAAUAACAUAUUUUUUUAUUAUAUUUGAAAUUAAUUUAAAGUUUUACAUAGAUGAUAAAACUAGUUAAUUAACAAACACUUAGAAGUAGGGGAUUCAAUGUGCAAAUUGCACCGUGGAUCCCAUCACAAAAUAUCAUGGAUUUAGUGUUCACUUUUUUUUUGUUUUUUUAUUAUUUCUUUUUUAUUUAUUAACAACAAAAAUGUAGGCCAGUUUAGAUUAAUUUUUAAAGAAAAAGUAAGAUUAGAAGAUAGUAAACCAAAGUGAAAAAAAAAUAGUAAAUGGGUGGCUUUUUCAAACUUAUGCAAGGGAAGUUCAACUUAGAUAAUUUUUUUUACCUUUAAAUUUUCUAAAAAACUAGAUCUGAGAAUAUUUUUGGUUUUUUUUUUUUGUUUUAGUGUUUUGUGCGGUUUUUAAGGUCAUUGAUGGAUUUAUUAAAAUACUUAGGGUGUUAUCAAUAUUUUUUGAGUAAAAAAUAGGUUCUUAUACAUGUUGUCAACCUUUUUUUUUAAUUUGUUUUAAUUAAUACUUUUUUAUGUAUUUUUAGAAAUAUUUUUUUUAUUUAUUUAGCCAUUUUUAAAUAGAGAUUAUUUUUAAUUAUUUGAUAUAUAUUUAAUUUUUAAAAGAUUAUUAUAAUUCAUCUAUAAAUUUUAUUUUUACGUUCUAUAUAAAUAAACUUUAUUUUUUAAAAAAAAAAUAUUUAUGUUUAGAUAAUUUUUUAAUAUGUUCUAUAUAAAUGAACCCUUCCAUAAUUAGUUCCAUGUCUAAUUUUUAUCCAGAUAGAUUACCUCCAAAGUAGUCAAUUUGCGCAGCACGAGACCCUUCCAAAUACACCUCAUGUCAGGCAGAGACUUCAAGUAUAAUGUUUCCAAAUUUGUCAACCCCUGCAUCAAAAGAAAUUUUGUGCACUUUUGAACUAUAUAAUUUUGGUAAGUAGAUGAACGAAUUGUCCAUAUAAAAUUUCAGCAAAAAAACUUAUCAAUAAAAGGAUAGAAGUAGACAUGGAAACUCAAUAUGAAAUCAUAAGCUGCGGGACUGAAACAAACAACUCAAUAUUAGCAGAUGAAGGUUUAUCUUCCUCUUCAAAUACUUCCAUUAAUUGGGGGAAGAGCCUCAAUUUCACUCAAACUGGGAAAGCAUAAAUUAAGAUUGAAAAAUCUGGAUAUCAUUUCAUUACAAUAAUUAAUUUCUUACUUCUUAAGCCCUGCAUCAAGAGACAAGGAAUGACAAAGUUAGACAACUCCUUUUAAAUUUAGUGGAUGGCUAAAGGAUUUAUCUCCACUUAUCAAUUACUUCAGUUUCAGAAAUUUGGAGGAGAAAUCAACCUGUAUUGAUGUUGACAAUUUAAAAUAAGAAGGAAAAAAAAAUUUAUAUGAGAAAUAUAAAGGACGUACUUGGAGCUGUGCACACAAAUUUCCCAAUUCUUUGUGGCCAUUGAAUUUUAGAUAUUGCAAAGAAGGCAAUUGGGCAGCAAAAUUCUUUGGACCAAAAAAGCUGCAAUUUGAAAGAGACAACUUCUUAGCCGAGGGAACUUGAUGAUGAAAUCUGUGGGGAGUGCAUCUCCUUCUCCACUGUAAAAUAUUUGCUUUAAAUUGUCAGCACGAUCAAUCGUCAUCUCUUCCAGGUUCGGAAGGCUCGGAGACACAGAGACAGUGAAGACAUAUUCCAGUUUACCACAUCCAUAUAUAAGGAGAGAUUUUAAUUGUGGGAAGCGAGGAGACUCUGGAAUUAUUUCCCUUUCACCAUCCUCUUCUCUGAUAAUAUGCUUCAAUUCACCGCAUUCACUUAUGGAAAGUCUUUCUAGCUUUGGCAGACUCUGAGCGAGGGACGUUGUGAAGAUAAAUGUCAGUUUGUCAAGAAAAUCCAAUUUCAGAACAACAAGACUUUGGAGGCUGACAUUUCUGGUGGGCCCCUUCCAUAUGCAUUUGAGCUGGGGUAACUCUGACAGAUGUAACUUAGUUAAAGAUGACAGCAGCGGCAGCUCCUUCUCCUCACUGCUUCCUUCAUCAGCCUCACCCAAUUCAAAUACCUCUUCCAAUGAUUUGCAGUCCUCAAUUUCCACACUCUUUAGAUUUUUCAGAGCUUGCAGCAAUUUUGCUGGAAACGGAGCGCGGAUAUCCCCACAAUCGUCCAAAUGUACAGAUUCUAAUAUUUGUAAGAAGCCGUUUUGCUGCGCAUGGACCAUCUUAUCAGAGAACAAUAUUAUACUUUUUCACUCUCAUGAAAACAAUUUAUAUGAUGUAUCAAUAGGAGAAAAAAAAUAGAAAAAACAAGAUUAACAACAAUGAGGUGGUUAAGUUUCUUAUAUUUAUAUAUGUUUAGAUAAAAAAAAAUCAUAAAAAAAAAUAAGCUAUGUUUGUUAUAUAAUUAAAAAAAAUAAAUAAAACUUGGAUUUCCUAGCAUUUAUCAAUUGACAAUUUAAAUUAGUGGAGAAAUAUAAAUUACAUACUUGUUCUUAUAUUCAGUUACCCACUUCUUUGUGGCCUUUAAUGAUUAAUUUUAAGGAUAUUUUAAUUCACACAACUUAUGUUCUUAUAUAUGUUUAGAUAAAAAAAAAUUAUAAAAAAUAAAAAUAAGUGGAGGAAGAAAGAAUAAAUUAUCGCAAUUGACAAUUUAAAUUAGUAGAGAAAUAUAAAUUACGUACUUGUAGCUGUGCCAACCAAUUACCCACUUCUUCGUGGCCUUCAAUGGUUAAUUUUUGCAAAGGCAAUUGAGCAUCAAAAUUCAUUGGACUUAAAAAGCUGUAAUUUGAUCUGAGCUGAAGAGACAAUUUUCUUAGUUGAGGGAACUUGAUGAUGCCAUUUCUAUUAUGAGACAAAGAGACAUAUUCCAGUUUAUCACAGCCUUCUAUGAAGAUUUCUUUUAAUUGUGGGAAGCAAAGAGACUCUGUAAUUAUUUCCCUUUCACCAUCCUCUUCUCUGAUAAUAUGCUUCAAUUCACCGCAAUAUCUUAUGUGAAGGCUUUCUAGCUUUGGCAGACUCUGAGCGAGGGACGGUGUGAAGAUAAAUGUCAGUUUGUCAAGAAAAUCCAAUUUCAGAACAACAAGACUUUGGAGGCUGACAUGUCCGGUGGGCCCCUUCCAUAUGCAUUUGAGCUCGGGUAACUUUGACAGCUGUAACUCCGUUAAAGAUGACAGCAGCUCCUUCUCCUCACUGCUUCCUUCGCCGCACUCACCCAAUUCAAAUACCUCUUCCAAUGAUUCACAGCUGUAAACACUCACCUCCUUUAGAUUUUUUAAACCUUGCCGCAAUCUUGCUGGAAACAGAGUGAAAACAUCCCCACAAUCCAUCACGUCUACAGAUUCUAAUUUAUGUAAAAACAAUUGCUCAAAUGUCUUCGCAUUUAAGGAUGUACCAACCAAACUUAAGGAGGUUGGGUAUGGAUCCCUCAACAUUCUAUAAAAUUUAUUCCCUAACAUUAUAUGAUAUUUGCGCAAGCUAACUGGAAAAACAAAAUCUCUGGGAAUGCAUUCAACCUUCGGUAUCCUCAAUGAUAAUACGGCUAACUGAGACAACGAAUUUAGUUCUUUUAGGCUUGCAUUCUUUCCUCCUGUGCUGUCACAUCCAACAACAUCCCAUCCCUGAAAGCUGUAUUGCCCGAUCAACAGCUCUUCUAACUUCUUCAACCUUCCAAUCAAAUUCACAGGGAUCCUUCUUAGCCUUUCACAACCUGUCACAUCCAACAACCUUAACUCCUUGAGCUCUCCUAUUUCAUCAGGUAAUUCUUCAAUGGAUAGCACCACUAAACCAAGAAUCUUAAGUCUCUGCAGCUUUCUCAACCAAAUGAGGUCCUUGCAUCCACUGAUCAACACCAACGAUUGAAGUUUCGUUGAGAGUUCAAGUGAUUGCAAUGACAAACACCCUCCCUUCAGAGACAAAACUUCAAUUUCUUUCAUCCCUUCAAAAAACCUCUGAGGAACAUUCAAACCAUCAUCCACUUCUAAUAAUAGAACUUUGAGCUGUGGACAUACCAAUCCUUCAGGAAGUUCUGCUAGUUUAUUGCCCAUUAACGAAAUUGUUGUACAACCUUCAAAGCUUUUAUCAUUGGCCACUCCUUCAACCCAAUGCAGCCUUUACCAUGAAUCCAUAUUCUUCUGAUGAUGCUAUCUGAAUAGCACAUCACGAACCAAGUCAUGCAUUUUCACAUGUUCUUCAGUUUCAGUCCCAACAGCAACAACAAUCUUUGAGGUUUUGAUUGCCACAUAAACUCGUUUCCUUGCAUCUUCAAUGGGCUCCCAUCUUGAUGUAACCCAUAGCCAACUGCAUAUCUCGUCAAGUCCUCGAUUGGAAUGUUGUAAUCUUCUGGAAAUAAACAGCAUAGCAAGAAACAUAACUUGGUUUCCUUGCUUCAAAUAAUCAUAGCUCAACUUAAGACAUGCAUAUGCAUUUUUUUCAAUUUGUUCCAUGUCCGGAAAUUGAGAGUUUUUGAGCUGUUAGACACUUCCCACUCAACUUCAGAUUUAUCUCUUAGAGCCUUCCCACUGUCACAAGUGCUAUAGGCAAGCCUUGGCAUUCCUCGCAACCUCCUUGCCACUGUGUUCAAGGUAGAGUCCCCAUCACGUAAACCUGCAUUGAUUCUGAAUAAAUCCCAUGCUUCUUUUUCAGAAGAGACCUUAAAACACUUUUUCUGGCACUCCAUAGAAGAACAUAUGCCUUGAAGACGUGUUGUUAGAAGAAUUUUACAACCCCUGUGAUCAUCACCAAAUGGGAUCCCUAUCUCUUUCAAGUCAAUAUGUUUCCAAACAUCAUCCAGGAUUAUAGCAUCUUCUUUCCCUGCAGUCUCUGCCAUAAUCGAUCUGCUCUCCCUUCUUUACUCUUUUCUUUAAAUUCCAGACCUAACUUCUGCCAUUCGAUCCUGGAUGUCUAUGACAUUUGGAUUCUGGACACCGUAGCCAUCAAAACUUCAUCAAGCCGCUGCAACUCUUUGGCUCUCCUGCCUACUUCUUUCACCAGGGUGGUUUUACCCACCCCUCCCAUGCCGUACAGUCCGAUCAUAUUGACGUUGUCAUCUUUGAGAGCUUUCAUAAUCUGUUCAAAGCUUCUUUUGAAUUCUGAGGGCGUGAAUUCCUUUGAUGGAGAAAUUCUAUGGGCUGAGGAGGAGCUUUGGGCCACUUUGUAAACUUUUUUUCUAAAAGUUUUCUGAAAGUCUCCGACUUCUUGGCCAGUGCCUUGCUUAACUUGAAUUGUCGCAUGCAGUUUGGACACCAAGUAAAGCAUUUGCCAUUUUUUCCUAUUUCAUUUUCCAAGGGCUUCGCACCUUCAAUUUCGUUGUUUGCAUCUUCCAGCCACUUUUUGACAUCUUUGUAAAUUUCUUCAGCAUUCCUUUCAGCAGCUUUGACAUCAUCUUGCAGACGUUCUUUUGCCGAAUCCAGGUUCUGCUUUCGUUCAUUGAAUUCUUCAACAAAAUGGUUGAAACAGAACAUGUAACGGAACUGCCUUCCUACUGGUUCACCAUGGGUUCUGCUAUCUUAGAUAUAAUGUCAACCACACUUUCGAAAGUCAUUUUCCACCGACCUGAAAAUCAGAGAAAUAAGGAUACACAGAACGUGAGAGUGAGUCUAUGAUGACCAUCUCUUAUCACACGUUCAGGUAAUAUGAUUGACCUAUAACAAUAUUAAAAAAAAAAAUAAAAACUAAUAGAUGGUCGCCACGUGUUCAACUUUAUCUACCAUUAGGAAAGGAUAGAAAGUAGGGGAGAGAGAGAGAGGUUAAAAGGCUUUAAAAAAAAAAAUAGAUGGAGAGGUUGAGGGAGGCAGAAACGGAAGGAGACAAUAUUGAAAGAUCGGAAGGUCGGAGGAGAGUAAAGAAAAGCUUUUUUUUUUUCAACCUUUUCUAUUAACAUGUUUCGUAAUGGGCCAUGGUAUUUUGUUUCUAUUUUGUCUAUGUUUUCAUCUAGAGCUUGAAAAAACAUCAUGUUUUUGGGUUUGUGCCUGAUCAUGCAAAAAAAUUUUGAUGUAGGCAGAAGCUUAAAACACUAAUUAAAGAAUAUAAAAUUUUUAAUGAGUGAAAAGAAAUGCAGAUAUGAAGUUUUAAAUUUACCAGUUUAUUUUUUAAAAAAUAAUAAUAAUGAAGUUUGUCUUUUUAGUAAGUUUACAAUAUUUUAAAUACACCAAAAACUCUAUUUCAAUUAAAAAAAAUUGCAAAGGAAAGAUGCAUAACAUCCAAAAUAAGUAAAAAAUCAAAAAAUAAUAAGGAUACCAAAUGUGAGAGUGAGUCCCUACAAGUAAAACAGGCGCAGAGAGAAUGGGAAUAGGAAUUUCAUUACCUCAAUUUGGGAAAAUAUGUGCGAAAAGCACUGGUACUGAUUGCUCAAUGAAAUAGCUCGUUUGUUAUGUGAUGCUCGUUUAUCUAUUUGAUUGGGAUUUUUUUGUGCCUUUGAUAAAAACACUCUUUUUUUUUAUCUCUUUGAUUGGAAUUUGUUUGUUUCUCUUUUAUUUGGAAGAUCUUUGGACACUUUAAUAAUAUAAUAACAAAAAAAAUUAAAAUCUUGAUGAAAUUAUUGUUCAUUCAAACACAGAUUUGCUGUGGACUACAAUUGUAUUUUUUCCUAAAUUUUAAGUUUUAGUUUUAAUUUUAAGUUAUUUAACGUCUUUUUAGGGGAAAAAAAAAACAACGCUCGUAACAUAGUGCAGUCCAAACAGAAGAGACAUCUCUUGAGAAAAAGAAAGAAAGAAAGAACCCUUUCUCCAUUAACCGAACCCCAUAACUCCAGGAAAGUAAGGACUAAACCAUAGUGUAAAAAUCUUAAAAGGUUCUAAAUUAUCUCUGUUACUUUUCCUUAAUUUUCUAGACAAGCAAAAGGAGCUAAACUUAUUCCCGACCAAAACGUCAAGAAUUUCAGUAGAACAAAAGAAGAGAUUAUUACUUGACCAAAAACAACUAGUCAGCAUCCAAAGAAACCGAGUGAAUGAGAGAAAAAGACUAUUAGCUAGAAAACAAUCAACAGAUCCAAGAAUUUUCUGUAUGUUUUCCAAGAAAAUGAAACGAAAUGAGCAGCACAACCCUCUAAAUCCUCCAAGAAAAGAAAGAAAAAGAAAGGAAAGAAACAAAGAUAGUAGGUUAGUGUUAGAAAAAAAAAAAACAAAGAAGUUCGAGGAAGUGGGAAGCCUUUUUUCUGCUGUUCAUGUGGUGUUCUGGUGUUCACGCAGACUAAGAACUCCUACCAUCGUAUAAUCAUAUAAUUAAAACACAACAAUAAAAAAGUAACAAGCAGCUAAUUAUGUGCGAAAAUCAGAGAAAUAAGGAUACUGAACGUGAGAGUGAGUCAUUGCAAGUAAAAGAGGCGCAGAGAGAAUGGGAAUAGGAAUCUCAUUACCUUAAAUUGAGAAAAUAUGUGCGAAAAGCAAAGAUUGCUCAAUGAAGUGGAGAAGGCCUUUAGCUCUGUAUGGAAUCCAGCUUCAAAAGGAACAAGGCAAGGUCUAAGCAUUUUGAUGACAUAAUUAAGAUAAUAUGCGUAGUAAUAUAGAGACAGUGACAAAGAAAUAAAGAAAAAUUAUGUGUAAAAGUAAUCACCUAGCAAAGAAAGAAACGAAUGAAAGAUUCAGCAUAAUCACUUAGACGCCUCCAUGGAUGAUACCAGCUCGCUUCCAACAACACAUGUAAUUAACCUAAGCUAAGAACGGUCAAAGUUUUUUUUAGUUUUCUUCUUUUUAAAAAAAAAAAAACAGAUCAUCAAGGGAAAAAACUUGCAAAGAAGUAGAAUUAAUGGAAUGAACACAACAAAGGAUCAAACUCAAGCAAUUAAAAGUAACUGUCUAUGAGUACCAUCUGUGUCUCACACUCAAGUGAGGAGAGAAGGAGGAGAAAGAAAGCAAAGGGACAAGGAAGGCAAAAAGUAAGGUCACGUAGGGCCAGUCUUGUAGAAAGUUUGAAAAGUAGCAUGACAGAAGAGGAUAAUAGUAUAAUAUUUGAUAUAUGAAGCUAUGCUAAGGGAAUGAAGCUUGUACCACCUAUAAUAAUAAAAAUAAUUACAUAUUAACAAGCAUCAUUUGAUUAGUAAGUUUCCAAAUUCUAUCCACAAAUAUUAUAACUUAGCUAGAUUUCAUGCAAGCAAUUCCUAACUCUAGUAUUUUCUUUGUGUUAAAAAAUGGAGACUUCUUGGUGUUCGCUAAAGCUUGGGUAUACUAUUUUUGAACAAAUAACAAGGUAAAAACAUCUUUUUUAACGAUAUUAAAAUCAUUUAUUCAUUUAAAGUAUCAAUAUUGUCAUUUAUAAUGAAACAUUUAAUUUUACUACAUUGAAAAUACAUUGACCAAUAGAAUCGUUGCCUUUAGCCAACCCCAAAUUUGUCUAUCAUCAUAUAAUAUUGAUCAUUACAUUAUGUGAUUUACAACUAAUGAUAGGAUUUCAAGGACAAGUCACCACAACAUUAAUAAAUUCACAUCCUACCGACCAUUAUGGCUGUUAGAGCUCUCUAAUUGAGUUGCUAAAUGGAUAGUUAAAAAUAAUAAAAAAAAGUAAUAUUUUAGUUUUUUUUAUUUGUAUUUCAUACUCCAAAGAGAAAAUCAAAUGAAAUGCUAAAAUGCUUUUUUUUCCCCAUAAAUGUUAUUCCUACAUAUCUCUUAAAAGAGCUAAAACUAACAAAGUAGGGUCCACAAAAGAAUAAACCAAUUAAAUCUAGCCACGUAAAAAAAAGAUCAAAAUCAUUAAAAAAAAACAACACUUAUUUAUUCCACUCUAAUAGAAUUGGCUUUUCAAAUGGAUUUUUUCCAUUGGAAUACACAUGGUAAAAAAAGCUAUAUUUAUACUAUUUAAAAUGUUAUUUUAUCAAUUUACCUUUUUAAAAUAGCAUCUCCAGAUGCUCUUAUAAAAUAGCAAUGGCCAUCCUUUGGCCAUCAUGCCAUAAAAGCCUCAUUUUGAGCCACUUUCUCUCUCUUGCUCUUGCAAAUAAGGCACGAUUAAGUAUAUUUAGCAGUGUGGUAGCGGUUGCUUUUCAAAUAAGCUUUUAAACAAAUAUGCUUUUAAAUCAGGUUAUCCCGUAAAACCUGAGAUUUGCGUUAUGAAAGUUUGAUAACUAAAUAUUAAAAAAAAUGACGGUUUACCCAGAAUUAACCGGGUUAACCCAUCAAACCAAGUUAACCCAUCAAGCCCAGGAUACGUGUCAUGAAAGUUUGAUAAUUAACUUGAAUAGACUAAAUUAAAUUAAAAAAAAAUAACUCGUCAAAUCAGGUUAACCUAUCAAACUCGAGAUUCGUAUCAUGAAAAUAUGAUAACUAAAUAAAAAAAAAAUUAACAUUAACAAACUAAAUCAAACAAAAAAAUUCAUUAAAAAAAUUAAAAAGAAAAAAACAGUCAUAUAAUAUAAUACAAUAUAAUAAUAAUUAUAAUGAAAAAACAUGGGGAAAGCUAAAGUUCAAGCUAAAUUCUCAACCAACUCAAUAUUAAAAAAAUAAAUUUAACAAAGAUAAUUUAAAAUAUAAACAGUGGGGGAAACACUGCAGCCAAAUAAAAAUCAUGCAAGGUAAACACUGUAGUAAUCCAUAAUGUUUUUUUUUUAAAAAAAAGCUACAAAGCUAAGUUCUCAACCAUCUUAAUAUAUAAAAAAAACCGAGAUCCGUGUAAUGAAAGUAUAAUAACUAAAUUAAUUUUUUUUUCACAUUAACAAACUAAAUUAAACAAAAAAAAUUAUUAAAAAAAAACACAAAGAAAAAAGCAAAAAAAUAUCAUGGGCAAAACGAAAAAAAAAAAGGAAAACAAAACAAAAAAAAAAAAGUUUAAGUGUUUCACUGUGUGCACAGUGAUACAUUAUAUGUAAAAAACAGAAAAAACAAAGCUGCUACAGUGAAAAACCCUCGCGUUAAACAAAAACAAAAACAAAAGCACAAAAAAAAACUGCUACAGGAAAAAAAACCAAAAACAAAAAAAAUGCCAUAGAAGAAAAAACAAAAAAAAGGGCAAAAAAAAAAAGCUUUAGCUACAGUGAAAAAGCUACACGUUUUAGAGUUCUUAUUAAACUUUCAAAUCAAGAUAACCCGUCAAACCUUAGAUUCACGUCAUGAAAGUUUAAUAACUAAAUAAAAAAAAAAAUGACGGGUUAACCUGUCAAGCUUGGAAUACGUGUCAUAAAAGUUUGAUUAAAUAGAAAGAAAUUUAACAUUAACAAACUAAAUUAAAUGAAAAACAUUAAUUAAAAAGAAAAAAAGUAAAAAAAAUAAAAUAUCUAGUUAACUCGUCAAAUCAAGUUAACCCGUCAAACUUGGGAUCAAUUAACAAACUAAAUUAAACAAAAAAAAUUAAAAAUUAAAAAAACUAGGAAAGAAGUCAAAAAAACCCAUAAAGGUAUAAAAAACCAAAACAAAUACAGAAAAAAAAUGAAAAUGAAAAAUAAUAUAUAUUAUAAUAUAAUUAUAAUUAUAAUUAUAAUUAAGGAAAGACAGAAAUAAAGGAAAGGACGUGGAAAUAGAAGGAGAGGUUGAGGGAGGCAGAAACGGAAGGAGACAUUGAAAGAUCGGAGGAGAGCAAAGAAAACAUGUUUGAGUGGGAUUUUUUUGUGCCUUUGAUAAAAAUACUCGGUUUUUUUUUAUCUCUUUGAUUGGGAUUUUUUGUCUCUCUUUUAUUUGGAAUUUCUUCGGACACUUUAAUAAUAUAAUAACAAAAAAAAUGAUUAAAUUAUUGUUCAUUCAAACACAGAUUUACUGUGGACUCCAAUAAUUAAUAACAAAUUAUUUUGAAUUUUAGUUUUUGAUAGCCAUGCUCGUUUGAUUUUAUUUUUAUUUUUUCCCAUACUCUUCCAAAUAAUGCAGGAAACGAGGACCUGAAAUGACAGCAGCGAAUAAGGAGAGAAAUAACGUGUUUGUUCUUUUUUCUUAUAAAGUAUUUUAAAAAUCAUUAAAUUAAAUUUUAUUUUAUUUUUAUUUCAAAUUAAUUUUUUUAAAAACUAAUUUGAAAAUUAGUAUGAAAAAGAGGAUAAUAGAGUAGUUGUCCAAAUCAAAACACAUAAAUAUAGGACAAAAACAGGGAUGAUAGAGUGCUCUUUGUUUUCUUAACUGUAUUGGUUUAAUGAGGUUUAUAAAUAUUUUAGAUAAAAAAUAGGUUAAAAGCAAGUUUUUAAAUAAAAAUCAAGCUUAUUUUUUUAUAUAAUUUAAAUAAAAUCAAUUUAUUUAGUUGUUCAGAAUUAUAACUCAAGUUAUAACUCAGGAGAAAAGAAUUGUAAAGAAGUAGAAUUACUGAUACGAACACAACAAAGGAUCAAACUCAAGUACUUAAAAAAAAAAAAAAAGUAAUUGUUUAUGAUGAUCAUCUCACUAAAGGAGAAAAAAAAAAUGGGUCAAAAAAGGAAGAAAAUAAGGUCACGUCGAGGCCAGUCUUGUAGAAAAUUUGAGAAUUAGUACGAAAAAGAGGAUAAUAAAGUAGUUGUUAGAAUCAAAAGACAUAAACACGGGAGAGAGGCUGUUUGCUGCCUGAAAUCACGGCAGCAAAUAAGGAGACAAAAGAAGGGGCUGAAAUCAAGGCAAGAAAGAAAGAAAGACUAUACAUUAAUGUCGUUCUCUGUUUGUCUUCUAAAACCUACUCCCAUCAGCCUGUUUGUAUUAUAUUCUUAAAAUUGCUCUAUGGGAUUGCAGGCCAUGGCUCGUUUGAUUUUUUUUUUUUUCAUAAAACAAAAUUCUUUUCAUGCUCUAUGGGAUUGCAGGGAUGGAGGACUUGAAAUCACGGCAGCGAAUAAGAUGUUAAAUAGAGCGUUUGUUUGUUUUUUUUUUUUUUAGUAUUUUAGAAUAAAAAUUAAAUUUUUUAAAUUUUCAUAUUAUUUUGAUAUAUUUCUAAAAACAAUAUUUUAAAAAAUAAUCACUAACACAUUUUUUUUAAACUAUUAAGUAACCAGUCCCUUUAAUUUUCCAACAUUACAUUUGGGUACCAAUCUUCAUUUUUUUUUCUUUUUUAAGUUUUUCUUUUGGGUGGAGAAAAGAGAGAGAGGGUUGCCGGAUUUUAUUUUAAAGAGAAAAAGUUGUUAUUAAGAAAGAUUUUGGCUACCAAAUUCGUUGAUUUUUGUGUGAGCUAGUUCGUUGUUAUUAAGAAAGAUUUUGGCUACCAAAUUCGUUGAUUUUUGUGUGAGCUAGUUCAAUUUAAUGAAGUGAGUUAAGAUUACGUGUGUUUUUUUAACUUCUAAACACCUUAAAAAAAGAUCGGAACUCUAGAAGAUUUUUUAUUUUGGGUUUUGAGAUGGUUUUUUAUGUUUUUUAAGGCCAUGUAUUGGUUUAAUGAUGUUUUUAGAGUGUUUCAUAGGUAUUUUAGGUAAAACAAAUGGAUUAAAAACAAUCUUUUGGUUAAAAAGUCAAGCUUCGUAUACGGACGCAUAGAUGACAUGUUGUCUAUAAAGACACACACAUGUCAAUUUUUUUAAAAGCAUUAGGGGAAAACAUGUGUUGUCCACACCAUUAACUUAACAAAAAAAAUUAAAGGUUUGUGUGCAUGGGCUUGACCUUGAAAGUCCGCGAAACGAGCCUUUAAAGGGUGGGCCAUGCACUAGACCUGGCUCUACAAGCCUAGCAAGAAAAACAUCAUUUAUUUUUUAUUAUUAUUAUUAAUUGUUUUUUAUAUUUAUAUUUGAAAAUAAUUUUAAAAAUGAUGUUUUCAUUAAUACCCCUUUUUCUAUGAUUUUCUUUUGCCUUAUCUAGCCUUUCUUCAAUUAUUUUUAAUUUUGUUAGGUGUGUUUAGUUUUUUAAGAGGUUAAUAUGAUAUAUCUAUAAUUCUUUAUAUAUUUCAAAUAAAUUAAGUAUUUAUUCUUUUAUAAUAAAUUGUUUGUAAUUUCACCCUUCAAUUCAACGUGAUGUAGAAUUGUUUUUUUUAUUAUUAUUAUUAUUUUGGUCCUCAUUGAUUGCUUCUUCUAUAUAUAUAUUCCCAUUUUUUCUCCCAUAUGAUUCAAAUAAAACUAGCUUAUUUAGUUGGUCAGGACUAUAAUGUCUUCUUUUUUUAUUUUAAAAACAUUCACCCUUCAAUUCAACGUGAUGUAGAAUUGUUUUUUUUAUUAUUAUUAUUAUUUUGGUCCUCAUUGAUUGCUUCUUCUAUAUAUAUAUUCCCGUUUGGUAUUGUCGCCUCUCUUUUUUCUCCCAUAUGAUUCAAAUAAAACUAGCUUAUUUAGUUGGUCAGGACUAUAAUGUCUUCUUUUUUUAUUUUAAAAACAUUUCUAAUAUAACAGAAGGAAAGGAAUGGGAUAAAGAAGGAAGAAAAUACUAUUUGUUUUUUUACUGUGUCAGAGUGGUUUUUAUAAUUAUAUUUAAUUUAUAAAAAUAUUUAAUUAAUAUACUUUUUAAUAUUUCUUGUUAUUAUAUAUAUAUAAUAUUUUAAUAUGUUUUUAAAUAAAAAAACUAUUUAAAAAAAAAGUGUCACAAUACUAAAUUAUAGUAUAAAUUAAAAGAUAAAAGAGCUUUCUGGUUAUUACUAUUUACCGAGACUUAUUUUAUUGUGGAUGUGGAUAUUAAUAGUGAAUGUUUUUAAAAUUUUCAAUUUGGUAUUUGAAUUAUUAUUUUUUUGCAUAAUUGAAUCUCUUUAUGCUCAAAUCAAAACUCAAUUGCAUUUUUUUUUUAAGGAUAAGAGUUGAAUUGUAAGAUAGGUGACUAAAAUGGAAAACUGGUAAAAAUAUGUGGAGACACUGUAAUUGUUUGCAAAGUUCAUUUUAGUCUCUUAUCUUUUUGAGCUAUUAAGUAACAUGUCCCUAUAAUUUCCAUUACAUUUUAUCUAGAAUCUCGGAUUAUAAUCUAGAGACUAUAUUGAAAUUUUCAUAAAUUGAGAAAUCAAACUAGAAAUUUCAUCACCUACUGAUAUAACAAAAUUUCUAACUCAAAUUUAAUAUUUAAAUAAACCAUAACUCAAAAUCAUUAUUUUUACUUAAAAUCAUUCAAAAUCAACUAAAUAACUCAUUGUCCAUAACAAUCAACACAUAACAUUCAAAUUAAUUCAUCAAUCAAACCCUAAUAACAGAAAAUUAAAGCUAAAAAAACAUAUUAUACACAUCAAAGCAUGAAUAUUCUUUUAUUUUAAUUUAUUUUCUCUAACUCUCUUAUCCGUUCUUUAUCUUUUCCUCGUUUCUUUUUUUUUUCUUUCGCUCUCACGGUUCUCUCUCUAAAAAUUCAGAUCUCUUUUUUUUAUUAUUAUUAUUUAUAUUUUGAACUCUUUGUUCAAUUACUACAAUACCGUUCAUUCAUCUAUACCUACUUCUAAGCCUCCAAGGGUUUUGUUGUCUUUUUGUAUUCUCUUUUAUUUUCAAAUCAUCACAAUAAAAUUGUUUUCUUUUUAUUAAGCUGCUAAUUUAUGCAGCUUUAGCUCUUGUUCUCUUUUCAUGUUUAGCAACUCUGAUCUGUUCCUUUUCUUUACAUGAUAUAAGGGCAGGUUUUUACCUCUUGAAGUCUGCUGGAUAAACCUAUAAGCAGAAGAUCCUGAAGCGAUCCCAAAUCACAGCUUCAAUCCCCACCACAACCAAUUUCCUCUUUCCCGUAGUCUGUCGUCCUCAAUUGGGAAAUGAUCUCAAAAAAUCACUUGAUGCAACAAGUAGGGUAGAGAGAUAUAAGACUUCAACAAAGAAUCAAACUCAAAAAAAUUGAAGUAAUUGUCUAUGAGAAGCAUUUCUGUGUCACACACUCAAGUAAUAUGAUUGACCUAUUACAUUAUACAAAUUAAUAAUAAUAAUAAUAAUAAUAAUAAUAAAAGAACUAGGUUUUUGAUGGCAUCCAGAGUGCUGUUACUUUCAAACAAAGAGGCUUGUGCAUGCGGUGUUACGCAGCGUUCAUGUACGCUAAGAUCUCCUAUGAAUACAAUUGUAUAAUCAUACAAUUGUAUUAGUUUUAUUAAGCUGUUAAUUUAUGCAGCAUUAGCUCAUGUUCUCUCUUCUUGUCUUGCUAUUCUGAUUUUAUCUUUUUCUUUGCAUGAUAUAAGAGCAGGUUCUUACCUCUUGAAGUCUGCCUCAAUCCCCGUAGUCUUCGUCCUCAAUUGGGAAAUGAUCCAAAAUCAACAACUGGUCCGGAGAUAGUUUGAGUGAAAAGAAACAGCUGAGAGAUGAAAUGUGAAGGUUAUGGUGAGAAAUUAGAUGACAAACUUACUUUGUCCUACUAAUGCUUUUGCUUUCAUUGUUUCGAAAGUAAAAGAGACAUAAACAUAAUCAUUUCCUUCCUUUCACUUUCCAGUUUUUCUUUUCCUUUCUUUUAAAAAUCUUAUGCCUUGGGUGAGGAAAUUAGUGGAGCAUUAGAGUUUUGAAAAGACAACAAAAAGAAGCAAUGUCUCAUCUUUUGAUAAGGUGGUACAAGAUACACCAUGGUAUGGUGGUCUUGCAAGAAAUGUCUUAGCUUUUGAUAUGGUGGUCUUCCAUGAUCAGUUUUCGAAAGAUUCGAGUCUCCGUUCUAGUUCAGGUUGGAAGCUAGGCCGAAAGCUAAGAUUCUUUUAUUAGUGGUUGGUGUGGAUGAGUAUUGCAAGAAUGGACUCAAAAGGUCAGCUAAUCCGCUUAAUUAAAUAGUACUGUUACUGUAAACUACUAGGAAAUUCAAGGAAAGUUAACAAUAGCAUUGAUUCGAUCAAGUAGCUCCGGUGUCUAGAGAGGACCUUGCUGUCAAGGAAAUAACCAUAAAAACUAUGGAGCCCACUAUUUAUUAAUCCAUUUCUAUUUACUACUUAUUACUAUUUAUUUAUUUUUAUUAAUUUACUAUAUUUUUGUUUGUGUACCAAUAAAAUUUGAGAUUCCUUCAAUUUUUUAGGUGCAUGGUCUAGUAUAUUGGCUGUAUGUACAAAAUCAAUUCAAGUGUGUGUAUCCUUAACUAGCAGGCUUAGCUAGCAAUCGAUAAUUAAUUUUUAAUGAAUUCAAUUUUUAUUUAAAAUAAGGAAAAAGACAUUGGUGAAUAAAUAGUUUCAUUCCUAUUAUAAUUGUUAGACCUUACCAAAGGGCAAAUUUAGAAAAAGACUAUAACUUAUAGGUCUAACAAUUAAAGAAAAAAGUUUAUUUAGACCUUCCUAUUAUUGGUCAACUUGUGAUUAAGUAGAUCAAUUUAAAUUAAUUAUUUUUAUUAAAAUGAUAAUGUUUUGUUUUUUCUCUUGAUAUUAAUUUGGCUAAUUUUUAUCAAAUCAAUAUUUUAUGUUCAAUCUAGCAUACAGGUUUAACAAAUAUGCUUCCCACUUGCAGUCGUGGUUUGCUGCGGGUAUUUGAUAAUUGGGAGAGGCUUUAGUUUCGUACCUGUUGAUCUGCUUCAUAUACACUUGGACAUUUUAUUUUAUAUUGGUUGGAUCCAAACUUAAUCCAACACAAAAUUAACAUAUUUAUUAUUUAUUUAAGAUAAAUGAUAUGGCUUUAACAUAUUAGCGUACACUUAAUAUGAUUAAAUUUAAUUUUAAUCAAUUAACAUCUCACCGUAAUAAAUUUACCAUUUGCAACCAAAAACAGUCGGCACCUUAUUAAUAUAAUCAAUAUAGUAGAAAAUUAUAGUGAUUUAAAACAAUUCAUUAAAAUGUUUUUAUUUUGUGACCACGGUGGUUCUUGUGUUAUCUUUUAUGUAUUGUCAUUGUCGUACAUGGACGCACGAUAUGGGGGUCAUUUGGAGUCGCUACUUAGUUAUUUAGUUCAAGGUCACUAAAAAACUUAGGUAUACUAGUCCUGUUAGAGAUUCGAGAGUAAAAGAUUAGUUGUGGCUAAAAAAAGUAUUAACACUUCUAGCACACCCUACCCAGAUAAGUUAUUUUGUGAUUAGAUGUGGUUUAGAGAUUUUAAUAGUUUUCUAAUAUAUCUAUAGUUUAGGAUUGGGAUUUGCUUGUAUGAAUAAAUUUGGUGUUUAAUAAUUUAUUAUGGACUCUUGUACCCAGAUAAAUUCUUAGAAAAAAAAAGUUCUUUGUAAUUUGUGUAUUAUGGUAGAAAUUACUUUCAAUAAAAAUUCAUGAAUAUUUAAAAUAACUUGAGGAUUUUAUGAUCAACUCCAAUAUUUCAAAUAUCAGCCUCAUUUAUAGGUAUAACGUUUUAUAUCGAGAUUUUUAACCAUUAAUUCUCAUUAAUUAAAAAAUAGUGGUCUAUUAAAAUAUUGACCAAAUUCACAUGAUUUUAAUAAACUAGUUAUUAAAUUCUAAAAUGCAUAUUCAUAUAUAAUAUUUUAAUUUGUUUUUAAAUACAUAAUAUUUUUAAAAAGUAUGUGCCACAAUACCAAAUUAUAGUAUAAAUUAAAAGAUAAAGGAGUUUUCUCUUCAUCACUAUUCACUUAUAUUCAUUUCACUAUGGAUAUUAAUAGUGAAUUUUUUGAAAAUUUCUAAUUUUGUACUCAAUUAUUUUUUUCACAAUUAAGCUCUUUUAAAUCCAAAUUAAAGCCUAAUUGGAUAUUUUUUCAAGGAUGAGGGUUGAAUUGAAAGACAUAGGACUGAAGUGAAAAACUCGACUAAAAUAAGUUGUGGCUUUGCAAUUUGAUUGCAAAGUUCAUUUUAGUUCCUAUAAUUUUUCAUCAUUGUAUUUUGAUACCAAACUUUAUUUUUCUUUGUUUUUAGUUUUUUUUUGUAGGAGAGAGAUGAUCACCAUAUUUCAUUUUAGAGAGAGAAAGUUGUUGUUGGGGAUUUUGACCACCAAUUUUCUAGGUGGUUUGGGUUAAAAUGGGCUGAAAAAAGGUUAUGGGUUGCAACUGGGUUUUCUACCAAAUUAGUCAAAGUUUUUUCUAGUUUUUUUUUUUAAAAAAAAACAAUUCAACAAGAGAAAAGACUUGUAAAAAAAUAGAAUUACUGAAAGAAACUCAACAAAAAAUCAGACUCAAGCAAUUAAAAAUAAUUUUCUAUGAUAACCAUCUUUGUAUCACACAUUCAGGUAAAUAUGAUUGACCUAUAACAUAAAUAAAGCCCUGCAAACAAUUAAAUUAUGCUUCAAAACCAGCAAGACAAGGUAUAUAGUAUACCAACAAAAAUAGUUUACUAAGUGGCACUUGUUAGUUAAAGCAGUAAUUCCCAUUAAAAAUGCAUUUUGAUUACAUAAUUAAAAUAAUAUAUAGAAAGUGACAAUAAAAUAAUAAUAAAAAUAAUGUGUAAAAGAAACGAAUGAAAGGUUCAAAAGUAAUGAGCUGCUAAUUAUGUGCGAAAACCAGAGAAAUAAGGAUACAAAACGUGAGAGUGAGUCAUUGCAAGUAAAAGAGAGAAUGGGAAUAGGAAUUUUAAUACCUUAACUUGAGAAAAUAUGUGCGAAAAACAUUGGUACUGAUUGCUCAAUGAAAUGGAGAAGGCCUUUAGCUCUGUAUGGAAUCCAGCUUCAAAAGCAACAACGCAAGGUCUAAGCAUUUUGAUGACAUACUUAAGAUAAUAUGCCUAGUAUAUAACAAAGAGAUAGUGACAAAGAAAUGAAGAAAAAUAAUGCGUACAAGUACUCACCUAACAAAGAAAGAAACGAAUGAAAGGUUCAGGAUAAUCACUUAGACGUCUUCAUGGAUGAUAUCAGCUCGCUUCCAACAACAAAUAUAAUUAACCUAAGCUAUGAUCGGUCAAUGUUUUUUUUAGUUUUUUUUUUUUUUAAAAAAAAAGAUCAUCAACGGAAAAGACUUGCAAAGAAGUAGAAUUAAUGGAACGAACACAACAAAGAAUCAAACUCAAGCAAUUAAAAGUAAUUGUCUAUGAGUACCAUCUGUGUCACACACUCAAGUGAGGAGAGAAAUCAAGGAAAAAGAAAGGAAAGGGACAAGGAAGGCAGAAAGUAAGGUCACGUAGGGCUAGUCUUGUAGAAAGUGGGAGAGAGAGAGAGAGAGAGGUUAAAAAGGCUUAAAAAGAAAAGAAAAGGAAAGACAGAAAUAAAGGAAAGGACGUGGAAAUAGAAGGAGAGGUUGAGGGAGGCAGAAACGGAAGGAGACAUUGAAAGAUCGGAAGAGAGCAAAGAAAACAACAUGUUUGAGUGGGAUUUUUUUGUGCCUUUGAUAAAAAUACUCUGUUUUUUUUUCUCUUUGAUUGGGAUUUUUUUGUGUCUCUUUUAUUUGGAAUUUUUUGGACACUUUAAUAAUAUAAUAACAAAAAAUAAUUUGAUUAAAUUAUUGUUCAUUCAAACACAGAUUUACUGUGGACUCCAAUAGUAUUUUUCUCUAUAUUUUGAAUUAUAGUUUUUGAUAGCCAUGUUCGUUUGAUUUUUUUAUUUUUUUUCCAUACUCUUCCAAAUAAUGCAGGAAAUGAGGACCUGAAAUGACAGCAGCGAAUAAGGAGAGAGAUAACGUGUUUGUUCUUGUUUCUUAGAAAGUAUUUUAAAAAAUAUUAAAUUAUAUUAUAUUUUAUUUUUAUUUCUAAUUAAUUUAAAAAAAAAAACAAAUUUGAAGAUUAAUAUGAAAAAAGAGGAUAACAGAGUAGUUGUCCAAAUCAAAACACAUAAAUAUAGGACAAAAACAGGGAUAAUAGAGUGCUCUUUGUUUUCUUAACUGUAUUGGUUUAAUAACGUUUAUAGAGUGUUGUAUAAAUAUUUUAGAUAAAAAAAAAGGUUAAAAGCAAGUUUUUAAAUAAAUAAAAAGCUUUAUUUUUUUAUAUAAUUUAAAUAAAAUCAAUUUACUUAGUUGUUCAGAAUUAUAACUCAAGGGGAAAAACUUACAAAGAAGUAGAAUUACCGGAACAAACACAAGAAAGGAUCAAACUCAAGCAAUGAAAAGUAAUUGUUUACGAUGAUCAUCUCACUAAGUAAGGAGAGAAAAGAAGGAGAAAGAAAGGAAAAGGACAAAGAAGGCAGAAAGUAAGGUCACGUAGGGCCAGUCUUGUAGAAAGUUUGAGAAUUAGAGAGGCUGUUUGCUGCCAAGUGCCACGUGACACAAACGAAGCUACCCCUUACCUACUCCUGGAAAGGAAUGUCAGACUAUACUGCCUUUUUCAAUUCAUUAAUGUCGUUCCCAUCAUAUACAUGUUUUAUAUUCUUAAAAUUGCUCUGUGGGAUUGCAGGCCAUGCUCGUUUGAUUUUUUUUAUAACAAAAUUCUUUCCGUAUAAUUUUCCAACAUUGCACUUGGAUACCAAACUUCAUUUUACUCUUUUUCAAGGUUUUUUUUUGUGGAGAAAAGAGUGGGUCGUUGAAUUUUAUUUCAGAGAGAGAAAGUAAUUUGUUAAUAGACUUAUCAAAUUGGAGGAUUAAACUAAAAAUGUCAUAAGUUCAUGACUAUACUAAAAUUCUUUCCAUAAUUCAUCCUCAAUUUUAUCUAGAAUUUCAAAUUAUGCUCCAGAAACCACUCUGGAAUUUUUUCAAAUUUCUAAGGUCAAAUUAUAAUUUCAUCAAAUUGGAGGAUCAAAAUGAAAAUGUCAUAAAUUCAUAACUAUACUGGAAUUCUACCCAUAAUUCAUUUUUAAUUCUGUCCAGAAUCUUGGAUUAUACUUCAGGGACCAAUCUCUAAUUUUUUCACAGUUCAGGGAUUAAAUUAUAAUUUUUAUAAAUUGAGGGACUAAGCUGAAAUUUCAUAAUUUUCAACCUCAAACCCAGAAUUUACAUAGAUAACCUAUUGAUAUAUCAAGAUUUCUAACUCAAAUUCACCAUUUAAAUAAAUUAUCACUCAAAAUCAUUAUUUUUAUCAAAAAGCUUUUAAAAUCAACUAAAUAACUCGUUAGCAUACAAUGAACCAAUAAUUUUUCUAUAAUGUAAUUGUAAUUCCUAGCAUAAUGCAUAUUGGAGGGCAAGCACAACAACUCAGAGCAAAGAAACUCGAUGAAAUAGGCAAAAAAAAAAGAUUGAAGGACUGAAAUAAAAUAAAACCAAAAAAGAGGGAUGAAAAAAGUAACCGCACUCUGGUUGCCAUAAAAACAUAUUUCUUUUAGUAUAUUUUUUUUAAAAUAUUGUAAUAGGUCAAUCAUAUUACCCGAGUGUGUGACACAGAGAUGAUCAUCAUAGAAAAUUACUUUUAUUGCUUGAGUUUUAUCCUUAGAUGACAAACUUACCUUGUCCUUCUAAUGCUUUUGCUUUCAUUGUUUCGAAAGUAAAGAGACAAAACAUAAUCAUUUCCUUCCUUUUACUUUCCACUUCUUUGUAAUGGAUUGCAAACGGGAUGGUGCUUAGGGGGCCAGUUUUUCUUUUCCUUUCUUUUUAAAAUCUUAUUCCUUGGGUGAGGAAAUUAGUGGAGCAUUAGACUUUUUAAAAGACAACAAAAAGAAUUAAGUAAUGUCUCAUCUUUUGAUAUGGUGGUACAAGAUGCACCAUGGUAUGGUGGUCUUGCAAGAAUGUCUUAUCUUUUGAUAUGGUUGUCUUUCAUGAUCAGUUUGUUGAUGAGGAUAUCAAAAGAUUCGAGUCUCCGUUCUAGUUCAGGUUGGAAGCUAGGCAGAAAGCUAAGCUUCUUGUAAUUAUGAAUUGUUUAUGCAAAGGAAACCCAGAAGCUUGAACAAACAGAAAUGCCUUGUUGAUUUCUCUGCUACUACUCAUUAUUUCCAAUAUUAUUCCAUUAUCUUACCCGAAAGCAAUUAUACAAGAAAUUUAAUUAUCCUGCCCCAAAAGGAAAUUUAUUACAAGGACUUCCUUUAACCUCCUUGAAGGCAAUUUAUUUGAUGAAAAUUCCUUUAAUCCACCUCGAAGACAAUUUAUCUUAGGGAAUUCCAACAACCCAGACAAUUUAUUUCUUGGAAAUUCCUUUAACCCACCCUUAAGGCAUUUUAUCAAAGGGAAUUCCAAAAUCAAUUUAUUUCUUGGACUCGGUAUUCUCUGGUACUAGUUAUUUAUAUAUAAUUUAACAACACUUUUAUCUUACAUUUAAAAAGAAAUUCAAAAGAAAGGAUAACCCUUACCUAGAGCUCCUGUGGUUCUUGUUCCCGAGAGAAUUGGCUCCACUACGGGCAAAUCUACUACCAAAAACCCAAGUUUCAACCAAUCAAUAACAUCAACACCCAUUUUAAUUCAAUGCAAUAAGUUUUUCUUAACCAAUUUACUUGAUGCAAGUUCUUAUAAUCAAAGUGACAGUAUUCGAGGUGAAGACAAGCAGAAGGGCGUGAUAGAGUUUGACAAAGAUCAAGCUAGUUCCAAUAAAGGGAAACACUCUAUGGCCUAUGCAGGCCAAACUGCAAUGGCAUCCAAUAAGUGAGGACAAUCUUGUAUCUUCCAAGUGGCAGUAGAAUUUAAUUAUAACUACCAUUAUUCUUAUCUUUAGUUAGUAAUAUAACUCUAUUUAUUGUAUCUAUUAGGACAUUUUGUAAUGAAAACCUGUUAGUUAUUUGGUGUGAUUCCAAGGAGUGAUUCCUUUGAAUGAUAUCAGGCUCUACUUAUUUCAUAUUCCUUGCAAUUCUUGGAUUCUGCAAUAAAGUUAUCCGAAUUCUUUUCCUCUAUCAAUACUUUCUUGCUAUCUUUUAUAUAAUGUUCAUUAGUUUACAUAAAUUGUUCCUUUAAUAUCGUUUGGUAUUAAUUGAUAUCAGAGCAAGUUUUGAAUUUUGUUCUUCUAUGCCUGGAAUCGCAGUGGAAAUUCUUAUAAUCCCACCAAUAAAAGAUUACAGGACCCAAACCAAUUCUGAACUCCCCGUAGAAAACAUCUCCAAACCCAUUUUGAAUCACCCAACAACAAGCAUCUCCACAACCUAUUAUGAACCCCAUAACAAGCACCUAUUAUGAACCCCCAUAACAAGCAUCUCUACAACAUGAUUCUACUUGUUAAACCAGUUACAACCACAAAUGGAGUUGGUUACCCGCACCUUGGGAGCCAUUGUUGAACAUCUGGAUAACAGUGAAGAAAGGAGUAAUAUUGAUGAAAAUUGAAGGGGCAGAGUUGAUCAAGGAGGAGAUGUGGCUAUAGAUGAUGAAGAAGUAGGAGAACAUUAGCUCAAUUCAGUCUACAGUAACAGGGAGGUCAAAAUUGAAAGAUAUGACUAUUUUCAUUAAUUUUAUUAAAGCUUAUAAUAAAACGUUGUGUUUUUAAUUGGAAUUUUUUUUUUUAUAUGGCUUGGCUUUUUUAUUUUUUUUAAAUGCAAUCUCCUUCCCUUUAUCAUACAGAAAUCCAGUUUUGAGUUUAUGUAACUAUAUUAACAAAACGAUUAAAUGCUUUCGUGUCAGUUUAAUUAUUUAUAUAAAUAAUAAACCCAGUUAAUAUAUUUUUUAAUCAGUUUAUGAUAUAUUUGUCUCAUAGUUGAGUUAGUUAAUGUAUGUUGAUUGAUCCGAAGGUAGUGGGUUCAAGCUAUACUAGGAAUAAUAUUAUGUUUUUUCAAAUUAGUAGCAAAGGCGUGUGGGCUUGUCUCAGGCUCACAUGCUAGUGCCUGAGUUUUACUGUAAUAGACCCUAUCAUAUUAGGCCACGUAAGCCGGAGUGGUUGGAUAUUUUUUUAUUGGUCAUUUUAAAUUUUUUUAUUUUUUUAAUAUAAUUUUUUAAUUUUAUAUUUUAAUGUUGAGUUUUUUUAUUGAGUUUUAUUUGUCAAUAUUGAAUUUAUUAUAAAUUAAUUUUUGUAUUUUUUAUUAUAUAUAAAAUAAAAAAGUUUAAUUUAAAUUAAUAGAGUUUAUAAUCCGAGUAAAGUAUUUGGUGGGUUAGUUAUAAACCUGAACUUUUUUAUUUUUUAUUUUUUGGAAAAGUAAAAGACAAAUUAAAAAAAUAAAGUAAUCUAUCUUUUUGAUAAGGUGGUCCAAGAUGCACCAUGAUACGGAUGUAUUUUAUUUUAUUUUUGCCUUUUUCUUUUAAAAAUGUUAUCUAAGAUGGAAAUACUUGCAUCAUGAGUAUGUAUUGGCCUACAAAUCCAAGCUAUUUGUGAUCAGGAUAACCUAUCAUGUCAGAAUCUUUCUCUAGAUCCACAGAAAGUAGUGGAGCAUUAGAGUUUUUAAAAGACAAAACGGGGACAAGUGGGAGGCGAAGAAAAAGACAAUAGUAGGUGGUCUAAGAUACAUCUAUAUAUGACAAUAAUAAAACAAGCCUUUAAAACAACUCUGAAAACAAAUUUUUUUAUAAUUCAUAAUUUAUAAACACAUGCGAUAAAAUAACACUAUUAGAAAUUCGUUAAAUAGCAAUGAAUUUACCAACAAAAUAUUUCUGUCGGUAAUUUAAGGUCGAAAUUACCGACGAAACUUUUUUCGUCCAUAGUUCAGUCGGUAACUGCCGACGGACACUUUUCGUCGGUAGUUACCGACUGAAUUACGGAUAGAAAGUUCAAAAUUAAAAAAAAAUAGACGGGCCGCUGACGUGGAGGUUUUGGCUGGGUGAUUUUUUUCGACGAAUUUAAAAUGACAAUGUUGUACAGUCACGUGACCUGCUCACCGUUAAAAAUACCGAUGGAAUCACCGAGGGAUUACAGGACCCAUUUGAACUCCCCGUAGAAAACAUCUCCAAACCCAUUUUGAAUCACCCGCAACAAGCUUCUCUACAACAUGAUUCUACUUCCUUGUUAAACCAGUUACAACAACAAAUGGAGUUGGUUACCCGCACCUUGGGAGCCAUUGUUGAACAUCUAGAUAACAUUGAAGAAAGGAGUAAUAUUGAUGAAAAUUGAAGGGGCAGAAAUGAUCAAGGAGGGGAUGUGGCUAUAGAUGAUGAAGAAGUAGGAGAACAUUAGCUCAAUUCAGUCUACAGUGACAGGGAGGUCAAAAUUGAAAGAUAUUACUAUUUUCAUUAAUUUUAUUAUAGCUUAUAAUAAAACCUUGUGUUUUUAAUUGGAAUUUUUUUUAUAUGGCGUGGCUUCUUUCUUUUUUUUUAAUGCAAUCUCCUUCCCUUUAUCAUACAGAAAUCCAGUUUUGAGUUUAUGUAACUAUAUUAACAAAACGAUUAAAUGCUUUCGUGUCAGUUUAAUUAUUUAUAUAAAUAAUAAACCCAGUUAAUAUAAUUUUUAAUCAUUUUAUGAUAUAUUUGUCUCAUAGUUGAGUUGUUAAUGUGUGUUGAUUGAUCCGAAGGUAGUGGGUUCAAGCUGUACUAGGAUUAAUAUUAUAUUUUUUUCAAAUUUAUAGCAAAGGCGUGUGGGGCUGUGGGCUUGUCUCAGGCUCACAUGCUAGUGCGUGAGUUUUACUGUAAUAGACCCUAUCACAUUAGGCCACAUAUGGUUGGAUAUUUUUUUUAUUGGUCAUUUUAAAUUUUUUUACUUUUUUUAAUAUAAUUUUUUAAUUUUAUAUUUUAAUGUUAAGUUUUUUUAUUGAGUUUUAUUUGUCAAUAUUAAAUUUAUUGUAAAUUAAUUUUUGUAUUUUUUAUUAUAUAUAAAAUAAAAAUAAUAAUUUAAAUUAAUAGAGUUUAUAAUUCGAGUAAAGUAUUUGGUGGGUUAGCUAUAAACCUUAACUUUUUAUUUUUUAUUUUUUAGACGAGUAAGAGACAAAUUAAAUAAACAAAGUAAUCUCAUCUUUUGUUUUUUUUUUUUUUGUUUUGCCUUUUUCUUUUAAAAAUGUUAUCUCCUUGGUAAGGAAUCCUUGGUUCCCAACAGCAACUGUAGCAGAGUUGACGGUUGCGUAAAAACAAAUCUCUAAACUCCACCGAAAGUAGUGGAGCAUUAGAAUUUUUAAAAGACAAAACGGGGACAAGUAGGAGACGAAGAAAAAGACAAUAGUAGGUGGUCUCAGAUACACCGUAUAUAUGACAACAAGACAAUUGACCGUGCGAUGCGCGAGUUAUUUUUUUUACAUAAAAAAUAUUAAAAUAAAUAAAAGUUUAAAAAUUUUGAGUUUUUCUGUAAAGUUAUACAUAAGAAAUUUAAGUUUGGCUGCAACGCCUGACCUAAGAGUAAUAUUUAUAAUAUUAAUAAUAAAAUUAAACUUGCUUGACCCAAGUUUAAGUGAGCCUGACUGCAACACCGGACCCAAGAAUAUUGGAUGUGGGUCUAAAUAUAAGGUCGUGUCAUAAAAGUGUUAUAAUUAAAUAGAUUGAUUAAAAAAAACAAAGAAAAAAAAUCAACAGAAAGGAAAAAACUAAUGAAGAAAAAGAAAAAAAAUUGAAUUAAUUGGGUUAACCCUUUAAACCAGGUUAUCCCGUAAAACCUGGGAUUCACAUCAUAAAAGUUUGAUAACUAAAUAAAAAAAUAAAUGACGGGUUUACCCAGAAUUAACUGGGUUAACCCAUUAAACCAAGUUAACCCGUCAAGCCCAGGACACGUGUCAUGAAAGUAUGAAAGUCUGAUAAUUAAAUAGAAGAAAAUUAACUUUAACAAACUAAACUAAAUGAAAAAAAUAAUUUAUCAAAUCAGGCUAACCCAUCAAAUCCAGAUCGUAUCAUGAAAAUCUGAUAACUAAAUAAAAAAAAAUAACAUUAACAAACUAAAUCAAACAAAAAAAAUUCAUUAAAAAAAUUAAAAAGAAAAAAAGGAAAAAAAUAGUUAUAUAAUAUAAUAUAAUAUAAUAUAAUAUAAUACAAUGUAAUUAUAAUUAUAAUUAUAAUUAUAAUAAUAUAAUAUAUUAAUAAGUAAAUAUAUUAGUAAAAGGUGUGACAUGCCCGCGCGAUGCGCGGGCUUGGCAUGCUUGUGCAUUAUUGUGGAUUUGUGAAAAAAAUCAUAUAAAAAAAAUGUUACAUCCACAAUAUUUUAAAGGAAAAAACUACAAAGCUAUAUUCUCAACCAGCUUAAUAUUAAAAAAAAAAUCGACAAAAACAAUUAUAAAAAAAAAAAAAAAAAAGAAGAUGACAAUUUUGGAAGAAAAAAAAGCAAAAAGCAAAUAAUAAAUAAAAAAAAACAUGUGGGGAAAGUUAAAGCUAAAUUUUCAACCAGCUAAAAUCAUUUAAGAAAACACUGUAGCAAUCUAUAGUGUUUUGUGAGAAAUAUACAACUAUAAUUCUCAACCAGCUCAAUAUUAAAAAAAAAUCAAUAAAGAUAAUUUUGACAAAUAUAAAAAAAAAACGAAAGGAAAAAAAAACAUUCAUGGAAACACUAUAACAAUCUAUAGUGUUUCAUGAGAAAAUCUACAGUUGUAAUUUUUAACCAGCUCAAUAUCAAAAACAAUAAAAACGACAAAGACAUUUUAAAAAAAACAUAACAAAAAAAGCAUAUGGAAAAACACUGUAGCAAUCAACGAUGUUUUAAGGAAAAAAACUAAAUUGUUAGCCAUUCAGUAUGAAAAAAAUAAAUUUGACAAAAACAUAUUUGGAAAAAAAACAUCGACAAAAAAAAAUGUGGGGAAACACUGUAGCAAGGAAAAAUCAUAUGGGAAAACACUGUAGUAAUCUACAGUGUUUUAAAUAACUACAAAGCUAAAUUCUCAAUCAGCUUAAUAUAAAAAAAAUAAAAUCGACAAAGAUAAUUAUGAAAAAAAAAUUAUUUAAUAAAAAGACAUGUAGAGAAAUGACUAUUCACUAGACUUGUAGAUAUUAAUUAUAAAGUUUUUGAAAGUUUUCAAUCUAGUAUUUGAUUUUUUUGUUUGCAUAAUUGAAUCUCUUUGAACCCAAAUUAAAAUUUAAUUGCAUAUAUUAUUUUAAGAAAAUAGUUUGAAAAACAAAAAACUGAAGUAGAAACCCAGUAAAAAUAUGUGGUGAUACUAUAAUUUAUUUGUAAAGUUUAUUUUAAUUUCUUAUUUUUUUUAAAUUACUAGGUAAUAUGUCCCUAUAAUUUCUUGAAAUUGCAUUUUGAUACCAAAUAUCACUAGUUGUUUUUUUUAAGGAGAAAGAGUUAUUAUUAAGUAUUUUAACUAUCAAAAUAGUUGAUUUUUUAUGAUAAAUAAUUCCAUAAUCUGGCUUUCUUUUCAAAGUCCAGCUAAGUUUUUGGCUUAUUAUGUUCACAUAGAGAGGUGGGAUUUUAUAAGCCAUGCAAUAUAUUUUUUUUUUUGGUAACCAAACAUAACCACAAGCCCAAAAGAAAACAAUUUUAACAAUACCCACCAAACAGUUGAAGUGCUAUGUAGUAAUGAUUUUUUAGAAUUGUAUUUUUUUUUGGUAAGAUAUUGAAGUAUUUUUUAUUUUUAAUAUUAAUAUAUUAAAUUAUAAAAGAAUAUUUAAAAAAUAUCAAUUUAAUAAUUUUUAAAAUAAAUAAUUUUUAAUUUAAAAAAUAUCUAAAAAUAAAAGAUACCAUACUCCUGAACGAGCUAUAAAAUCAAUCUAAAAUUUUUAUAAACUCAAUUUACAAGCUGGGUACAGAAGUAUCAACACAACUACUUGAGAGACUGUUUAAAAUCAAUCCUUUUUAAAAAUAAAAAAACUCCUUAGUUGUUAAGGAAAGAUUGGUAGUGUGAACAAAUCACCAAAGUCAGCAGCAAGGAAGUUCCAGGAAGUGGGCAGCCUUUCUUCUGCUGCCAUUGUAAAAUCAUAUAUUUAAAAUACAGUAAUAAAAAUGUAAUACGCAGCUAAUUAAUGUAUUAAGCAGCUAAUUAAUGAUGUUGUUCUUUCUUCUUGUUUUUCUAUUUUGAUUUUAUUGUAUUUUUUCAAAAAAAUUAUGAUUGUGAAAGCUAGCCAAAGCAUUAGUUCCAAGCAAUCUAUGAGGUUAUUUAACAGUGUGGUUGUCAUUGCUUUUCAAUGUAUUUUUCAUUCGAAAAUACAUCAAAAUAAUAUUUUUUUUUCUUAAAAAUUAUUUUUAAUAAACAUAUCAAAAUAAUCUGAAAACACCAAACAAUUAUUAAUUUGAAGUAAUUUUUUUUUAAAAAUGCUUUUAAAACACAAAAAACAAACAGAAAAACUAGUGUAGGUGCGCUCAACAUUGUCCCGAGAUACUUUUAUAAUCUAAGUUUUUUAAUAUAUUUUUUAUUUAAUUAUGCAAUAUAUUCAUAGAAAACACCCAAAAUAAAAUUAUAGACAAAAAAUAUAUAUUUCAUCAAAAUUCUCUAGUCUAAUUCAUGUAUUUUUCUUCAAAAAAAAGUUUUUGAUGAUAUGAAAAGUAAUAACAACCAGGAAAAGUCUCCUAAGAAACUGUAAUGAUUUGAACUAAAAAAAUAUUUUUUUGUUGAAAACAUAGUUUUUUUAAUUCAUGAAUUUUUUUUAUUGAAAAGAAAUGUACUUUUUAUGAGUAAUUUUAUUUUGCUCAAAUGUCCCUAAUACAUAAUUAUUCAUAAAAUAUUGAAAAUAUCAUAAUAAAAAUGCCUAAUCUUCUUAAAAACAAUUAAAUAAUUGAACAAUCACUUAAAUAUUAUUUUAAUAAAUUGGAUUGAAAGAUUUUUUUUUAUUAAAAAUAAAGAAUAAAAAAAAUGAAAUGAUAUCUAAGAUAAAGGUUAUACAAGCCUUGAAAGAUAAUAUAUGUACGUGUAUAAUACAAAUUAAUAAAUUCUAAGUAGCAAUAUUUAAUGCAAGUUUAAGAAUAAGAGUUUGCUUUGUGUUUUGUUGUGAGAUUAACCAUAUCAAAUUAUAUAUUUAAUAAUAAAUAACUGUGUUGUGUUAUGAGUAAAAUCAAUAAAUUAUUUGGUGUUCUGCUAUCUUGUUGUUUGAAUUAAAAUUAUUAUUAAGAAUAUAAAUUAAAUAAAAUAUUGAACAAACUAAAUGAAUUGCUUAAUAAAUAAAUAAUUUUUUUUUUUAGAAAGCAUGGAAAUGCCAUGACAUUGGCUUUUUAGAUAAUACUACAAUAUUAACAGCCAAAGAAAUCAUCGAUAGCUGUGUAAAUCAUCGAAACUGCCACAAAAGCAGGAGAGGUAUUUCUUUUGGCAACACAUAAAUGAAAAAGAAUAAGAGUUCCUAGAUCUGAAAUAGGAGGAUAUAAUAGAUAUGCAAUAUGAGAGGAGGUUCCAAGAUUUAUUUAUCUUUGCCACCAUUUACAUUUCCACCGAGCAUCAUCUAGUAAAACAAUUCCGGGAUGGACUUAGACAUGAGCUGAAGCUAACCUUGAUAACUAUACAAUUCCGGGAUGGACUUAGAAUUGGUGUGGGCUAGAGGAUAAUGAAUAACACUAUGAAGCCAACUAAUAAGCAGAGUCAAGUAAAUUGUUCAUAAUGAAUAACACUAUUUAAGAGAAGAGACUUUAUGCAUCCUACAAAGAGGACCCCUCCAAAAAAAAAAAGAAAAAAAAAAGGAUAGUCGUUCGAGCAAUUUCAUGGAAGAAGGGGGAGCUUUAUUCACGGGGAAAAUUCAGGGGGAGCUAAAUGCUGGAGCUUUAUUCAUAGUUGGAUCAUUUGUGAUUUUAGUGUUUGCUACUCUCAGUACUUAUAUUAGAAGUGCUCUCAUCUUUGAAGGAAUGUAAAAAAUUGUUAAUAUGAAACUUAUUAUGUAUAGAAAAUUGUUGUUUUUUUUUUUUUUGGGUUUGAAUUAAUAUAAACAUACACAAUUAGUUGAAUUUCAAGAAUGAGCGAAUUUCAAGAAUGAGCUAACUUAAGAAUAAUCAUAAGUAUGUUUUUGUUAGAAAUAACUUUUUACUUAAAUAAAAAAUGUGUUGCAAAAUUGAUUUAUAAGUUUCUUUUUUCUUACUUUUAAAUCAUGGAUUGCAUCUUACACAAUAUUUUUGUUAAUUAAAAAAUAGUUAAUUUGAGUUGUUUUUAUUAAACAUCCUUAUAAUUAAUUCAUUUUCACAGUGAAUUAUUUAUUAAAAACAAAUUAAGAUUAACACUUAAAAAAAAAUAAAAAAAUAAUUCAAGAAUCAUAUUAAAAAAUUCUUAAUUUCUCACAGCACAACAAAAUGCUUUAAAAGAAAGCUAAUAAUCUGACAGGAGGUGGGGCUGCUCUUAGCCAAUGAAAACAGCUUCACAUGCAACACAUCAACAUGAAAAAAAAGAUUAUCAGCCUGUUUUUUCCUUAAAGAACACCCUCUUGGAUUCUCUAGCAUUAGCCACAAAGGUAUCUGCUUGGAAAAACCAUUCCACAAUCUAGAAAUUUAAAUGCCCAAAAAUACAUCGAUUGACAACAAGUCACAUGCCCAUACAUACAUUAACAUUGAUUUCAGAUCUUUUACAAAUUCUAAUCUUUGUAAGAAGCUGUUUUGCUGCCCAUCGGAUGUGACCACCUGACCAGAAGACAAUAUUAUAUUUUUUAAACCCUUCACUCUCAUAAACAACAAUUUAUAUGAUUAUAAAUAGGAUAAAAUAGGAUUACAUAUUUUUAGAAAUUACCUAUUACUGUUUUAGUUUUUUUUUCCUUAAUUAGAGAUAAGUUGAAUAAAGUAGUAACAAUUAUAUUUUUGAGAGAAAAAGUAACUACAACUCCUAAUAAUUAGUUUCGUGUAAGAAAUAAAAAUAAUUAUGUUAAUAAACUUUUAAAGAUAUUUUAAUUGAAUUAAGUAUUUCAACACAAAAUUUAUGCUCUUAUACAGUUAUAUAUUAAUUCUAACAAAAAAUAUGAUUUCUAUGUUUAAAUGUUGGUAUUAAUAACGGAUACAACAAUGAGGCAGUUAAGUUUGGUGGAUAAAAUAAAAUCAUUAAUAAAAUAAAAAUAAGCUAGUAUGUUUGUUACAUAACUAAAAAUAUUUAAUUUUUUUAUAUAUAUUUUUUUAAAUUAUUUUAAUAUGCUGAUAUCAAAAAUAUAUAUUAACAAGUUUUUAUUUCAAAAAUAAUAAUAAUAAUCCUUUGCUAGAAACUUAACAAAAGCCUUUUAUAGGUGCUCCCUCACGCGUCGUCUUAGUUGCUGACCAUUGAUUGCUCAUUGCUUGAUGCGUGGAGAUAGGAUCAGAUUUUUAAAGCUAAAUCUUGCAUCAAGGGUGGCUACUGGUAUUGAUGUCAUUUUCUUAGGUCAAUGAACAUUAUUUUUUUACAAUUUUAUAUUUUCAUGUAAUGUUUUGUGAUAUUUUAUCCUUGCAUUUUCUUGACAAUUUAAUGUGUUUUGUUGCAUUUUCUUUUAAAAUUAGAAAAAAACUCAAAAAAUGUCUUUUCAGUAGUUUUAUUCAUUUCGUUAUUUUUUUCAUUUAUUUUUUGUGUGUCAAGAAAUCUUGAAAAAAACAAUAUAAAAAUACAAAAAAUAAAUAAUAUAAAAAUAUGUAGUUGGGGUUGCAAUUGGACCAAUAUUUGAGUAUCACAAGUAAAAAUAAAAUUUGUAAAUUUUUAAGUCAUAAUUAAGAUUCGAAUUGAAGAUAAAUGGGCUAAAAUUGGCUAAAAUUGAAAGAAAUUGAAGUUCAAGGAUGAGUUUGGAACAAAUAGCCAAGUUAGAAAACCAAUUAAGAGCUUUAUUGAAGAAACAAAUUGAAAUUGGAAUGCAAUUUGACUCAAAACAAUGAAGAAUUGAAGGACCAAAGCCCUUAAAUGGAUAAAGCCGAUAAUUCAGAGGUCAUAUUCUGUCAGGGUUUUACUUGAAAGAAAUUUUUUAAAAAAGGUGAAAUGACCGAACUAAGGAAGAUUCAAAAACCAAUGAUUAAAAUGCAAAAAACGCUGAAAUGCAGGGACUUACAUGAAAAUGGGCCUAAUUUAAUUAGAAAAGAAACCCCAGGGCCUAAUUAGAAAACCUGUUACAAAUAAAGUGAAAACGAUGUGUUUUCUUGGGACUAGAGUUCAAAUUGCCAACAAACUCCUCUUGCCAUUCCCUAAUUGCACUGAGCCAGCUAAUCUGGAUGAAAGUUAUCGAUAGCUGUGAAAAUCAUUGAAACCGCCACAAAAGCAAACUCAAAUUAGUUAUGAAUUGGAUUCGAUGGAAGGAAGAUGGGAAGAGGGGAAAUUAAAGAGAGAUGAAGAUCUGCGCAUGGCUACCUGUUUUUGAGAGAAUUAUGGAAAGUUAUCCCAACUCAAAACGGCACCAAUUAUAAGUUCAGUAAAAAAAAUCUGGAACACAACAGAUGGAAAAAACUGCUACAAUUUAGGCAAGAAAUUCAGAAUGAGCCAAGAUUUCAAGUGAGAUGAAACUUUUUGUCUCACUUUUUUUUUUUUUUUUUUUUUAAUAGUAUCAUGGAUAACUAAACAGAGGAACGUUAAGAGGAUAGAAUAUUUAGAAUCACUAGCAAUAGCCAGCUGCUAGGUAUCUGCUCGAAAAACCCUUACUAUUAAUGCUAGGCAGUAAGGUUCUACUUAUAAUUUAGAAUUAGUUCUCAGCAACUUCACAGUUUAACUAAAACAUUUCUUAGCAAGUCUUUUGUAAUGAAUAAAGUAGCCAGGAUCAUUUCCAGCAUACUUCCACCUUUAACGAAGCAAUUAGGGUUUCUAGCAACUUUAACUUGCUAUUUUUACAAGUUUAACUCUUAUCAUGAACAUUGGCAUUUAAUGGAAAUUCAGUGCAGGAUAAUAAGGAAUUAAGCUUCAUGAAACAUGAAAUAAUGCAAGAGUUAAACAGGCUCUUGAUUUCCAACAUCACAAGCUAUAUGCCUAGAAAGAAGCUUGUGAAAGGGUUUGUAAUUAAGCAGCAAACAAUUAGAAAUCAGAGGAUACAUUGCAAUUGCCAGCAAUGUAUCUGCUCGAAAAAACCAUUCAACAAGGGGUUCUGCGAGGAAAACAUGAGAUUGUUCAUACAAUAGAUUGGAUAUCAGUUUCAAACUUUUGAACAAAUAAUACAACAUCAAGUCUCAGUCAUCACAUGAUCAUACGAAAACAUUUAUUCAAGAUCUUAAGCGGCAUUGCCAGGCCCAUUUCCAAAACCACAUAAGCAUAUGCAAUAGAAACAGAGCAUCAAACUGACAGAGAAAACAUACUGAUGCAGCAAAUACCCAAGUCGUAGAGCCAUUAAUUUGAGUAGAAAGGAGAAUGAAAGUCCACACAUUAAACAGUACGCACAUACAUGAGUAGACAUUAUGCUGUUUUUGAAGAUUCAGACACUUCAAAAGAAACUCAAAUGGGCCAACACACACUUAUUUUUGGGAAGUUCACACAGCAAACACGUACAUAGAUAAGUCGAAAUCUUCUUUUGGUAAAUAAAAUUGUUACAAUGUGAAGCCAAUUUCAAUCCCAUUGCCAAUGAAACAGUUGGAAUUAUUUCCACCAAUCUAAAACAUAUUCCAUGUAAUAGGUAACAUGGACAACCUUGCCUGAUGCAAACAUGAAGAACAAAGACAUGAAUAUCCGUGAAAUCGCCUAAGGUGGAGUUGAUCAUGUAAUAGGUAACCAACCUUGCCUGAUGCAAACAUGAAGAACACAGACCAUCCAUGCAUAUCGCAUAUGUUAAUUUAAUUCGAACUUUAAAAGUUGAAGGAAAAGGAGAGCAGAUAAAUAAUUGCAGCCAUAUCACCUGGUUUGGGCAAGAAAGAAUUAUUAGACUAGCAAACAUCAUCAUCACCAUACUCUUCUACUUCUUCUUUCCACCCAGUAUCUCGGGUCCGCUCUCUAUUAGUUCUUGAAUCUUCAGCUACUUGAGAUAUCUGUAAACCAAUUCAAGCAUGGCAUACACAUUCUAACUUGUAAAUCUUAUUAUUGAGCGAAAUAAGAAACAAACACACUAAAAGAGAUGCAAGAAAUCAAGUCAAAUCUACAGCACCUCUGAUUGAGCACUCAUUGAACCAUCUGGUGUAAUAGCAAAUUUUGUGCUCAACUUUGUGCAUUCAUACACCUUCAACUUCUCCAAACGUGGGAAUAAGAAAUCACAACAUCCGAAACUGAAGAGGACAAUACUUGAUAAUUGUUUUAGCAACAGCUCCUUUAGAUCGGAAAGCACCAUCUCCUUCUCAACAUUGACAGGUGAAGCAUGAUCAUCCUGCCCAAAUACUCCCAAUACUUGAGAGGAUUUUGUUACUCUAAGUAUUUGGAGCUUUGGGAGACUUAAAGCCAUGGCUACUGGGAAAAGGCUCUUCAACGUGUUGCAUUCUCUAAUCUCAAUAUGACUUAAAUUGGGAAAGCAUAAAGAUCGAAGAGGAUCUCCUAACAAUAUCUGGUCGUUUUCAUCAUCAUCCUUAGCAAUGAUUUGCUCUAAUUCCUCACAGGACAAUAUCUUUAGAGUUUCAGUUGAACUAGAUUGAUAAUCAUGCUGCAUGUGAAUACAUGUGUCAGUCUCUUACAAUUAACCACCUCUAAAGUAGUCAAUUUGCUCAGCACAAGACCCUUCCAUAUACACCUCAUGUCAGGUAGGGAUUCCAAGUAUAAUGUUUCCAAAUUUGUCAGCCCCUGCAUCAAAAGAAAACAAGGAUACCAAUUUGUUAGAUAUAAUUCCUAAUAAAUUUGGUGCACUUUGGAACUAUAUAAUUUAAGUAAAUAAAUAAACGACUUGUCCCCAAUACUUCAGCCAAAAACUUAACAACAAAAGGAUACAAGUAGACAUGGCAACAGGGCAUAGGAACAUGAAAUCAGAAGUUGCAGGACUGAAAGAGACAAACUCAAUAUAAGAUGGAGGUUUAUCUUCCUUUUCAAAUACUUCCAUUAAUUGGGGGAAGAGCCUCAAUUUCACUCAAACUUUGGAAAGCAUAAAGAUUGAAAAAUCUAGGUAGGAUUUCAUUACAAUAAUUAUUUGUUCUAGUGACAGCUACCACAAAUUAGGAAGCACCAUCUCCUUCUCAACUUUGAUAGGUGAAGCAUGAUCAUCUUGCACAAAUACUACUAAUAAUUGAGAAGCUUCACUUACUUUCAGUAUUUGGAGCUUUGGGAGACCUGAAGUCAUGGCUAUUGGGAAGAUACUCUUCAACUUGUUGCAUUUUCUGACAUCAAUUUCACACAAAUUGGGAAAGCAUAAAGAUCGGAGAAGAUCUUCUAACAAUAUCUGGUCGUUUUCAUCAUCAUCCUUAGCAAUGAUUUGCUCUAAUUCCUCACAGGACAAUAUCCGUAGAACUUUCAGUUGAACUAGACUGACAAUCAUGCUACAUGUGAAUACAUGUGUCAGUCUCUUACACUUAACCACAUCCAAAGUAGUCAAUUUGCUCAGCGCGAGACCCUUCCAUAUACACCUCAUGUCAGGCAGGGAUUCCAAGCAUAAUGUUUCCAAAUUUGUCAAACCCUGCAUCAAAAGAAAACAAGGAUACCAAUUUGUUGGAUAUAAUUCCUAAGAGAUUUUGUGCACUUUGGAACUGUAUAAUUUUGGAAAAUAGAUGAACGAAUUGUCCCCAAUACUUCAGCCAAACACUUAUCAACAAAAGGAUAUAAGUAGGCAUGGCAACAGGGCAUGGGAACAUGAAAUCAAAGUUGUAGGACUGACAGAGACAACUCAAUAUUAGCAGAUGGAGGUUUAUCUUCCUCUUCAAAUACUUCCAUUAAUUGGGGGAAAAGCCUCAAUUUCACUCAAACUUGGAAAGCAUAAUGAUUGAAAAUCUAGGUAUCAUUUCAUUACAAUAAUUAAUUUCUUACUUCUUAAGCCCUGCAUCAAGAGACAGGGAAAGAUACAUUUAGACAACUCCUUUUAAAUAUAGUGGAUGGCUAAUGGAUUUAUCUCCACUUAUCAUAGUGUAUUGAAGUUGACAAUUUAAAUAAAAAAGGAAAAAAUUAUUGGAGAAAUAUAAAGGACGUACUUGUAGCUGUGCCGACAAAUUACCCAAUUCUUCAUGGACAGAGAUGCAUAGAUUUUGCAAAGAAGGUAAUUGGGCAGCAAAAUUCUUCAAACCAAAAAAGCUGUAAUUUGAUCUGGAAAAAAGCUCCAAUUUUCUUAGUCGAGGGAACUUGAUGAUGCCAUCUCUGGUGAGUGCAUCUCCUUCUCCACUGUGAAAUAUUUGCUUUAAAUUGUCAGCAAAUUCAAUCUCCAUCUCUUCCAGGUUCAGAAGGCUUGGAGACACAGAGAUAGGGAAGACAUAUUCCAGUUUACAACACUUUUCUAUGAAGAUAAAUUUUAAUUCUGGGAAGCCAGGAGACUCUGGAAUUAUCUCCCAUUCACCAUCCUCUUCUUUGAUAAUAUGCUUCAAUUCACCACAUUUUUCUAUCUUAAGUGUCUGCAGUUGUGGUAGACUCUGAGCGAGGGACGAUGUGAAGAUAAAUGUCAGUUUGUCGAGAGAAUACAAAUUCAGAAGAGUAAGACUUUGGAGGCUGACAUGUCUGGUGGACCCUUCCAUAUACAUUUAAGCUCAGGUAGCUCUCGCACCUGUAACUUUGUUAAAGAUGACAGCAGCGGCAGCUCCUUCUCCUCACUGCUUCCUUCAUCAGCCUCACCCAAUUCAAAUACCUCUUCCAAUGAUUUGCAGUCCUUUAUUUCCACACUCUUUAGAUUUUUCAGAGCUUGCAGCAAUUUUGCUGGAAACGGAGUGCGGACAUCCCCACAAUCCCUCACUUCUACAAAUUCUAAUCUUUGUAAGAAGCUGUUUUGCUGCCCAUGGCCAUGGGCAACCAUCUGAUCAGAGAACAAUAUUAUGUUUUUUAAACCCUUCACUCUCAUAAAAACAAUUUAUAUGAUGUAUAAAUAGAAAAAAAAAAUAGGAUUAAAUAUAAAGUACAUACUUGUAGCAGUGCCAACCAAUUACUCACUUCUUUCCACCCGUUAUCUCUGGUCCACUCUCUAUUAAUGCUUAUAUCUUCAGCUACUUGAGAUAUCUGUAAGCAAUUCAAGCAUGGAAUACACAUUCUAACUUGUGAAUCUUAUUAUUGAGCGAAACAAGAAACAAACACACUAAAAAGAGAGAUAAGAAAUCAAGUCAAAUCAGCAGCACCUCUGAUUGAGUACUCAUUGAACCAUCUGGUGUAAUAGCAAAUUUUGUGCUCAAUUUUGCGCAUUCAUACACCUUCAACUUCUCCAAACAAGGGAAUAAGAAAUCACAGCAUCCGAAACUGAAGAAUAAAAUACUUGGUAAUUGUUCUAGUGUCAGCUCCUGCAGACAAGAGAGCACCAUCUCCUUCUCAACAGUUAUAGGUGCAGCUUGAUCAUCCUGCCCAAAUACUCCCAAAAAUUGAGACGCUUUUGUUAUUUUAAGUAUUUGGAGCUUUGGAAUACCUGAAGCCAUGGUUAUUGGGAAGAGACUCUUUAACUUGUUGCAUUCUUCAACCUCAAUUUCACACAAACUAGGGAAGCAUAGAGAUAAGAGAUGAUCUCCUGACAACAUCUGAUCCUUUUCAUCAUCAUCCUCAGCAAUGAUUUGCUCCAAUUCCUCACAACUUGAUGUCUUUAGAACUUUCAGGUGCACUAGAUUAGCAAUCAUGUUGUAUGUGAAUACAUAUGUCAGUCUCUUACACCCAUUCACCUCCAAAAUAGUCAAAUUGCUCAGCACACGACCCUUCCAUAUAUACCUCAUGUCAGGCAAGAAGUUCAAGUAUAAUGUUUCCAAACUCCGGAGUGAAAGUUCAUGCCCACCUCUUCUAUCAGUUACAAAACUUACAACCUGAAUUCCAUCUUUUAUUCCUCCGCAUUCUCUAAUAUAUAUAUGUCUCAAAUCUGAAAGCCCCUGCAUCAAAAGAAAACUACUUUGGAACUAUAUUAUAACUUUGGUACCCCAAUUUGUUGGGUAUAAUUCCUAAUAAUUUUUGUGCACUUUGGAACCAAUUAUCCCCAAUACCUCAGCUAACUACUUAUCAACAAAAAGAUAUAAAUAGACAGGGCAAUAAGGCAUGGGGAUAUGAAAUCAUAAGUUGCAGGACUAACACAUACAACUCAAAUUAAGCUCAAUAUUGGCAGUUGAAGUUUUAUCAUCCUUCCCAAAUACUUCCAAUUUUAGGGAAGAGCCUCAAUUUCACUCAAAUAAAGAUUGAAAAUACAUGUCUCAGUUCAUUAUUUUCUAACUUCGUAAGCCCUGCAUCAAGAGACCGCGAAUGAAGUAGUUAGAGAACUCCUUUUAAAUUCAGUGGAUGCAUUUAUCUCUACUUAAUUAGGUUUUAGAAAUUUGGAGGAAGAAGGAAGAAAUUUUAAAGUUGACAAUUUAAAUGAAAAGGUACAAAAUUAGCAGAGAAUAUAAACGAAUGGUUAGAUUUAAAUGACGUACUUGAAGUUGUUCCAACAAAUUACCCAAUUCCUCAUGGCCAUGAAUGGUUAGAUUUUGCAGAGAAGGCAACUGGGCAGCAAAAUCCCUAUGACCAAAAAAGCUGUAAUUUGAUUCAGACCAAAGAAUCAACUCUCUUAGCUUAGGGAACUUGAUGAUGCCAUCUCUGGUGAGUGCAUCUCCUUCACCGUAAAAUAUUUGCUUUAAAUUGUCAGCUUUAUCAAUCUUCAUCUCUUCCAGGUUCUGAAGACUUGGAGACACAGAGAUAGGAAAGACAUAUUCAAGUUCAGCACAGGCAAAUAUAUAAAGAGUUUUUAAUUCUAGGAAGGCAAGAGACUCUGGAAUUAUUUCCCUUUCAUCAUCCUCCUCUCUUAGAACAUACUUCAAUUCACGACAAUUUCUUAUCUCAAGUGUUUCUAGCCGUCGUAGACUUUGAGCGAGGGACAGUGUGAAGAUAAAUGUCAGUUUGUGAAGACGGUUCAAAUUCAGAUGAAUAAGACUUUGUUGGCUGACAUGUCUGGUGGGCCCCUUCCAUAUACAUUUGAGCUCAGGUAACAUUUCCAGCUCCAACCUUGUUAAAGAUGACAGCAGCGGCAACUCCUCCUCGACAUUGCUUUCAUCAUCCAAUUCAAAUACCUCUUCUAAUGAUUUGCAGCCAUUAAUUUUCACACUCCUUAAAUUUUUCAAAACUUGCAGCACUUUUGAUGGAAAAGGAGUACAGAUAUCCCCACAAUGCCACACUUCUACAAAUUCCAAUCUCUGGAAGAAGCCGUUUUGCUGCUCAUGAUCAGAAAACAAUACUAUAUUUUUUAAACCCUUCACUCUCCUAAAAACAAUUUGAGACACAGUAGGAAAUAACUGCUCCAAUAUCUCUGCAUUUAAGGAUGUGGCGCUUGUAUUAUCCAAAUGUAAUCUUGUCGAGGUUGGGUAUCCUACUGGAUCCCUUAUAAAUGGAUUAUAAUUCCCUAAAAUUAUAUCAUAUUUGAACACUCUGGGAAAAACAAAAUCUCUGGGAAUGCUUUCAACCUCUGGUAUCCUCAAUGAUAAUACAGCUAAAUUAGACAACGAAUUUAGUUCUGUUAGGCUUGCGUUCAUUCCUCCUGUGCUGUCACAUCCAUCAACAUCCCAUCCCCCAAAGCUCUUUUUCCCGAUCAGCAGCUCUUCUAACUUCCACAACCUUCCAAUCAAAUUCACAGGGAUCCUUCUUAGCCUUUGACAACCUGUCACAUCCAGCAACCUUAACUCCUUGAGUUCUCCUAUUUCAUCAGGUAAUUCUUCGAUGGAUAAGCACCACAUAAGACCAAGAAUCUUAAGUCCCUGCAGCUUUCUCAACCAAAUGAGGUCCUUGCAUUCGCACUCCAUCAACACCAUCGAUUGAAGUUUCGUUGAGAGUUCGAGUGAUUGCAAUGACAAACACCCUCCCUUCACAGACAAAACUUCAAUUUCUUUCAUCCCUUCAAAAAACCUCUCUUCCAUAAUCGAUCUGCUCUCCCUUCUUUACUCUUUUCUUUAAUUUUCAAACCUAACAUAUCUGCCAGUCGAUCCUGGAUGUCUGUGGCAUUUGGAUUCUGCGACACCGUAGCCAUCAAAACUUCAUCAAACAGCUGCAACUCUUUGGCUCUCCUGCCUACUUCUUUCACCAGGGUGGUUUUACCCACCCCUUCCAUGCCGUACAGUCCGAUCAUAUUGACGUUGUCAUCUUUGAGAGCUUUCAUAAUCUGUUCCAAAGCUUCUUUUGACGAUUCUGAGGGCCUGAAAUCCUUUGAUGGAAGAAAUUCUAUGGGCUCAGGAUGAGCUCUGUGGGACACUUUUGUAGGCUUUUUUUCUAAAUGUUCUCUGAAAGUCUCCGACUUCUUGGCCAGUACCUUGCUUAACUUGAAUUGUCGCAUGCAGUUUGGACACCAAGUGAAGCAUUUGCCAUUUUUUCCUAUUUCAUGUACAAUUUCUUCAGCAUCUACCAGCCACUUUUCGACAUCUUUGUAAAUUUCUUCAGCAUUCCUUUCAGCAGCUUCGACAUCGUCUUGCAGACGUUCUUUUUCCGAGACCAGCUUCUCCUGUUGUUGUUCGAAUUCCUUAACAAAAGUGUUGAAACAGAACAUGUAACGGAACUGCCUUCCUACUGGUUCCACCAUGAGUUCUGCUAUCUUAGAUAUAAUGGAUCCACCCACACUUUCGAUAGCCAUUUUCCACCAGUCUGAAAAUCAGAGAAAUGAGGAUACAGGACGUGAGAGUGAGUCACAACAAGCAGGCGCAGAGAGAAUGGGAAUAGGAAUUUCAUUACCUUAACUUGAGAAAAUAUGUGCGGAAAGUACUGAGAGCUCAAUGAAAUAGCGGGAGGAAGAAGAGGAGAAGGCCUUUAGCUCUGUAUGGAAUCCAGCUUCAAAAGCAACAAGGCAAGGUAUAAAAAUUCUAGCUGACACUUGUGAGUUAAAGCAGUAAUUCCCAUUAAAAAUGCAUUUUGAUGACAUAAUUAAGAUCAAAUAGAGACAGGAAAGGCACGGUUGAGAUAAGUAGAGGGAGAGGUUGUUGGAGGCAGAAAAGGAAAGACUACGAUAAUAUUUUUCUCUAUAUUUUGAGUUUUAGUUGUUAAUAGCCAUGCUCUUGCAAAUAAGGCAGGAAAUAGCGUGUUUGUUUUUUAUUUUUUAAAGUAUUUUUUUAAAAAAUAAAUUUUUGUAUUCUAAAUUAAUUUUUUUAUUUUUAUAUUGCUAUUAAAAAUAUUUUUUAACAAAUAAAAAAAUAUUAUUUUAAUAUAUUUUUAAAAUACAAAUAUAUUUAAAAAAACUACUACUUAUUCAAACACUUAAAAUAAAAAUCUUAAAAUCACAGCAUGAUAAAAGGAGAAGGAAAGGAAUGGGAUAAAGAAGGAAGAAAAUACUAUUUGUUUUUUUACUGUAUCAGAGUGGUUUUUAUAAUUAUAUUUUUUAAUAUUUCUUGUUAUUAUUAUAUAUAUAUAUAUAUAUAUAUAUAAUAUUUUAAUAUGUUUUUAAAUAAAAAAACUAUUUUAAAAAAAUAUGUGUCACAAUACUAAAUUAUACUAUAAAUUAAAAGAUAAAGAGCUUUCUGUUCAUUACUAUUUACCGAGACUUAUUUUAUUGUGGAUGUGGAUAUUAAUAGUGAAUAUUUUUAAAAUUUUCAAUUUGGUAUUUGAAUUAUUAUUUUUUUGCAUAAUUGAAUCUCUUCAUGCUCAAAUUAAAACUCAAUUGCAUUUUUUUUAAGGAUAAGAGUUGAAUUAUAAGAUAGGUGACUAAAAUGAAAAACUCAGUAAAAAUAUGUGGCGACACUGUAAUUGUUUGCAAAGUUCAUUUUAGUCCUGUAUCUUUUAAGAUGUCCCAAUAAUUUCUCAACAUUACAUUUUAUCUAGAAUCUCUGAUUAUGCUCUAGGGACUAUAUUGAAAUUUUCAUAAAUUGAGAAAUCAAACUAAAAUUUCAUCACCUUCAAUCUCAAACCUAGAAUUUUCACAUAUCACCUGCUGAUAUAACAAAAUUUCGAACUCAAAUUCACCAUUUAAACAACCCAUAACUCAAAAUCAUCAUUUUUACUUAAAAACUUUUAAAAUCAACUAAAUAACUCAUUGUCCAUAACAAUGAGCACAUAAUAUUCAAAUCAAUUCAUCAAUCAAACCCAAAACACAAUCUUCAAAACCCUAAUAUUCAACAAAACAGAAAAUUAAAGCUAAGAAAAACACAUUUAUCCACAUCAAAGUGUAAAUAUUCUUACAUUUUAAUUUAUUUUCUCUAACUCUCUUAUCCUUUCUUUAUCUUUUCCUAGUUUCUCUUUUUUUUCUUUCACUCUCACGGUUCUCUAUAAGAUUUCAGAUCUAUCUUUUUUAUUAUUAUUUAUAUUUUGAACUCUUUAUUCAAUUACUACAAUACCGUUCAUUCAUUUAUACCUACUUCUAAGCCUCCAUGGGUUUUGUUGUCUUUUUCUAUUCUUUUUUAUUUUCAAAUCAUUACAAUAAAAUUGUUUUCUUUUCAUUAAGCUGCUAAUUUAUGCAGCUUUAGCUCUUGUUCUCUUUUCAUGUUUAGCAACUCUGAUCUGUUUCUUUUCUUUACAUGAUAUAAGGGCAGGUUCUUACCUCUUGAAGUCUGCUGGAUAAACCUAUAAGCAGAAGAUCCUGAAGCGAUCCCAAAUCACAGCUUCAAUCCCCACCACAACCAAUCUCCUCUUUCCCGUAGUCUGUCGUCCUCAAUUGGGAAAUGAUCUCAAAAAAUCACUUGAUGCAACAAGUAGGGUAGAGAAAUAUAAGACUUCAACAAAGAAUCAAACUCAAAAAAGUUGAAGUAAUUGUCUAUGAGAAGCAUUUCUGUGUCACACACUCAAGUAAUAUGAUUGACCUAUUACAUUAUACAAAUUAAUAAUAAUAAUAAUAAUAAUAAUAAUAAUAAUAAUAAAAGAACUAGGUUUUUGAUGGCAUCCAGAGUGCUGUUACUUUCAAACAAAGAGGCUUGUGCAUGCGGUGUUACGCUGUUCAUGUACGCUAAGAUCUCCUAUGAAUACAAUAAUAUAAUCAUAAAAUUGUAUUAGUUUUAUUAAGCUGUUAAUUUAUGCAGCUUUAGCUCAUGUUCUCUCUUCUUGUCUUGCUAUUCUGAUUUUAUCUUUUUCUUCGCAUGAUAUAAGAGCAGGUUCUUACCUCUUGAAGUCUGCUUCAAUCCCCGUAGUCUUCCGUCCUCAAUUGGGAAAUGAUCCAAAAUCAACAACUGGUCCGGAGAUAGUUUGAGUGAAAAGAAACGGCUGAAAGAUGAUAUGUGAAGGUUAUGGUGAGAAAUUAGAUGACAAACUUACUUUGUCCUACUAAUGCUUUUGCUUUCAUUGUUUCCAUAGCAAUGUCUCAUCUUUUGAUAUGGUGGUACAAGAUACACCAUGGUAUGGUGGUCUUGCAGGAAAUGUCUUAGCUUUUGAUAUGGUGGUACAAGAUAUCCAUGAUCAGUUUUCGAAAGAUUCGAGUCUCCGUUCUAGUUCAGGUUGGAAGCUAGGCCGAAAGCUAAGAUUCUUUUAUUAGUGGUUGGUGUGGAUGAGUAUUGCAAGAAUGGACUCAAAGGAUCAGCUAAUCCGCAUAAUUAAACUACUAGGAAAUUCAAGGAAAGUUAACAAUAGCAUUGAUUCGAUCAAGGGGAUCCGGUGUCUAGAGAGGACCUUGCCGUUAAGGAAAUAACCAUAAAAACUAUGGAGCCCACUAUUUAUUAAUCCAUUUCUAUUUACUACUUAUUACUAUUUAUUUAUUUUUAUUAAUUACUAUAUUUUUGUUUGUGUACCAAUAAAAUUUGAGAUUCCUUUAAUUUUUUAGGUGCAUGGUCUAGUCUAAUUGGCUGCAUGUACAAAUCAAUUCAAGGGUGUGUAAUCCUUAACUAUCAGGCUAACCUUUACAGGCUUAGCUAGCAAUCGAUAAUUAAUUUUUAAUGAAUUCAAUUUUUAUUUAAAAUAAGGAAAAAGACAUUGGUGAAUAAAUAGUUUCCUUCCUAUUAUAAUUGUUAGACCUUACCAAAGGGCUAAUUUAGAAAAAGACUAACUUAUAGGUCUAACAAUUAAAGAAAAAAGUAUAUUUAGACCUUCCUAUUAUUGGUCAACUUGUGAUUAAGUAGAUCAAUUUAAAUUAAUUAUUCAAAACCCAAAAACAAUCUUCAAAACCCUAAUAUUCAACAAAACAGAAAAUUAAAGCUAAGAAAAACACAUUUAAUAAAUCGUCAUCUCUUUCAGGUUUACCACAGCCUCUUCUCUGGCUCGGAGACACAGAGACAGUGAAGACAUAUUCCAGUUUACCACAGCCUUCUAUGAUGAUAUUUUUUAAUUUUGGGAAGCGAGGAGACUCUGGAACUAUUUCCCUUUCACCAUCCUCCUCUCUGAUAAUAUGCUUCAUAUUCCAGUUUACCACAGCCUUCUAUGAUGAUAUUUUUUAAUUUUGGGAAGCGAGGAGACUCUGGAACUAUUUCCCUUUCACCAUCCUCUUCUCUGAUAAUAUGCUUCAAUUCACCGCAUACACUUAUCUCAAGGAAAUUCAGCUGUGGCAGACUUUGAAGAGUUAGAGACACGAAGACAUAUUCCAGUUUACCACAGUCAGAUAUACGGAGAGUUUUUAAUUUUGGGAAGCAAAGGGACUGUGGAAUUAUUUUCCUUUCACCAUCCUCUUCUCUGAUAAUAUGCUUCAAUUCCCCGCAAUCUCUUAUUUCAAGGUUUUCUAGCUUUGGCAGACUUCGCGCAAGGGACUCUGUGAAGAUAAAUUUCAGUUUGUCGAGAUACCGCAAUUCCAGAUGAGCAAGAUUUUGGAGGCUGACAUGUCCGGUGGGCCCCUUCCAUAUGCAUUUGACCUCAGGUAACCAUCGCAGCUGUAACUUCUUUAAAGAUGACAGCAGCGGCAGCUCCUUCUCCUCACUGCUUCCUUCAUCAGCCUCACCCAAUUCAAAUACCUCUUCCAAUGAUUUGCAUCUGUCAACAGUCACCUCCUUUAGAGUUUUCAAAUUUGUCAACCCCUGCAUCAAAAGAAAUUUUGUGCACUUUUGAACUAUAUAAUUUUGGUAAAUAGAUGAACGAAUUGUCCAUAUAAAACUUCAGCAAAAAAACUUAUCAACAAAAGGAUAGAAGUAGACAUGGCAACAAGGCAUGGGAAUAUGAAAUCAUAAGCUGCAGGACUGAAACAAACAACUCAAUAUUAGCAGAUGAAGGUUUCUCUUCCUAUUCAAAUACUUCCAUUAAUUGAGGGAAGAGCCUCAAUUUCACUCAAACUGGGAAAGCAUAAAUUAAGAUUGAAAAAUCUGGAUAUCAUUUCAUUACAAUAAUUAAUUUCUUAAUUCUUAAGCCCUACAUCAAGAGACAAGGAAUGAUACAGUUAGACAACUCCUUUUAAAUUUAGUGGAUGGCUAGAGGAUUUAUCUCUACUUAUCAAUUACUUCAGUUUCAGAAAUUUGGAAGAGAAAUCAACUUGUAUUGAAUUUGACAAUUUAAAUUAAAAAGGAAAAAAAUUAUUGGAGAAAUAUAGAGGACGUACUUGGAACUGUGCAGACAAAUUUCCCAAUUCUUUGUGGUCAUUGAUUUCUAGAUAUUGCAAAGAAGGCAAUUGGACAGCAAAAUUCUUUGGACCUAAAAAGCUGCAAUUUGAAAGAUACAAUGUUCUUAGCCGAGGGAACUUGAUGAUGAAAUCUGUGGGGAGUGCAUCUUCUUCUCCACUGUAAAAUAUUUGCUUUAAAUUGUCAGCACCACCAAUCGUCAUCUGUUCCAGGUUCGGAAGGUUCGGAGACACGGAGACAGUGAAGACAUAUUCCAGUUUACCACAGCCUUCUAUGAAGAUUUUUUUUAAUUGUGGGAAGCGAGGAGACUCUGGAAUUAUUUCCCUUUCACCAUCCUCUUCUCUGAUAAUAUGCUUCAAUUCACCGCAAAAUUGUAUCACAAGGGUUUCCAGCUUUAGCAGGCUUCGAGCGAGGGACGUUGUGAAGAUAAAUGUCAGUUUGUCCAGAACAUACAAUUCCAGAACAACAAGACUUUGGAGGCUGACAUGUCCGGUGGGCCCCUUCCAUAUGCAUUUGAGCUCGGGUAACCUUGACAGCUGUAACUCCGUUAAAGAUGACAGCAGCGGCAGCUCCUUCUCCUCAUUGCUUCCUUCAUCAGCCUCACCCAAUUCAAAUACCUCUUCCAAUGAUUCGCAGUCCUUAAUUUCCGCACUCUUUAGAUUUUUUAAACCUUGCCGCAAUCUUGCUGGAAACAGAGUGAAAACAUCCCCACAAUCCCACACUUCUACAAAUUCUAAUUUAUGUAAAAACAAUUGCUCAAAUAUCUUCGCAUUUAAGCAAGCUAACUGGAAAACCAAUCUUGUCGAGGUUGGGUAUCCAUAAUUGGGUAACGCAAACCGAUUCCCUAAUAUUAUAUCAAAUUUGCGCAAGCUAACUGGAAAAACAAAAUCUCUGGGAAUGCAUUCAACCUUCGGUAUCGUCAAUGAUAAUACGGCUAACUGAGACAACGAAUUUAGUUCUGUUAGGCUUGCAUUCAUUCCUCCUGUGCUGUCACAUCCAACAACAUCCCAUCCCCGAAAGCUGCAAUACCCGAUCAACAGCUCUUCUAACUUCUUCAACCUUCCAAUCAAAUUCACAGGGAUCCUUCUUAACCUUCGACAACCUGUCACAUCCAACAACCUUAACUCCUUGAGCUCUCCUAUUUCAUCAGGUAAUUCUUCAAUGGAUGAGCAACACUGAAAAACAAGUAUCUUAAGUCUCUGCAGCUUUCUCAACCAAAUGAGGUCCUUGCAUCCACAACUGAUCAACACCAACGAUUGAAGUUUCGUUGAGAGUUCGAGUGAUUGCAAUGACAAACACCCUCCCUCCAGAGACAAAACUUCAAUUUCUCUCAUCCCUUCAAAAAACUUAUCUGGAACAUUCAUACCAUCAUCCAGUUCUAAUAAUAGAACUUUGAGCUUUGGACAUACCAAUCCUUCAGGAAGUUCUGCUAGAUUAUUGCCCAUUAACGAAAUUGUUGUACAACCUCCAAAGCUUUUAUCAUGAAAUGGCCACUCCUUCAACUCAUUGACAGCCUUUACCAUGAAUCCAUAUUCUUCUGAUGAUGCUAUCUGAAUAGCAACAUCACGAACCAAGUCAUGCAUUUUCACGUGUUCAUCAAUUUUCAGUGUCCAACAGCAUGCAACAAUCUUUGAGCUUUUUUAUUUCCACAUAAACUCGUUUCUUUGCAUCUCCAAUGGACUCCACAUCUCGAUGUAACUCAUACCCAACUGCGUAUCUCGUCAAGUCCUCGAUUGGAAUGCUAUAGUCUUCUGGAAAUAAACAGCAUAGCAAGAAACAUAACUUGGUUUCCUUGCUCUUCAAAUAAUCAUAGCUCAACUUAAGACAUGCAUAUGCAGUUCUUUGUUCAUCAAUGUGUUCCAUGUCCGGAAAUUGAGAGUUUUUUAGCUGUCCAAAUGCUACUUCCAACUCAACUUCAGAUUUACCUCUUAGAGCCCUUCCCACUGUCACAAGUGCUAUAGGCAAGCCGUGACAUUCACCCGCAACCUCCCUUGCCACUGUGUUCAAGGUAGAGUCCCCAUCACGUAAACCUGCAUUGAUUCUGAAUAAAUCCCAUGCUUCAUCUUUAGGUAAGACUUUUAAAAACACUUUUUGCUGGCACUCCAUAGAAGAACAUAUGCCUUGAAGACGAGUUGUUAGAACAAUUUUACAACCCCUGUGACCAUCACCCAAUGGGAUACCUAUCUCUUUUAAGUCAAUAAGUCUCCAAACAUCAUCCAGGAUUUACAAGCAUCUUCUCCACUUUCUCCAGUCUCUGCCAUAAUAGAUCAGCUCUCCCUGCAUUAGUACUCUUUUCUUUAAUAUUCAGACCUAACUUAUCUGCUAUUUGCUUCUGAAUGUCUCUGACAUUUGGAUUCUGCGACACCGUAGCCAUCACAACUUCAUAAGAAGGCUGCGACUCUUUGGCUUUCCUGCCUACUUCUUUCACCAGGGUGGUUUUACCCACCCCUCCCAUGCCGCACAGUCCGAUCAUAUUGACGUUGUCAUCUUUGAGAGCUUUCAUGAUCUGUUUCAAAGCUUCUUUUGAGGAUUCUGAGGGUGUGAAUUCCUUUGAUGGGAGAAAUUCUAUGGGAUGGGGAUGAGCUUUGUGGGCCACUGUUUUAAACUUUUCGCUAAUUUCUCCAAGUUUUCUGAAAGUCUCCGACUUCUUGGCCAGUGCCUUGCUAAACUUGAAUUGUCGCAUGCAGUUUGGACACCAAUUGAAGCAUUUGCCAUUUUUUCCUAUUUCAAUUUCCAAAGGCUUCGCACCUUCAAUUUCGUUGUUUGCAUCUUCCAGCCACUUUUUGACAUCUUUGUAAAUUUCUUCAGCAUUCCUUUCAGCAGCUUUGACAUCAUCUUGCAGACGUUCUUUUGCCGAAUCCAGGUUCUGCUUUCGUUCAUUGAAUUCUUCAACAAAAUGGUUGAAACAGAACAUGUAACGGAACUGCCUUCCUACUGGUUCCACCAUGAGUUCUGCUAUCUUAGAUAUAAUGGCUCCAACCACACUUUCGAUAGCCAUUUUCCACCGACCCUGAAAAUCAGAGAAAUAAGGAUACAGAACGUGAGAGUGAGUCACUACAAGUAAAACAGGCGCAGAGAGAAUGGGAAUAGGAAUUUCAUUACCUUAAUUUGGGAAAAGCACUGGUACUGAUAACUCAAUGAAAUAGCGGGAGGAAGAAAAGGAGAAGGCCUUUAGCUCUGUAUGGAAUCCAGCUUCAAAAGCAAAAAGGCAAGGUAUAAGGAUUAUAACUGACACUUGUGAGUUAAAGCAGUAAUUCCUAUUAAAAAUGCAUUUUGAUGACAUAAUUAAGAUCAUUUAGAGACAGUGACAAACAAACAAAAAAAAGGUAUAAAAGUACUCACCUAGCAAAGAAAGAAGCGAAUGAAAGGUUCAGGAUAAUCACUUAGCUCGUUUCCAACAACAAAUAUAAUUAAUUAAUCUAAGCUAUGAUCGGUCAAUGUUUUUGGUAGUUUUAUUCUUGUUUUUUUUUUAAAAAAAACAAAUCAAUAAAUGAAAAGACUUGCAAAGAAAUAGAAUUACUGGAAUGAACACAAUAAAAAAUGAAACUCAAGCAAUUAAAAAUAAAUUAUCUAUGAUGAUCAUCUCUGUGUUCCGCUCACUGAGGUAAUAUGAUUGGCCUAUCACAAUAUUAAAAAAAAAAAAAAAAAAAGCUAAAAGAACUAGGUUUAUGGUGGCAUCCAGAGUGCGGUUACUUUCUUCAUCCUUCUUUUGUGGUUUUAUUUUAUUUCAGUCCUUCAAAUCUUUUUUUUUUGCUAUAUCAUCGAGUUGAUGUGCUUGCUCUAAAAUAUGCAUUAUGCUAGGGAUUAUAAUUAAAAAUUUCAUUCUUAAAAAAAAAAAAAAUUAUGAGAAAGUACCAAUAUUACAACGGGGAGUAAAUGAAAGAAGAAUUUUAAAUCUUUUUGUGACAUGGUGACCAGCAUAUCCAAGUAACCAAUAGAUUAUCGCCACUUGUUCAACCUGAUCUGCACAUUAAGAUAGGGGUAGUCAUAACUAUUACUCGUUUGUUGGACGGAAAAUAAAUUUUAAUUGUUAUUUAUUUUAUUUGAAAUAAUUUAUGAAAUUAGAUUUUUUUUUAAUUUCUUUCUAAUUCAACUUCUUAAUUUGUAAGAUUUAUUUCUUGUUAUUUUAAUAAACUUAAAAAAAUAAUAUUAAUAAACUAUUUUUCAGUUUAUUUUAUAUAACAUAACUAAAUAAUAAAAUUUUUUUUUUAAUUUAUUUUACUGUGAUACUAUCAAAUAUCACGGAGAGGUUGUUGGAGGCAGAAAAGGAAAGACUACUAUAGUAUUCUUCUCUAUAUUUUGAGUUUUAGUUGUUAAUAGCCAUGCUCUUGCAAAUAAGGCAGGAAAGGAGGACCUGAAAUCACGGCAGCGAAUAAGGAGAGAAAUAGCGUGUUUGUUUUUUAUUUUUUAUUUUUUUUUAUAAUUUUUUUUUGUAUUCUAAAUUAAUUUUUUAUAUUUUUAUAUUGAUAUUAAAAAUAAUUUUAAAAAAUAAAAAAUAUAUUAUUUUAAUAUAUUUUUAAAAUAAAAAAUAUUUUAAAAGACAACUACUUAUUCAAACACUUAAAAUAAAAACCUUAAAAUCACGGCAUGAUAAAAGGAGCAAGAAAGUAAUGGGACAAAGAAGGAAGAAAAUUAGUAUGAAAAAGGCUAUUUGUUUUUUUACUGUGUCAGAGUGGUUUUUAUAAUUAUAUUUAAUUUAUAAAAUUAUAAAAUUAAUAUAUUUCUAAAUAUUUCUUGUUAUAUAUAAUAUUCUAAUAUGUUUUUAAAUAAAAAAUUAAUUUAAAAAACAUGUGUCACAAUACUAAAUUAUAGUAUAAAUUAAAAGAUAAAAGAGUUUUUUGAUUAUUACUAUUUAACGAGACUUAUUUUAUUGUGGAUGUGGAUAUUAAUAGUGAAUUUUUUUAAAAUUUUCAAUUUGGUAUUUGAAUUUUUUUUUCAUAAUUGAAUCUCUUUAUGCCCAAAUUAAAACUCAAUUUCAUUUUGUUUUUUAAGGAUAAGAGUUGAAUUCAAAGAUAGAUGACUGAAAUGAAACAUUUGGUAAAAAUAUGCGGUGACACUGUAAUUGUUUGCAAAAUUCAUUCUGUAAUUGGUUGUAAAGUUCAUUUUAGUUCCUUAUCUUUUUAAGCUACUAAGUAACAUGUCCCUAUAAUUUCUCAACAUUACAUUUUAUUCAGAAUCUUGAUUAUGCUCUAGGGAUUAAACUGAAAAUUUUAUAAAUUAAGAGAUCAAACUGAAAUUUCAUCAUAUUCAAUCUCAAACCUAGAAUCUUCACAUAUCACUUACUGAUAUAAACAAGAUUUCUAACUCAAAUUCACCAUUUAAACAAACCAUAACUCAAAAUCAUCAUUUUUACUUAAAAUCUUUCAAAAUCAACUAAAUAACUCAUUAUCCAUAACAAUCAACACAUAAUAUUCAAAUCAAUUCAUCAAUCAAACCCAAAACACAAUCUUCAAAACCCUAAUAUUCAACAAAAUAGAAAAUUAAAGCUAAGAAAAACACAUUUAUACAAAUCAAAGCGUAAAUAUUCUUACAUUUUAAUUUAUUUUCUCUAACUCUCUUAUCAUUUCUUUAUCUUUUCCUCAUUUCUCUUUUUUUUCUUUCGCUGUCAUGGUUUCCUCUCUAAGAACUCAGAUCUCUUUUUUUUUUUCUGUUUAUAUUUAUGAACUCUUUGUUCAAUUACUAAAAUACCGUUCAUUCAUUUAUACCUACUUCUAAGCCUCCAAGAGUUUUGUUGUCUUUUUCUAUUCUCUUUUAUUUUCAAAUCAUCACAAUAAAAUUGUUUUCUUUUUAUUAAGCUGCUAAUUUAUGCAGCUUUAGCUCCUGUUCUCUUUUCAUGUUUAGCAACUCUGAUCUGUUCCUUUUCUUUACAUGAUAUAUGAGCAGGUUCUUACCUCUUGAAGUCUGCUAGAUAAACCUAUCAGCAGAAGAUCCUGAAGCGAUCCCAAAUCACAGCUUCAAUCCCCACCACAACCAAUCUCCUCUUUCCCGUAGUCUGUCGUCCUCAAUUGGGAAAUGAUCUCAAAAAAUCACUUGAUGCAACAAGUAGGGUAGGGAAAUAUAAGACUUCAACAAAGAAUCAAACUCAAAAAAAUAAAAGUAAUUGUCUGUGAGAAGCAUUUCUGUGUCACGCACUCAAGUAAUAUGAUUGACCUAUUACAUUACACAAAUUAAUAAUAAUAAUAAUAAUAAUAAUAAUAAUAAUAAUAAAAGAACUAGGUUUUUUAUGGCAUCUAGAGUGCUGUUACUUUCAAACAAAGAGGCUCGUGCAUGCGGUGUUACGCUGUUCAUGUAGGCUAGGAUCUCCUAUGAAUAUAAUUGUAAAAUCAUACAAUUGAAUUCUUUUUAUUAAGCUGCUAAUUUAUGCAGCUUUAGCUCAUGUUCUCUCUUCUUGUCUUGCAACUCUGAACUGUUCCUUUUGUUUGCAUGAUAUAAGAGCAGGUUCUUACCUCUUGAACUCUGCUUCAAUCCCCGUAGUCUUCCGUCCUCAAUUGGAAAAUGAUCCAAAAUCAACAACUGGUCCGGAGAUAGUUUGAGUGAAAAGAAACGGCUGAAAGAUGAAAUGUGAAGGUUAUGGUGAGGAAUUAGAUGACAAACUUACUUUGUCCUACUAAUGCUUUUGCUUUCAUUGUUUCAAAAAGUAAAAGAGACAUGAGCAUAAUCAUAAGAAUCCUGUUUUUUCUAUUUUUUCUCCUAUUUAUACAUCAAAAAAUGGCAGUUUUUCUUUUCCUUUCUUUUAAAAAUCUUAUGCCUAAUUGGGUGAGGAAAUUAGUGGAGCAUUAGACCUUUUAAAAGACAACAAAAAGAAGCAAUGUCUCAUCUUUUGAUAUGGUGGUACAAGAUACACCAUGGUAUGAUGGUCUUGCAAGAAAUGUCUUAGCUUUUGAUAUGGUGGUCUUCCAUGAUCAGUUCUCGAAAGAUUCGAGUCUCCGUUCUAGUUCAGGUUGGAAGCUAGGCCGAAAGCUAAGAUUCUUUUAUUAGUGGUUGGUGUGGAUGAGUAUUGCAAGAAUGGACUCAAAGGGUCAGCUAAUCCGCAUAAUUAAACAGUACUGUUACUGUAAACUACUAGGAAAUUCAAGGAAAGUUAACAAUAGUAUUGACUCGAUCAAGUAAGGGGCUCCCGUGUCUAGAGAGGACCUUGCCGUUAAGGAAAUAACCAUAAAAUCUAUGGAGCCCACUAUUUAUUAAUCCAUUUCUAUUUACUACUAUUACUAUUUAUUUAUUUUUAUUAAUUUACUAUAUUUUUGUUUGUGUACGAAUAAAAUUUGAGAUUCCUUCAAUUUUUUACAGGCUUAGCUAGCAAUCGAUAAUUAAUUUUUAAUGAAUUCAAUUUUUAUUUAAUAUAGUAGAAAAUUAUAGUGAUUUAAAAAAAUUCAUUAAAAUGCUUGUAAAUGUUUUUAUUUUGUGACCACGGUUCUUGUGUUAUCUUUUAUGUAUUGUCAUUGUCGUACAUGGACGCGUGAUAUGGGGGUCAUUUGGAGUCGCUACCUAGUUGUUUAGUUUAACAUCACUAAAAAACCUAGAUAUACUAGUCCUGUUAGAGAUUCGAGAGUAAAUAACUAGUUAUGGCUAAAGAAUGUAUUAACACUCCUAGCGCACCCUAUCCAGGUAAGUUCCUUUGUGAUUAGAUGUGGUUUAGAGAUUUUGAUGGUUUUCUGAUAUAUCUAUGGUUUAGGAUUGGGAUGUGCUUGUAUGGAUAAAUUUGGUGUUUAAUAAUUUAUUAUGGACUCUUGUACCCAGAUAAAUUCUUAUAAAAAAAAUUUCUUUGUAAUGUGUGUAUUAUGGUAAAAAUUUCCCUUAAUAAAAAUUCAUGAACAUUUAGAAUAACUUUGAGGAUUUUCUUAUCAACUCCAAUAUUUCAAAUAUCAGCUUCACUUAUAGGUAUAGUGUUUUAUAUCAAGAUUUUUAACCAUUAAUUCUCAUUAAUUAAAAAAUAGUGGUCUAUUAAAAUAUUGACCAAAGUCACAUGAAUUUAAUAAACCAGUUAUUAAAUUCUAAAAUGCAUAUUCAUAUAUAAUAUUUUAAUUUGUUUUUAAAUAAAGAAUAUUUUAAAAAAGUAUGGGCCACAAUACCAAAGUAUAGUAUAAAUUAAAAGAGAAAGGAGUUUUCUCUUCAUCACUAUUCACUUAUAUUCAUUUCACUAUGGAUAUUAAUAGUGAAUAUUUUGAAAAUUUGCAAUUUGAUUGCAAAGUUCAUUUUAGUCCCUAUAAUUUUUCAUCAUUGUAUUUUCAUACCAAACCUUAUUUUUCUCUGUUUUUAUUUUUUUUGUAAGAGAGAGAGGAUCACCAUAUUUCAUUGUAGACAGAGAAAGUUGUUGUUGGGGAUUUUGGCCACCAAAUUUCUAGGUGGUUUUGGUUAAAAUGGCUGAAAACAGGUUGUGGGUUUCAACUGAGUUUUUUAUUAAAUUAGUCAAUGUUUUUUUUAGUUUUUUUUUUAAAAACAAUUCAACAAGAGAGAAAAGACUUGUAAAAAUAUAGAAUUACAGAAAGAAACUCAACAAAAAAUCAGACUCAAGCAAUUAAAAAUAAUUUUCUAUGAUAACCAUCUCUGUAUCACACAUUCAGGUAAAUAUGAUUGACCUAUAACAUAAAUAAAGCCCUGCAAACAAUUAAAUUAUGCUUCAAAAGCAACAAGACAAGGUAUAAAGUAUACCAACAAAAAUAGUUUACUAACUGACACUUGUGAGUUAAAGCAGUAAUUCCCAUUAAAAAUGCAUUUUGAUGACAUAAUUAAGAUAAUAUAUAGACAGUGACAAAAUAAAAUAAUAAAAAAAAAUAAUGUGUAAAAGAAACGAAUGAAAGGUUCAGGGUAAUCACUUAGACUCCUCCACGGAUGAUACCAGCUCGCUUCCACCAACAAAUAUAAUUAACCUAAGCUAUGAUAGGUCAAAGUUCUUUUUAGUUUUUUUUUAUAUAAAAAAAACAGAUCAACAAGAGAAAAGACUUGUAAAAAAGUAGAAUUGCGAAACUCAACAAAGAAUCAAACUGAAGCAAUUAAAAAUAAUAGUAUAUGAUGACCAUCUCUUAUCACACAUUGUAAUAUGAUUGACCUAUAACAAUAUUAAAAUAAUAAUAAUAAUAAAAAGCUAAUAGAUGGUCGCCACGUGUUCAACUUUAUCUCCCCUUAGGAAAGGAUAGAAAGUGGGAGAGAGAGAGGUUAAAAGGCUUUAAAAAAAAAAAAAAAGGAAAGACAGAAAUAAAAGAAAGGUUGAGAUACGAGAGGGACGUGGAAAUAGAAGGAGAGGUUGAGACAUUGAAAGAUCGGAGUAAAGAAGACAACAUGAAUAUGUGAUGCUCGUUUAUCUAUUAAAUUAAAUUUUAUUUUAAUUUUAUUUCAAAUUAAUUUUUAAAAAAACUAAUUUGAAAAUUAGUAUGAAAAAAAAGGAUAAUAGAGUAGGUGUCCAAAUCAAAACACAUAAAUAUAGGACAAAAACAGGGAGAGAGGCUCUUUGUUUUUUUAACUGUAUUGGUUUAUAGUGUUUUAUAAAUAUUUUAGAUAAAAAAUAGGUUAAAAGGAAGUUUUUAAAUAAAAAAUCAAGCUUUAUUAUUUUAUAUAAUUCAAAUAAAAUCAAUUUAUUUAAUUGUUUAGAAUUAUAACUCAAGUUAUUUAACGACUUUUUAAAUUAUUUCUGUUACUUUCCCUCAAUUUUCUAGACAAGCAAAAGGAGCUAAACUUAUUCCCGACCAAAACGUCAAGAAUUUCAGUAGAACAAAAGAAGAGAUUAUUACUUGACCAAAAACAACCAGUCAUCACCCAAAGAAACCGAGUCAAUGAGAGAAAAAGACUGAUAGCUAGAAAACAAUCAACAGAUCCAAGAAUUUUCUGUAUGGUUUCCAAGAAAAUGAAACGAAACAAAGAUAGACAAAGAUAGUUCGAGGAAGUGGGCAGCCUUUUUUCUGCUGUUAACGCAGACUAAGAACUCCUACCAUCGUAAAAUCAUAUAAUUAAAACACAACAAUAAAAAAGUAAUGAGCAGCUAACUAUGUGCGAAAACCAGAGAAAUAAGGAUACAAAACGUGAGAGUGAGUCAUUGUUGUAAGUAAAAGAGGCGCAGAGAGAAUGGGAAUUGGAAUUUCAUACCUUAACUUGAGAAAAUAUGUGCGAAAAGCAGUGGUACUGAUUGCUCAAUGAAAAGGAGAAGGCCUUUAGCUCUGUAUGGAAUCCAGCUUCAACAGCAACAAGGCAAGGUCUAAGCAUUUUGAUGACAUAAUUAAGAUAAUAUGCGUAGUAAUAUAGAGACAGUGACAAAGAAAUGAAGAAAAAAAAUGCGUACGAGUACUCACCUAGCAAAGAAAGAAACGGAUGAAAGGUUCAGGAUAAUCACUUAGACGUUUCCAUGGAUGAUACCAGCUUGCUUCCAACAACAAAUAUAAUUAACCUAAGCUAUGAUCGGUCAAUGUUUUUUUUAGUUUUCUUCUUUUUCAGAAAAAAAAAAAAAAAAAAACAGAUCAUCAAGGGAAAAGACUUGCAAAGAAGUAGAAUUAAUGGAACGAACACAACAAGGAAUCAAACUCAAGCAAUUAAAAGUAAUUGUCUAUGAGUACCAUCUGUGUCACACGCUCAAGUGAGGAGAGAAAACAAGGAAAAAGAAAGGAAAGGGACAAGGAAGGCAGAAAGUAAGGUCACGUAGGGCUAGUCUUGUAGAAAGUGGGAGAGAGAGAGAGAGAGGUUAAAAAGGCUUAAAAAGAAAAGAAAAGGAAAGACAGAAAUAAAGGAAAGGACGUGGAAAUAGAAGGAGAGGUUGAGGGAGGCAGAAACGGAAGGAGACAUUGAAAGAUCGGAAGAGAGCAAAGAAAACAACAUGUUUGAGUGGGAUUUUUUUGUGCCUUUGAUAAAAAUACUCUGUUUUUUUUUCUCUUUGAUUGGGAUUUUUUUGUGUCUCUUUUAUUUGGAAUUUCUUUGGACACUUUAAUAAUAUAAUAACAAAAAAUAAUUUGAUUAAAUUAUUGUUCAUUCAAACACAGAUUUACUGUGGACUCCAAUAGUAUUUUUCACUAUAUUUUGAAUUUUAGUUUUUGAUAGCCAUGCUCGUUUGAUUUUUUUUUUUUUUUUUCAUACUCUUCCAAAUAAUGCAAGAAAUGAGGACCUGAAAUAACAGCAGCGAAUAAGGAGAGAGAUAACGUGUUUGUUCUUGUUUCUUAGAAAGUAUUUUAAAAAAUAUUAAAUUAAAUUUUAUUUUAUUUUUAUUUCAAAUUAAUUUUUAAAAAAACUAAUUUGAAAAUUAAUAUGAAAAAAGAGGAUAAUAGAGUAGUUGUCCCAAUCAAAACACAUAAAUAUAGGACAAAAACAGGGAUAAUAGAGUGCUCUUUGUUUUCUUAACUGUAUUGGUUUAAUAAGGUUUAUAGAGUGUUGUAUAAAUAUUUUAGAUAAAAAAAAGGUUAAAAGCAAGUUUUUAAAUAAAAAAAAAAGCUUUAUUUUUUUAUAUAAUUUAAAUAAAAUCAAUUUACUUAGUUGUUAAGAAUUAUAACUCAAGGGGAAAAACUUACAAAGAAGUAGAAUUACCGGAACAAACACAAGAAAGGAUCAAACUCAAGCAAUGAAAAGUAAUUGUUUACGAUGAUCAUCUCACUAAGUAAGGAGAGAAAAGAAGGAGAAAGAAAGGAAAAGGACAAAGAAGGCAGAAAGUAAGGUCACGUAGGGCCAGUCUUGUAGAAAGUUUGAGAAUUAGAGAGGCUGUUUGCUGCCAAGUGCCACGUGACACAAACGAAGCUACCCCUUACCUACUCCUGGAAAGGAAUGUCAGACUAUACUGCCUUUUUCAAUUCAUUAAUGUCGUUCCCAUCAUAUACAUGUUUUAUAUUCUUAAAAUUGCUCUGUGGGAUUGCAGGCCAUGCUCGUUUGAUUUUUUUUAUAACAAAAUUCUUUCCGUAUAAUUUUCCAACAUUGCACUUGGAUACCAAACUUCAAUUUACUCUUUUUCAAGGUUUUUUUUUUUUUUUUGGAGAAAAGAGUGGGUCCUUGAAUUUUAUUUCAGAGAGAGAAAGUUGUUGUUAGCUAUCAAAAUCAUUGAUUUUUGUGUCAAAUGAUAAUCAUCUAUUUUUUUUCUGUGUGUUCAUACUUAAAACCUUCUUAAAGAGUUCUUAUCAAUGACUUUAAAACCACUCUUUCUAGAUCAAAAGGUUAGAAAUAACUCUCUACCCUCUAAAUCUAACAAAACCACCAAGUACCUUUAAAACCAAAACCACAAUUGCAAAACUAGUUUAGUAUAAGAACUUCUAACUAUUAGCUUUUGUCCAUAACUCUCUCAUUUUGAUCUAAUGGUUAAACUUUCAUUAAUUUUUAAGGGAAUCUAUAAAAAAACCUAGAAAAACUCUAUAAAUACCCUUGAAAAUCAGAGUCAGAGAGAAGGAGAGAAGGGGAGAAAAGGAGAGAAAAAACAUGGGGAAAAAAUUUGUUAAUAGACUCUAUUACGAAGGUUCAAGAGCUUAAUAUAAAAGGUCUAAACAACUUUUAAAAAAAAAAAGUUAAAAGAAAAGAAGGAAGGAAAUGAGAAGAAAAAAAAAUAACAACGUAAUUUUGAACUUAGAAGGCCUAAUUUCAGUGCAAGUUGAGAGCAUUAGAGACUAGACCGUGCUUAUACCAAAAACGACUCUCAUCGUUGAAGGAAUGCAAACAGUUGUUAACGAGACACUCAUGCUGUUCCAACAUUCAAAGAUUGUUGAAUCUAGUACUGGUGCUCAUUCUGGAUCUAGUACCAAAAGGAAUAUAGAAAGAGAUUACCAUUGGGGCAAACGUGGGCAAUGCAUUUAUAAUAGCCAGAGAGGUGUUUUUAUAUACAAUCAACAAUUAAGGUAUCUUCUUGUGCUGAGCUUCCAUCAUGGUUGCAAGACAUUACCAUUGGGGCAAGGUCAUUUUGCUCGUAAAAGCAAGUUUUAAUUAAAAACUAAAUAAAUAAAGUAUUGAAAAUUGUUAUAAUCAAUUUGAAAAAACCUAAUAACAAUAGAUUAUUAUUCUUGUUAAACCCCUAACUUCAUAAUAAAAUUUGAUUAUCCUAAUACAAGAUUUAAUAUAAUUUCAUAGUUGUUAAACACUAACUGGACAUACAAAAAAGUACAAAUUACAACAAAAAAAUAAUUUGUUAAUAGACUUAUUAAAUUGGAGGACUAAACUAAAAAUGUCAUAAGUUCAUGACUAUACUAAAAUUCUUUCCAUAAUUCAUCCUCAAUUUUAUCUAGAAUUUCAAAUUAUGCUCCAGAAAUCACUCUGGAAUUUUUUUAAAUUUCUAAGGUCAAAUUAUAAUUUCAUCAAAUUGGAGGAUCAAAAUGAAAAUGUCAUAAAUUCAUAACUAUACUGGAAUUCUACCCAUAAUUCAUUUUUAAUUAUGUCCAGAAUCUUGGAUUAUACUUCAGGGACCAAUCUCUAAUUUUUUCACAGUUCAGGGAUUAAAUUAUAAUUUUUAUAAAUUGAGGGACUAAGCUGAAAUUUCAUAAUCUUCAACCUCAAACCCAGAAUUUACAUAGAUAACCUAUUGAUAUAUCAAGAUUUCUAACUCAAAUUCACCAUUUAAAUAAAUUAUCACUCAAAAUUAUUAUUUUUAUCAAAAAGCUUUUAAAAUCAACUAAAUAACUCGUUAGCAUAUCAAUGAACCAAUAAUUUUUCUAUAAUGUAAUUGUAAUUCCUAGCAUAAUGCAUAUUGGAGGGCAAGCACAACAACUCAGGAGCAAAAAACUCGAUGAAAUAGCAAAAUAAAAAGACUUGAAGGACUGAAAUAAAAUAAAACAAAAAAAGAGGGAUGAAAAAACUAACCGCAUUCUGGUUGCCAUAAAAAACAUAGUUCUUUUAGUAUAUAUUUUUUUAAAAUAUUGUAAUAGGUCAAUCAUAUUACCCGAGUAUGUGACACAGAGAUGAUCAUCAUAGAAAAUUACUUUUAGGUGCUGGAGUUUUAUCCUUAGAUGACAAACUUACCUUUUUGUCCUUCUAAUGCUUUUGCUUUCAUUGUUUCGAAAGUAAAAGAGACAAAAACAUAAUCAUUUCCUUCCUUUUACUUUCCACUUCUUUGUAAUGGAUUGCAAACGGGAUGGUGCUUAGGGGGGGCCAGUUUUUCUUUUCCUUUCUUUUUAAAAUCUUAUUCCUUGGGUGAGGAAAUUAGUGGAGCAUUAGACUUUUUAAAAGACAACAAAAAGAAUUAAGUAAUGUCUCAUCUUUUGAUAUGGUGGUACAAGAUGCACCAUGGUAUGGUGGUCUUGCAAGAAUGUCUUAUCUUUUGAUAUGGUUGUCUUUCAUGAUCAGUUUGUUGAUGAGGAUAUCAAAAGAUUCGAGUCUCCGCUCUAGUUCAGGUUGGAAGCUAGGCAGAAAGCUAAGCUUCUUGUAAUUAUGAAUUGUUUAUGCAAAGGAAACCCAGAAGCUUGAACAAACAGAAAUGCCUUGUUGAUUUCUCUGCUACUACUCAUUAUUUCCAAUAUUAUUCCAUUAUCUUACCCGAAAGCAAUUAUACAAGAAAUUUAAUUAUCCUGCCCCAAAAGGAAAUUUAUUACAAGGACUUCCUUUAACCUCCUUGAAGGCAAUUUAUUUGAUGAAAAUUCCUUUAAUCCACCUCGAAGACAAUUUAUCUUAGGGAAUUCCAACAACCCAGACAAUUUAUUUCUUGGAAAUUCCUUUAACCCACCCUUAAGGCAUUUUAUCAAAGGGAAUUCCAAAAUCAAUUUAUUUCUUGGACUCGGUAUUCUCUGGUACUAGUUAUUUAUAUAUAUUUAACAACACUUUUAUCUUACAUUUAAAAAGAAAUUCAAAAGAAAGGAUAACCCUUACCUAGAGCUCCUGUGGUUCUUGUUCCCGAGAGAAUUGGCUCCACUACGGGCAAAUCUACUACCAAAAACCCAAGUUUCAACCAAUCAAUAACAUCAACACCCAUUUUAAUUCAAUGCAAUAAGUUUUUCUUAACCAAUUUACUUGAUGCAAGUUCUUAUAAUCAAAGUGACAGUAUUCGAGGUGAAGACAAGCAGAAGGGCGUGAUAGAGUUUGACAAAGAUCAAGCUAGUUCCAAUAAAGGGAAACACUCUAUGGCCUAUGCAGGCCAAACUGCAAUGGCAUCCAAUAAGUGAGGACAAUCUUGUAUCUUCCAAGUGGCAGUAGAAUUUAAUUAUAACUACCAUUAUUCUUAUCUUUAGUUAGUAAUAUAACUCUAUUUAUUGUAUCUAUUAGGACAUUUUGUAAUGAAAACCUGUUAGUUAUUUGGUGUGAUUCCAAGGAGUGAUUCCUUUGAAUGAUAUCAGGCUCUACUUAUUUCAUAUUCCUUGCAAUUCUUGGAUUCUGCAAUAAAGUUAUCCGAAUUCUUUUCCUCUAUCAAUACUUUCUUGCUAUCUUUUAUAUAAUGUUCAUUAGUUUACAUAAAUUGUUCCUUUAAUAUCGUUUGGUAUUAAUUGAUAUCAGAGCAAGUUUUGAAUUUUGUUCUUCUAUGCCUGGAAUCGCAGUGGAAAUUCUUAUAAUCCCACCAAUAAAAGAUUACAGGACCCAAACCAAUUCUGAACUCCCCGUAGAAAACAUCUCCAAACCCAUUUUGAAUCACCCACAACAAGCAUCUCCACAACCUAUUAUGAACCCCCCAUAACAAGCACCUAUUAUGAACCCCCCAUAACAAGCAUCUCUACAACAUGAUUCUACUUGUUAAACCAGUUACAACCACAAAUGGAGUUGGUUACCCGCACCUUGGGAGCCAUUGUUGAACAUCUGGAUAACAGUGAAGAAAGGAGUAAUAUUGAUGAAAAUUGAAGGGGCAGAGUUGAUCAAGGAGGAGAUGUGGCUAUAGAUGAUGAAGAAGUAGGAGAACAUUAGCUCAAUUCAGUCUACAGUAACAGGGAGGUCAAAAUUGAAAGAUAUGACUAUUUUCAUUAAUUUUAUUAAAGCUUAUAAUAAAACGUUGUGUUUUUAAUUGGAAUUUUUUUUUUUAUAUGGCUUGGCUUUUUUAUUUUUUUUAAAUGCAAUCUCCUUCCCUUUAUCAUACAGAAAUCCAGUUUUGAGUUUAUGUAACUAUAUUAACAAAACGAUUAAAUGCUUUCGUGUCAGUUUAAUUAUUUAUAUAAAUAAUAAACCCAGUUAAUAUAUUUUUUAAUCAGUUUAUGAUAUAUUUGUCUCAUAGUUGAGUUAGUUAAUGUAUGUUGAUUGAUCCGAAGGUAGUGGGUUCAAGCUAUACUAGGAAUAAUAUUAUGUUUUUUCAAAUUAGUAGCAAAGGCGUGUGGGCUUGUCUCAGGCUCACAUGCUAGUGCCUGAGUUUUACUGUAAUAGACCCUAUCAUAUUAGGCCACGUAAGCCGGAGUGGUUGGAUAUUUUUUUAUUGGUCAUUUUAAAUUUUUUUAUUUUUUUAAUAUAAUUUUUUAAUUUUAUAUUUUAAUGUUGAGUUUUUUUAUUGAGUUUUAUUUGUCAAUAUUGAAUUUAUUAUAAAUUAAUUUUUGUAUUUUUUAUUAUAUAUAAAAUAAAAAAGUUUAAUUUAAAUUAAUAGAGUUUAUAAUCCGAGUAAAGUACUUGGUGGGUUAGUUAUAAACCUGAACUUUUUUAUUUUUUAUUUUUUGGAAAAGUAAAAGACAAAUUAAAAAAAUAAAGUAAUCUAUCUUUUUGAUAAGGUGGUUCAAGAUGCACCAUGAUACGGAUGUAUUUUAUUUUAUUUUUGCCUUUUUCUUUUAAAAAUGUUAUCUAAGAUGGAAAUACUUGCAUCAUGAGUAUGUAUUGGCCUACAAGUCCAAGCUAUUUGUGAUCAGGAUAACCUAUCAUGUCGAGCAUUAGAGUUUUUAAAAGACAAAACGGGGACAAGUGGGAGGCGAAGAAAAAGACAAUAGUAGGUGGUCUAAGAUACAUCUAUCUAUAUAUGACAAUAAUAAAACAAGCCUUUAAAACAACUCUGAAAACAAAUUUUUUUAUAAUUCAUAAUUUAUAAACACAUGCGAUAAAAUAACACUAUUAGAAAUUCGUUAAAUAGCAAUGAAUUUACCGACAAAAUAUUUCUGUCGGUAAUUUAAGGUCGAAAUUACCGACGAAACUUUUUUCGUCCAUAGUUCAAUCGGUAACUGCCGACGGACACUUUUCGUCGGUAGUUACCGACUGAAUUACGGAUAGAAAGUUCAAAAUUAAAAAAAAAUAGACGGGCCGCUGACGUGGAGGUUUUGGCUGGGUGAUUUUUUUCGACAAAUUCAAAAUGACAACGUUGUACAGUCACGUGACCUGCUCACCGUUAAAAAUACCGAUGGAAUCACCGAGGGAUUACAGGACCCAUUUGAACUCCCCGUAGAAAACAUCUCCAAACCCAUUUUGAAUCACCCGCAACAAGCUUCUCUACAACAUGAUUCUACUUCCUUGUUAAACCAGUUACAACAACAAAUGGAGUUGGUUACCCGCACCUUGGGAGCCAUUGUUGAACAUCUAGAUAACAUUGAAGAAAGGAGUAAUAUUGAUGAAAAUUGAAGGGGCAGAAAUGAUCAAGGAGGGGAUGUGGCUAUAGAUGAUGAAGAAGUAGGAGAACAUUAGCUCAAUUCAGUCUACAGUGACAGGGAGGUCAAAAUUGAAAGAUAUUACUAUUUUCAUUAAUUUUAUUAUAGCUUAUAAUAAAACCUUGUGUUUUUAAUUGGAAUUUUUUUUAUAUGGCGUGGCUUCUUUUUUUUUUUUUUAAUGCAAUCUCCUUCCCUUUAUCAUACAGAAAUCCAGUUUUGAGUUUAUGUAACUAUAUUAACAAAACGAUUAAAUGCUUUCGUGUCAGUUUAAUUAUUUAUAUAAAUAAUAAACCCAGUUAAUAUAAUUUUUAAUCAUUUUAUGAUAUAUUUGUCUCAUAGUUGAGUUGGUUAAUGUGUGUUGAUUGAUCCGAAGGUAGUGGGUUCAAGCUGUACUAGGAUUAAUAUUAUAUUUUUUCAAAUUUAUAGCAAAGGCGUGUGGGGCUGUGGGCUUGUCUCAGGCUCACAUGCUAGUGCGUGAGUUUUACUGUAAUAGACCCUAUCACAUUAGGCCACAUAUGGUUGGAUAUUUUUUUUAUUGGUCAUUUUAAAUUUUUUUACUUUUUUUAAUAUAAUUUUUUAAUUUUAUAUUUUAAUGUUAAGUUUUUUUAUUGAGUUUUAUUUGUCAAUAUUAAAUUUAUUGUAAAUUAAUUUUUGUAUUUUUUAUUAUAUAUAAAAUAAAAAAUAAUAAUUUAAAUUAAUAGAGUUUAUAAUUCGAGUAAAGUAUUUGGUGGGUUAGCUAUAAACCUUAACUUUUUAUUUUUUAUUUUUUAGACGAGUAAGAGACAAAUUAAAUAAACAAAGUAAUCUCAUCUUUUGUUUUUUUUUUUUUUGUUUUGCCUUUUUCUUUUAAAAAUGUUAUCUCCUUGGUAAGGAAUCCUUGGUUCCCAACAGCAACUGUAGCAGAGUUGACGGUUGCGUAAAAACAAAUCUCUAAACUCCACCGAAAGUAGUGGAGCAUUAGAAUUUUUAAAAGACAAAACGGGGACAAGUAGGAGACGAAGAAAAAGACAAUAGUAGGUGGUCUCAGAUACACCGUAUAUAUGACAACAAGACAAUUGACCGUGCGAUGCGCGAGUUAUUUUUUUUACAUAAAAAAUAUUAAAAUAAAUAAAAGUUUAAAAAUUUUGAGUUUUUCUGUAAAGUUAUACAUAAAAAAUUUAAGUUUGGCUGCAACGCCUGACCUAAGAGUAAUAUUUAUAAUAUUAAUAAUAAAAUUAAACUUGCUGCAACACUGGACCCAAGAAUAUUGGAUGUGGGUCUAGAUAUAAGGUCGUGUCAUAAAAGUGUGAUAAUUAAAUAGAUUGAUAAAAAAAAACAAAGAAAAAAAGUCAACACAAAGGAAAAAACUAAUGAAGUAAAAGAAAAAGAAAUUAAAUUAAUUGAGUUAACCCUUUAAACCAGGUUAUCCCGUAAAACCUGGGAUUCACAUCAUAAAAGUUUGAUAACUAAAUAAAAAAAUAAAUGACGGGUUUACCCAGAAUUAACUGGGUUAACCCAUUAAACCAAGUUAACCCGUCAAGCCCAGGACACGUGUCAUGAAAGUAUAAAAGUCUGAUAAUUAAAUACAAAGAAAAUUAACUUUAACAAACUAAACUAAAUGAAAAAAAUAAUUUAUCAAAUCAGGCUAACCCAUCAAAUCCAAGAUUCGUAUCAUGAAAAUCUGAUAACUAAAUAAAAAAAUUUAACAUUAACAAAUUAAAUCAAACAAAAAAAAUUCAUUAAAAAAAAUUAAAAAGAAAAAAAGGAAAAAAAUAGUUAUAUAAUAUAAAAUAAUAUAAUACAAUGUAAUUAUAAUUAUAAUUAUAAUUAUAAUAAUAUAAUAUAUUAAUAAGUAAAUAUAUUAGUAAAAGGUGUGACAUGCCCGCGCGAUGCUGCGGGCUUACGGCAUGCUCGUGCAUUAUUGUGGAUUUGUGAAAAAAAUCAUAUAAAAAAAAUGUUAUCAUCCACAAUAUUUUAAAGGAAAAAACUACAAAACUAUAUUCUCAACCAGCUUAAUAUUAAAAAAAAAAAUCGACAAAAACAAUUAUAAAAAAAAACAAAAAAAAAAGAAGAUGAUAAUUUUGGAAGAAAAAAAAGCAAAAAGCAAAUAAUAAUAAUAAAAAAAAAACACGUGGGGAAAGUUAAAGUUAAAUUUUCAACCAGCUUAAAAUCAUUUAAGAAAACACUGUAGCAAUCUAUAGUGUUUUGUGAAGAAAUAUACAACUAUAAUUCUCAACCAGCUCAAUAUUAAAAAAAAAAAUCAAUAAAGAUAAUUUUGACAUAUAUAAAAAAAAACGAAAGGAAAAAAAAACAUUCAUGGAAACACUAUAACAAUCUAUAGUGUUUCGUGAGAAAAUCUACAUUUGUAAUUUUUAACCACCUCAAUAUCAAAAACAAUAAAAACGACAAAGACAAUUUUAAAAAAAACAUAACAAAUAAAAGCAUAUGGAAAAACACUGUAGCAAUCAACGAUGUUUUAAGGAAAAAAACUAAAUUGUUAGCCAAUUCAGUAUGAAAAAAAUAAAUUUGACAAAAACAUAUUUGGAAAAAAAGCAUCGACAAAAAAAAAAUGUGGGGAACACUGUAGCAAGGAAAAAAUAAUAUGGGAAAACACUGUAGUAAUCUACAGUGUUUUAAAUAACUACAAAGCUAAAUUCUCAAUCAGCUUAAUAUAAAAAAAAUAAAAUCGACAAAGAUAAUUAUGAAAAAAAAAUUAUUUAAUAAAAAGACAUGUAGAGAAAUGACUAUUCACUAGACUUGUAGAUAUUAAUUAUAAAGUUUUUGAAAGUUUUCAAUCUAGUAUUUGAUUUUUUUGUUUGCAUAAUUGAAUCUCUUUGAACCCAAAUUAAAAUUUAAUUGCAUAUAUUAUUUUAAUAAAAUAGUUUGAAAAACAAAAAACUGAAGUAGAAACCCAGUAAAAAUAUGUGGUGAUACUAUAAUUUAUUUGUAAAGUUUAUUUUAAUUUCUUAUUUUUUUUAAAUUACUAGGUAAUAUGUCCCUAUAAUUUCUUGAAAUUGCAUUUUGAUACCAAAUAUCACUAGUUGUUUUUUUUAAGGAGAAAGAGUUAUUAUUAAGUAUUUUAACUAUCAAAAUAGUUGAUUUUUUAUGAUAAAUAAUUCCAUAAUCUGGCUUUCUUUUCAAAGUCCAGCUAAGUUUUUGGCUUAUUAUGUUCACAUAGAGAGGUGGGAUUUUAUAAGCCAUGCAAUAUAUUUUUUUUUUUGGUAACCAAACAUAACCACAAGCCCAAAAGAAAACAAUUUUAACAAUACCCACCAAACAGUUGAAGUGCUAUGUAGUAAUGAUUUUUUAGAAUUGUAUUUUUUUUUGGUAAGAUAUUGAAGUAUUUUUUAUUUUUAAUAUUAAUAUAUUAAAUUAUAAAAGAAUAUUUAAAAAAUAUCAAUUUAAUAAUUUUUAAAAUAAAUAAUUUUUAAUUUAAAAAAUAUCUAAAAAUAAAAGAUACCAUACUCCUGAACGAGCUAUAAAAUCAAUCUAAAAUUUUUAUAAACUCAAUUUACAAGCUGGGUACAGAAGUAUCAACACAACUACUUGAGAGACUGUUUAAAAUCAAUCCUUUUUAAAAAUAAAAAAACUCCUUAGUUGUUAAGGAAAGAUUGGUAGUGUGAACAAAUCACCAAAGUCAGCAGCAAGGAAGUUCCAGGAAGUGGGCAGCCUUUCUUCUGCUGCCAUUGUAAAAUCAUAUAUUUAAAAUACAGUAAUAAAAAUGUAAUACGCAGCUAAUUAAUGUAUUAAGCAGCUAAUUAAUGAUGUUGUUCUUUCUUCUUGUUUUUCUAUUUUGAUUUUAUUGUAUUUUUUCAAAAAAAUUAUGAUUGUGAAAGCUAGCCAAAGCAUUAGUUCCAAGCAAUCUAUGAGGUUAUUUAACAGUGUGGUUGUCAUUGCUUUUCAAUGUAUUUUUCAUUCGAAAAUACAUCAAAAUAAUAUUUUUUUUAUUUCUUAAAAAUUAUUUUUAAUAAACAUAUCAAAAUAAUCUGAAAACACCAAACAAUUAUUAAUUUGAAGUAAUUUUUUUUUAAAAUGCUUUUAAAACACAAAAAACAAACAGAAAAACUAGUGUAGGUGCGCUCAACAUUGUCCCGAGAUACUUUUAUAAUCUAAGUUUUUUAAUAUAUUUUUUAUUUAAUUAUGCAAUAUAUUCAUAGAAAACACCCAAAAUAAAAUUAUAGACAAAAAAUAUAUAUUUCAUCAAAAUUCUCUAGUCUAAUUCAUGUAUUUUUCUUCAAAAAAAAGUUUUUGAUGAUAUGAAAAGUAAUAACAACCAGGAAAAGUCUCCUAAGAAACUGUAAUGAUUUGAACUAAAAAAAUAUUUUUUUGUUGAAAACAUAGUUUUUUUAAUUCAUGAAUUUUUUUUAUUGAAAAGAAAUGUACUUUUUAUGAGUAAUUUUAUUUUGCUCAAAUGUCCCUAAUACAUAAUUAUUCAUAAAAUAUUGAAAAUAUCAUAAUAAAAAUGCCUAAUCUUCUUAAAAACAAUUAAAUAAUUGAACAAUCACUUAAAUAUUAUUUUAAUAAAUUGGAUUGAAAGAUUUUUUUUUAUUAAAAAUAAAGAAUAAAAAAAAUGAAAUGAUAUCUAAGAUAAAGGUUAUACAAGCCUUGAAAGAUAAUAUAUGUACGUGUAUAAUACAAAUUAAUAAAUUCUAAGUAGCAAUAUUUAAUGCAAGUUUAAGAAUAAGAGUUUGCUUUGUGUUUUGUUGUGAGAUUAACCAUAUCAAAUUAUAUAUUUAAUAAUAAAUAACUGUGUUGUGUUAUGAGUAAAAUCAAUAAAUUAUUUGGUGUUCUGCUAUCUUGUUGUUUGAAUUAAAAUUAUUAUUAAGAAUAUAAAUUAAAUAAAAUAUUGAACAAACUAAAUGAAUUGCUUAAUAAAUAAAUAAUUUUUUUUUUUAGAAAGCAUGGAAAUGCCAUGACAUUGGCUUUUUAGAUAAUACUACAAUAUUAACAGCCAAAGAAAUCAUCGAUAGCUGUGUAAAUCAUCGAAACUGCCACAAAAGCAGGAGAGGUAUUUCUUUUGGCAACACAUAAAUGAAAAAGAAUAAGAGUUCCUAGAUCUGAAAUAGGAGGAUAUAAUAGAUAUGCAAUAUGAGAGGAGGUUCCAAGAUUUAUUUAUCUUUGCCACCAUUUACAUUUCCACCGAGCAUCAUCUAGUAAAACAAUUCCGGGAUGGACUUAGACAUGAGCUGAAGCUAACCUUGAUAACUAUACAAUUCCGGGAUGGACUUAGAAUUGGUGUGGGCUAGAGGAUAAUGAAUAACACUAUGAAGCCAACUAAUAAGCAGAGUCAAGUAAAUUGUUCAUAAUGAAUAACACUAUUUAAGAGAAGAGACUUUAUGCAUCCUACAAAGAGGACCCCUCCAAAAAAAAAAAGAAAAAAAAAAGGAUAGUCGUUCGAGCAAUUUCAUGGAAGAAGGGGGAGCUUUAUUCACGGGGAAAAUUCAGGGGGAGCUAAAUGCUGGAGCUUUAUUCAUAGUUGGAUCAUUUGUGAUUUUAGUGUUUGCUACUCUCAGUACUUAUAUUAGAAGUGCUCUCAUCUUUGAAGGAAUGUAAAAAAUUGUUAAUAUGAAACUUAUUAUGUAUAGAAAAUUGUUGUUUUUUUUUUUUUUGGGUUUGAAUUAAUAUAAACAUACACAAUUAGUUGAAUUUCAAGAAUGAGCGAAUUUCAAGAAUGAGCUAACUUAAGAAUAAUCAUAAGUAUGUUUUUGUUAGAAAUAACUUUUUACUUAAAUAAAAAAUGUGUUGCAAAAUUGAUUUAUAAGUUUCUUUUUUCUUACUUUUAAAUCAUGGAUUGCAUCUUACACAAUAUUUUUGUUAAUUAAAAAAUAGUUAAUUUGAGUUGUUUUUAUUAAACAUCCUUAUAAUUAAUUCAUUUUCACAGUGAAUUAUUUAUUAAAAACAAAUUAAGAUUAACACUUAAAAAAAAAUAAAAAAAUAAUUCAAGAAUCAUAUUAAAAAAUUCUUAAUUUCUCACAGCACAACAAAAUGCUUUAAAAGAAAGCUAAUAAUCUGACAGGAGGUGGGGCUGCUCUUAGCCAAUGAAAACAGCUUCACAUGCAACACAUCAACAUGAAAAAAAAGAUUAUCAGCCUGUUUUUUCCUUAAAGAACACCCUCUUGGAUUCUCUAGCAUUAGCCACAAAGGUAUCUGCUUGGAAAAACCAUUCCACAAUCUAGAAAUUUAAAUGCCCAAAAAUACAUCGAUUGACAACAAGUCACAUGCCCAUACAUACAUUAACAUUGAUUUCAGAUCUUUUACAAAUUCUAAUCUUUGUAAGAAGCUGUUUUGCUGCCCAUCGGAUGUGACCACCUGACCAGAAGACAAUAUUAUAUUUUUUAAACCCUUCACUCUCAUAAACAACAAUUUAUAUGAUUAUAAAUAGGAUAAAAUAGGAUUACAUAUUUUUAGAAAUUACCUAUUACUGUUUUAGUUUUUUUUUCCUUAAUUAGAGAUAAGUUGAAUAAAGUAGUAACAAUUAUAUUUUUGAGAGAAAAAGUAACUACAACUCCUAAUAAUUAGUUUCGUGUAAGAAAUAAAAAUAAUUAUGUUAAUAAACUUUUAAAGAUAUUUUAAUUGAAUUAAGUAUUUCAACACAAAAUUUAUGCUCUUAUACAGUUAUAUAUUAAUUCUAACAAAAAAUAUGAUUUCUAUGUUUAAAUGUUGGUAUUAAUAACGGAUACAACAAUGAGGCAGUUAAGUUUGGUGGAUAAAAUAAAAUCAUUAAUAAAAUAAAAAUAAGCUAGUAUGUUUGUUACAUAACUAAAAAUAUUUAAUUUUUUUAUAUAUAUUUUUUUAAAUUAUUUUAAUAUGCUGAUAUCAAAAAUAUAUAUUAACAAGUUUUUAUUUCAAAAAUAAUAAUAAUAAUCCUUUGCUAGAAACUUAACAAAAGCCUUUUAUAGGUGCUCCCUCACGCGUCGUCUUAGUUGCUGACCAUUGAUUGCUCAUUGCUUGAUGCGUGGAGAUAGGAUCAGAUUUUUAAAGCUAAAUCUUGCAUCAAGGGUGGCUACUGGUAUUGAUGUCAUUUUCUUAGGUCAAUGAACAUUAUUUUUUUACAAUUUUAUAUUUUCAUGUAAUGUUUUGUGAUAUUUUAUCCUUGCAUUUUCUUGACAAUUUAAUGUGUUUUGUUGCAUUUUCUUUUAAAAUUAGAAAAAAACUCAAAAAAUGUCUUUUCAGUAGUUUUAUUCAUUUCGUUAUUUUUUUCAUUUAUUUUUUGUGUGUCAAGAAAUCUUGAAAAAAACAAUAUAAAAAUACAAAAAAUAAAUAAUAUAAAAAUAUGUAGUUGGGGUUGCAAUUGGACCAAUAUUUGAGUAUCACAAGUAAAAAUAAAAUUUGUAAAUUUUUAAGUCAUAAUUAAGAUUCGAAUUGAAGAUAAAUGGGCUAAAAUUGGCUAAAAUUGAAAGAAAUUGAAGUUCAAGGAUGAGUUUGGAACAAAUAGCCAAGUUAGAAAACCAAUUAAGAGCUUUAUUGAAGAAACAAAUUGAAAUUGGAAUGCAAUUUGACUCAAAACAAUGAAGAAUUGAAGGACCAAAGCCCUUAAAUGGAUAAAGCCGAUAAUUCAGAGGUCAUAUUCUGUCAGGGUUUUACUUGAAAGAAAUUUUUAAAAAAAGGUGAAAUGACCGAACUAAGGAAGAUUCAAAAACCAAUGAUUAAAAUGCAAAAAACGCUGAAAUGCAGGGACUUACAUGAAAAUGGGCCUAAUUUAAUUAGAAAAGAAACCCCAGGGCCUAAUUAGAAAACCUGUUUCAAAUAAAGUGAGACGAUGUGUUUUCUUGGGACUAGAGUUCAAAUUGCCAACAAACUCCUCUUGCCAUUCCCUAAUUGCACUGAGCCAGCUAAUCUGGAUGAAAGUUAUCGAUAGCUGUGAAAAUCAUUGAAACCGCCACAAAAGCAAACUCAAAUUAGUUAUGAAUUGGAUUCGAUGGAAGGAAGAUGGGAAGAGGGGAAAUUAAAGAGAGAUGAAGAUCUGCGCAUGGCUACCUGUUUUUGAGAGAAUUAUGGAAAGUUAUCCCAACUCAAAACGGCACCAAUUAUAAGUUCAGUAAAAAAAAUCUGGAACACAACAGAUGGAAAAAACUGCUACAAUUUAGGCAAGAAAUUCAGAAUGAGCCAAGAUUUCAAGUGAGAUGAAACUUUUUGUCUCACUUUUUUUUUUUUUUUUUUUUUAAUAGUAUCAUGGAUAACUAAACAGAGGAACGUUAAGAGGAUAGAAUAUUUAGAAUCACUAGCAAUAGCCAGCUGCUAGGUAUCUGCUCGAAAAACCCUUACUAUUAAUGCUAGGCAGUAAGGUUCUACUUAUAAUUUAGAAUUAGUUCUCAGCAACUUCACAGUUUAACUAAAACAUUUCUUAGCAAGUCUUUUGUAAUGAAUAAAGUAGCCAGGAUCAUUUCCAGCAUACUUCCACCUUUAACGAAGCAAUUAGGGUUUCUAGCAACUUUAACUUGCUAUAUACAAGUUUAACUCUUAUCAUGAACAUUGGCAUUUAAUGGAAAUUCAGUGCAGGAUAAUAAGGAAUUAAGCUUCAUGAAACAUGAAAUAAUGCAAGAGUUAAACAGGCUCUUGAUUUCCAACAUCACAAGCUAUAUGCCUAGAAAGAAGCUUGUGAAAGGGUUUGUAAUUAAGCAGCAAACAAUUAGAAAUCAGAGGAUACAUUGCAAUUGCCAGCAAUGUAUCUGCUCGAAAAAACCAUUCAACAAGGGGUUCUGCGAGGAAAACAUGAGAUUGUUCAUACAAUAGAUUGGAUAUCAGUUUCAAACUUUUGAACAAAUAAUACAACAUCAAGUCUCAGUCAUCACAUGAUCAUACGAAAACAUUUAUUCAAGAUCUUAAGCGGCAUUGCCAGGCCCAUUUCCAAAACCACAUAAGCAUAUGCAAUAGAAACAGAGCAUCAAACUGACAGAGAAAACAUACUGAUGCAGCAAAUACCCAAGUCGUAGAGCCAUUAAUUUGAGUAGAAAGGAGAAUGAAAGUCCACACAUUAAACAGUACGCACAUACAUGAGUAGACAUUAUGCUGUUUUUGAAGAUUCAGACACUUCAAAAGAAACUCAAAUGGGCCAACACACACUUAUUUUUGGGAAGUUCACACAGCAAACACGUACAUAGAUAAGUCGAAAUCUUCUUUUGGUAAAUAAAAUUGUUACAAUGUGAAGCCAAUUUCAAUCCCAUUGCCAAUGAAACAGUUGGAAUUAUUUCCACCAAUCUAAAACAUAUUCCAUGUAAUAGGUAACAUGGACAACCUUGCCUGAUGCAAACAUGAAGAACAAAGACAUGAAGACAUGAAUAUCCGUGAAAUCGCCUAAGGUGGAGUUGAUCAUGUAAUAGGUAACCAACCUUGCCUGAUGCAAACAUGAAGAACACAGACCAUCCAUGCAUAUCGCAUAUGUUAAUUUAAUUCGAACUUUAAAAGUUGAAGGAAAAGGAGAGCAGAUAAAUAAUUGCAGCCAUAUCACCUGGUUUGGGCAAGAAAGAAUUAUUAGACUAGCAAACAUCAUCAUCACCAUACUCUUCUACUUCUUCUUUCCACCCAGUAUCUCGGGUCCGCUCUCUAUUAGUUCUUGAAUCUUCAGCUACUUGAGAUAUCUGUAAACCAAUUCAAGCAUGGCAUACACAUUCUAACUUGUAAAUCUUAUUAUUGAGCGAAAUAAGAAACAAACACACUAAAAGAGAUGCAAGAAAUCAAGUCAAAUCUACAGCACCUCUGAUUGAGCACUCAUUGAACCAUCUGGUGUAAUAGCAAAUUUUGUGCUCAACUUUGUGCAUUCAUACACCUUCAACUUCUCCAAACGUGGGAAUAAGAAAUCACAACAUCCGAAACUGAAGAGGACAAUACUUGAUAAUUGUUUUAGCAACAGCUCCUUUAGAUCGGAAAGCACCAUCUCCUUCUCAACAUUGACAGGUGAAGCAUGAUCAUCCUGCCCAAAUACUCCCAAUACUUGAGAGGAUUUUGUUACUCUAAGUAUUUGGAGCUUUGGGAGACUUAAAGCCAUGGCUACUGGGAAAAGGCUCUUCAACGUGUUGCAUUCUCUAAUCUCAAUAUGACUUAAAUUGGGAAAGCAUAAAGAUCGAAGAGGAUCUCCUAACAAUAUCUGGUCGUUUUCAUCAUCAUCCUUAGCAAUGAUUUGCUCUAAUUCCUCACAGGACAAUAUCUUUAGAGCUUUCAGUUGAACUAGAUUGAUAAUCAUGCUGCAUGUGAAUACAUGUGUCAGUCUCUUACAAUUAACCACCUCUAAAGUAGUCAAUUUGCUCAGCACAAGACCCUUCCAUAUACACCUCAUGUCAGGUAGGGAUUCCAAGUAUAAUGUUUCCAAAUUUGUCAGCCCCUGCAUCAAAAGAAAACAAGGAUACCAAUUUGUUAGAUAUAAUUCCUAAUAAAUUUUGUGCACUUUGGAACUAUAUAAUUUAAGUAAAUAAAUGAACGACUUGUCCCCAAUACUUCAGCCAAAAACUUAACAACAAAAGGAUACAAGUAGACAUGGCAACAGGGCAUGGGAACAUGAAAUCAGAAGUUGCAGGACUGAAAGAGACAACUCAAUAUAAGAUGGAGGUUUAUCUUCCUUUUCAAAUACUUCCAUUAAUUGGGGGAAGAGCCUCAAUUUCACUCAAACUUUGGAAAGCAUAAAGAUUGAAAAAUCUAGGUAGGAUUUCAUUACAAUAAUUAUUUGUUCUAGUGACAGCUACCACAAAUUAGGAAGCACCAUCUCCUUCUCAACUUUGAUAGGUGAAGCAUGAUCAUCUUGCACAAAUACUACUAAUAAUUGAGAAGCUUCACUUACUUUCAGUAUUUGGAGCUCUGGGAGACCUGAAGUCAUGGCUAUUGGGAAGAUACUCUUCAACUUGUUGCAUUUUCUGACAUCAAUUUCACACAAAUUGGGAAAGCAUAAAGAUCAAGAAGAUCUUCUAACAAUAUCUGGUCGUUUUCAUCAUCAUCCUUAGCAAUGAUUUGCUCUAAUUCCUCACAGGACAAUAUCCGUAGAACUUUCAGUUGAACUAGACUGACAAUCAUGCUACAUGUGAAUACAUGUGUCAGUCUCUUACACUUAACCACAUCCAAAGUAGUCAAUUUGCUCAGCGCAAGACCCUUCCAUAUACACCUUGUUGUAACCCAUUUUUGGGUCCCUAUAAAAAAAAUAAUAAAUAAAAAAAAAUAAAAAAAAUAAAAAAUAAAAAUGUGCGCAGUACUGGCGCAGUAACCUGUAGAUUAAUUCUCUGGUUACUGUACACACAGUAACCCGGUUACUAUGUGCACAGUAACCAGCCAAAAAAAAAAUAGAAAAGGGCUAAACGGUGCCGUUUUGAACGGCACUGUUCCCCUUUCUUCCCCGCCUAACAUACAGCAGUAGAGAAGGAAAAAAGAUGUAUAUUUAAUGGCGUUGGUCCCUCCAGCCCACCGACCGAAGACAUUGGCCGACCGCCUACCGCACCGCCGAAACUGAGGGAGGCACGCCUGGACAGCCACGCCCGACCAGCCGCCGCAUGACCCCACGAUGAAAAAAAAAAAAAAAACACAUGCUCACGGGCUAUAAAUGGAGGAGAAGAGAGGAGGAAGGAGGAGGGAGAGAGAGGGAACAGAAGAGGUAACAGAAGGGAGAAUAGAGUGAGAAGAGAGGAGAGAAGGCAGAGAAGAAGAAGGGAAGAGGCAGAGAAGAAAACGGGAAAAAACAGAGGAGAGAGAGAGAAGGAAAACCGCCGGCCACCGCGAACCGCCAGCGCCGCCGCCGCCACCCCUGCUGCAUCAGCUGCUGCCAGCAUCAACACAGCUUCAGGUAACGUCCUACCUUUCCCGUCAUUUUUUUGCUUCAGUUCAUGCAGAACGUUUACGUUCUGCAGAAUUAAUUAGCUAGUUACUGUGCACAGCACAGUAACUAGCUAAUUAAUUCACAUUACUGUGUGCACAGUAACCCCCGGUUACUGCAUUGCUAAUUAAUUCUGUGGUCACUGUGUGUACAGUACCCCCGGUUACUAUGUGCACAGUGACCAGCCUAUUCUUUGAGCCAGGUUCGGCCCAACCCAUAUAUUUGGGCCUGAUCCGACCCGUUUCAAAAAAAAAAAAUCAAAAAAAUUUGUUUCAGUAUUUUAUAAUUUUUUUAGUGUAAUUUUUAUGUCAUUUCGAUUAAUAUUUGAUGGUAUUUUUUUAUGUUGUUAAAAAUACAAAAAUCUGAUUUUUCAAAUACCCGGUUUUCGUAAAAAAAAAAAAAAAAAAACUUCCACAAAAUACAAAAAAUUAAAAAAAGAAAAAAAACUGUUUUUGUACAUACGGCCAAGUGUCUCAAAGCUAAAAAUUCAUAUUGUAUUUUUUUCAUACACAAAAAAAAUGUUUUAGCAUGCAUUUUGGCUUUAAUAACCAGUUUAUUAAAGUCAAGAGAAUAUUGGCCAAUAUUUCAAAAACAACAAAAAUUUUAUUUUGUUUCUCUUAGUAUCCGGGGUAUGACUUUACACGUAAUGCAUAUUCCGGAUAUUUAAUUCUUUUUUUUUGGACAAUAGAACCUGGGGUAUGACAUUACAUGUAAUGCGUAUUCCGAACAAUAAGAAACCACAACACGACCUUAGAUUUUAUCAGACAAAACAAUGCAGCCUACCUUAGGUAGGGCGUAGUUGGGGUGCUAAUACCUUCCCUUUACGCAACCAGUCUUCGUACCCGAUCUCUAAAGACCAGUUAGGGUUCCUAGUAACCAGAAUACUAGGUGACGACUCCCAGUCCAUAUUUGCACUUGUAGAGACAAGAAUUCCUUGUCUCUCCCUAUUUUCCAGGAAUAAAUAUUUUUCCAUUUUUUCCUUGAGGGUGGACGAUCGCCGCGCCGCCGCACACGUGCGAUACACCUCAUGUCAGGCAGGGAUUCCAAGCAUAAUGUUUCCAAAUUUGUCAAACCCUGCAUCAAAAGAAAACAAGGAUACCAAUUUGUUGGAUAUAAUUCCUAAGAGAUUUUGUGCACUUUGGAACUGUAUAAUUUUGGAAAAUAGAUGAACGAAUUGUCCCCAAUACUUCAGCCAAAAACAUCAACAAAAGGAUAUAAGUAGGCAUGGCAACAGGGCAUGGGAACAUGAAAUCAAAGUUGUAGGACUGACAGAGACAACUCAAUAUUAGCAGAUGGAGGUUUAUCUUCCUCUUCAAAUACUUCCAUUAAUUGGGGGAAGAGCCUCAAUUUCACUCAAACUUGGAAAGCAUAAUGAUUGAAAAUCUAGGUAUCAUUUCAUUACAAUAAUUAAUUUCUUACUUCUUAAGCCCUGCAUCAAGAGACAGGGAAAGAUACAUUUAGACAACUCCUUUUAAAUAUAGUGGAUGGCUAAUGGAUUUAUCUCCACUUAUCAUAGUGUAUUGAAGUUGACAAUUUAAAUAAAAAAGGAAAAAAUUAUUGGAGAAAUAUAAAGGACGUACUUGUAGCUGUGCCGACAAAUUACCCAAUUCUUCAUGGCCAGAGAUGCAUAGAUUUUGCAAAGAAGGUAAUUGGGCAGCAAAAUUCUUCAAACCAAAAAAGCUGUAAUUUGAUCUGGAAAAAAGCUCCAAUUUUCUUAGUCGAGGGAACUUGAUGAUGCCAUCUCUGGUGAGUGCAUCUCCUUCUCCACUGUGAAAUAUUUGCUUUAAAUUGUCAGCAAAUUCAAUCUCCAUCUCUUCCAGGUUCAGAAGGCUUGGAGACACAGAGAUAGGGAAGACAUAUUCCAGUUUACAACACUUUUCUAUGAAGAUAAAUUUUAAUUCUGGGAAGCCAGGAGACUCUGGAAUUAUCUCCCAUUCACCAUCCUCUUCUUUGAUAAUAUGCUUCAAUUCACCACAUUUUUCUAUCUUAAGUGUCUGCAGUUGUGGUAGACUCUGAGCGAGGGACGAUGUGAAGAUAAAUGUCAGUUUGUCGAGAGAAUACAAAUUCAGAAGAGUAAGACUUUGGAGGCUGACAUGUCUGGUGGACCCCUUCCAUAUACAUUUAAGCUCAGGUAGCUCUCGCACCUGUAACUUUGUUAAAGAUGACAGCAGCGGCAGCUCCUUCUCCUCACUGCUUCCUUCAUCAGCAUCACCCAAUUCAAAUACCUCUUCCAAUGAUUUGCAGUCCUUUAUUUCCACACUCUUUAGAUUUUUCAGAGCUUGCAGCAAUUUUGCUGGAAACGGAGUGCGGACAUCCCCACAAUCCCUCACUUCUACAAAUUCUAAUCUUUGUAAGAAGCUGUUUUGCUGCCCAUGGCCAUGGGCAACCAUCUGAUCAGAGAACAAUAUUAUGUUUUUUAAACCCUUCACUCUCAUAAAAACAAUUUAUAUGAUGUAUAAAUAGAAAAAAAAAAUAGGAUUAAAUAUAAAGUACAUACUUGUAGCAGUGCCAACCAAUUACUCACUUCUUUCCACCCGUUAUCUCUGGUCCACUCUCUAUUAAUGCUUAUAUCUUCAGCUACUUGAGAUAUCUGUAAGCAAUUCAAGCAUGGAAUACACAUUCUAACUUGUGAAUCUUAUUAUUGAGCGAAACAAGAAACAAACACACUAAAAAGAGAGAUAAGAAAUCAAGUCAAAUCAGCAGCACCUCUGAUUGAGUACUCAUUGAACCAUCUGGUGUAAUAGCAAAUUUUGUGCUCAACUUUGCGCAUUCAUACACCUUCAACUUCUCCAAACAAGGGAAUAAGAAAUCACAGCAUCCGAAACUGAAGAAUAAAAUACUUGGUAAUUGUUCUAGUGUCAGCUCCUGCAGACAAGAGAGCACCAUCUCCUUCUCAACAGUUAUAGGUGCAGCUUGAUCAUCCUGCCCAAAUACUCCCAAAAAUUGAGACGCUUUUGUUAUUUUAAGUAUUUGGAGCUUUGGAAUACCUGAAGCCAUGGUUACUGGGAAGAGACUCUUUAACUUGUUGCAUUCUUCAACCUCAAUUUCACACAAACUAGGGAAGCAUAAAGAUAAGAGAUGAUCUCCUGACAACAUCUGAUCCUUUUCAUCAUCAUCCUCAGCAAUGAUUUGCUCCAAUUCCUCACAACUUGAUGUCUUUAGAACUUUCAGGUGCACUAGAUUAGCAAUCAUGUUGUAUGUGAAUACAUAUGUCAGUCUCUUACACCCAUUCACCUCCAAAAUAGUCAAAUUGCUCAGCACACGACCCUUCCAUAUAUACCUCAUGUCAGGCAAGAAGUUCAAGUAUAAUGUUUCCAAACUCCGGAGUGAAAGUUCAUGCCCACCUCUUCUAUCAGUUACAAAACUUACAACCUGAAUUCCAUCUUUUAUUCCUCCGCAUUCUCUAAUAUAUAUAUGUCUCAAAUCUGAAAGCCCCUGCAUCAAAAGAAAACUACUUUGGAACUAUAUUAUAACUUUGGUACCCCAAUUUGUUGGGUAUAAUUCCUAAUAAUUUUUGUGCACUUUGGAACCAAUUAUCCCCAAUACCUCAGCUAACUACUUAUCAACAAAAAGAUAUAAAUAGACAGGGCAAUAAGGCAUGGGAUAUGAAAUCAUAAGUUGCAGGACUAAACACAUACAACUCAAAUUAAGCUCAAUAUUGGCAGUUGAAGUUUUAUCAUCCUUCCCAAAUACUUCCAAUUUUAGGGAAGAGCCUCAAUUUCACUCAAAUAAAGAUUGAAAAUACAUGUCUCAGUUCAUUAUUUCUAACUUCGUAAGCCCUGCAUCAAGAGACCGCGAAUGAAGUAGUUAGAGAACUCCUUUUAAAUUCAGUGGAUGCAUUUAUCUCUACUUAAUUAGGUUUUAGAAAGUUGGAGGAAGAAGGAAGAAAUUUAAAGUUGACAAUUUAAAUGAAAAGGUACAAAAUUAGCAGAGAAUAUAAACGAAUGGUUAGAUUUAAAUGACGUACUUGAAGUUGUUCCAACAAAUUACCCAAUUCCUCAUGGCCAUGAAUGGUUAGAUUUUGCAGAGAAGGCAACUGGGCAGCAAAAUCCCUAUGACCAAAAAAGCUGUAAUUUGAUUCAGACCAAAGAAUCAACUCUCUUAGCUUAGGGAACUUGAUGAUGCCAUCUCUGGUGAGUGCAUCUCCUUCACCGUAAAAUAUUUGCUUUAAAUUGUCAGCUUUAUCAAUCUUCAUCUCUUCCAGGUUCUGAAGACUUGGAGACACAGAGAUAGGAAAGACAUAUUCAAGUUCAGCACAGGCAAAUAUAUAAAGAGUUUUUAAUUCUAGGAAGGCAAGAGACUCUGGAAUUAUUUCCCUUUCAUCAUCCUCCUCUCUUAGAACAUACUUCAAUUCACGACAAUUUCUUAUCUCAAGUGUUUCUAGCCGUCGUAGACUUUGAGCGAGGGACAGUGUGAAGAUAAAUGUCAGUUUGUGAAGACGGUUCAAAUUCAGAUGAAUAAGACUUUGUAGGCUGACAUGUCUGGUGGGCCCCUUCCAUAUACAUUUGAGCUCAGGUAACAUUUCCAGCUCCAACCUUGUUAAAGAUGACAGCAGCGGCAACUCCUCCUCGACAUUGCUUUCAUCAUCCAAUUCAAAUACCUCUUCUAAUGAUUUGCAGCCAUUAAUUUUCACACUCCUUAAAUUUUUCAAAACUUGCAGCACUUUUGAUGGAAAAGGAGUACAGAUAUCCCCACAAUGCCACACUUCUACAAAUUCCAAUCUCUGGAAGAAGCCGUUUUGCUGCUCAUGAUCAGAAAACAAUACUAUAUUUUUUAAACCCUUCACUCUCCUAAAAACAAUUUGAGACACAGUAGGAAAUAACUGCUCCAAUAUCUCUGCAUUUAAGGAUGUGGCGCUUGUAUUAUCCAAAUGUAAUCUUGUCGAGGUUGGGUAUCCUACUGGAUCCCUUAUAAAUGGAUUAUAAUUCCCUAAAAUUAUAUCAUAUUUGAACACUCUGGGAAAAACAAAAUCUCUGGGAAUGCUUUCAACCUCUGGUAUCCUCAAUGAUAAUACAGCUAAAUUAGACAACGAAUUUAGUUCUGUUAGGCUUGCGUUCAUUCCUCCUGUGCUGUCACAUCCAUCAACAUCCCACCCCCCAAAGCUCUUUUUCCCGAUCAGCAGCUCUUCUAACUUCCACAACCUUCCAAUCAAAUUCACAGGGAUCCUUCUUAGCCUUUGACAACCUGUCACAUCCAGCAACCUUAACUCCUUGAGUUCUCCUAUUUCAUCAGGUAAUUCUUCGAUGGAUAAGCACCACAUAAGACCAAGAAUCUUAAGUCCCUGCAGCUUUCUCAACCAAAUGAGGUCCUUGCAUUCGCACUCCAUCAACACCAUCGAUUGAAGUUUCGUUGAGAGUUCGAGUGAUUGCAAUGACAAACACCCUCCCUUCACAGACAAAACUUCAAUUUCUUUCAUCCCUUCAAAAAACCUCUCUGGAACAUUCAAACCAUCAUCAACUUCUAAUAAUAGAACUUUGAGCUGUGGACAUACCAAUCCUUCAGGAAGUUCUGCUAGUUUAUUGCCCAUUAACGAAAUUGUGGUAAAACCUUCAAAGCUUUCAUUGCCAAUGGGCCACUUCUGCAACCCAACGCCAGCCUUUACCAUGAAUCCAUUUUCUGAUGAUGCUAUCUGAAUAGCAACAUCACGAACCAAGUCAUGCAUUUUCACAUGUUCUUCAGUUUCACUGCCCAACAACAUGCCACAGUCUUCGAGGUCUUCGAUUGCCACAUAAACUUGUACCCUUGCAUCUUCAAUGGGCUCCCCAUCUUGAUGUAACCCAUAACCAAUUGCAUAUCUCGUCAAGUCCUCAAUUGGAAUGUCAUAAUCUUCUGGAAAUAAACUGCAUAGCAAGAAACAUAACUUGGUUUUCUCGAACUUCAAAUAAUCAUAGCUCAACUUAAGACAUGUAAAAGCAUUCUUUUGUUCGUCAAUUUGUUCCAUGAGCGAAAAUUGAGAGUCUUUGAGCUGUUUAGACGCUACUUCCCACUCAACUUUAGAUUUAUUUCUUAGAACCUUUCCCACUGUCACAAGUGCUAUAGGCAAGCCUUUGCAUUCUCUCGCAACCUCCAUUGCCACUGUGUUCAAGGUAGAGUCCCCAUCAUCUAAACCUGCAUUGAUUCUGAAUAAAUCCCAUGCUUCUUUUUCAGAAAAGAGACCUAAAAACACUUUUUUCUGGCACUUCAUAUAAAAACAUAUGUCUCGAAGACGUGUUGUUAGAAGAAUUUUACAACCCCUGUGAUAAUCACCAAAUGGGAUCCCUAUUUCUUUCAAAUCAAUAUGUUUCCAAACAUCAUCCAGGAUUAUUAGCAUCUUCUUUCUCUGCAGUCUCUUCCAUAAUCGAUCUGCUCUCCCUUCUUUACUCUUUUCUUUAAUUUUCAAACCUAACAUAUCUGCCAGUCGAUCCUGGAUGUCUGUGGCAUUUGGAUUCUGCGACACCGUAGCCAUCAAAACUUCAUCAAACAGCUGCAACUCUUUGGCUCUCCUGCCUACUUCUUUCACCAGGGUGGUUUUACCCACCCCUCCCAUGCCGUACAGUCCGAUCAUAUUGACGUUGUCAUCUUUGAGAGCUUUCAUAAUCUGUUCCAAAGCUUCUUUUGACGAUUCUGAGGGCCUGAAAUCCUUUGAUGGAAGAAAUUCUAUGGGCUCAGGAUGAGCUCUGUGGGACACUUUUGUAGGCUUUUUUUCUAAAUGUUCUCUGAAAGUCUCCGACUUCUUGGCCAGUACCUUGCUUAACUUGAAUUGUCGCUUGCAGUUUGGACACCAAGUGAAGCAUUUGCCAUUUUUUCCUAUUUCAUGUACAAUUUCUUCAGCAUCUACCAGCCACUUUUCGACAUCUUUGUAAAUUUCUUCAGCAUUCCUUUCAGCAGCUUCGACAUCGUCUUGCAGACGUUCUUUUUCCGAGACCAGCUUCUCCUGUUGUUGUUCGAAUUCCUUAACAAAAGUGUUGAAACAGAACAUGUAACGGAACUGCCUUCCUACUGGUUCCACCAUGAGUUCUGCUAUCUUAGAUAUAAUGGAUCCACCCACACUUUCGAUAGCCAUUUUCCACCAGUCUGAAAUCAGAGAAAUGAGGAUACAGGACGUGAGAGUGAGUCACUACAAGCAGGCGCAGAGAGAAUGGGAAUAGGAAUUUCAUUACCUUAACUUGAGAAAAUAUGUGCGGAAAGUACUGAGAGCUCAAUGAAAUAGCGGGAGGAAGAAAAGGAGAAGGCCUUUAGCUCUGUAUGGAAUCCAGCUUCAAAAGCAACAAGGCAAGGUAUAAAAUUCUAGCUGACACUUGUGAGUUAAAGCAGUAAUUCCCAUUAAAAUGCAUUUUGAUGACAUAAUUAAGAUCAAAUAGAGACAGGAAAGGCACGGUUGAGAUAAGUAGAGGGAGAGGUUGUUGGAGGCAGAAAAGGAAAGACUACGAUAAUAUUUUUCUCUAUAUUUUGAGUUUUAGUUGUUAAUAGCCAUGCUCUUGCAAAUAAGGCAGGAAAUAGCGUGUUUGUUUUUUAUUUUUUAAAGUAUUUUUUUAAAAAAAUAAUUUUUUGUAUUCUAAAUUAAUUUUUUAUUUUUUAUAUUGCUAUAAAAAUAUUUUUUAACAAAUAACAAAAUAUUAUUUUAAUAUAUAUUUUUAAAAUAAAUAUAUUUAAAAAAACUACUACUUAUUCAAACACUUAAAAUAAAAAUCUUAAAAUCACAGCGAUGAAUAAAAGGAGAAAAAGGAAUGGGAUAAGAAGGAAGAAAAAUACUAUUUGUUUUUUUACUGUAUCAGAGUGGUUUUUAUAUUAUAUUUUUAAUAUUUCUUGUUAUUAUAUAUAUAUAUAUAAUAUUUUAAUAUGGUUUUAAAUAAAAAAACUAUUAACAAAAUAUGUGUCACAAUACUAAAUUAUACUAUAAAUUAAAAGAUAAAGAGCUUUCUGUUUAUUACUAUUUACCGAGACUUAUUUUAUUGUGGAUGUGGAUAUUAAUAGUGAAUAUUUUUAAAAUUUUCAAUUUGGUAUUUGAAUUAUUAUUUUUUUGCAUAAUUGAAUCUCUUCAUGCUCAAAUUAAAACUCAAUUGCAUUUUUUUUAAGGAUAAGAGUUGAAUUAUAAGAUAGGUGACUAAAAUGAAAAACUCAGUAAAAAUAUGUGGCGACACUGUAAUUGUUUGCAAAGUUCAUUUUAGUCCUGUAUCUUUUAAGAUGUCCCAAUAAUUUCUCAACAUUACAUUUUAUCUAGAAUCUCUGAUUAUGCUCUAGGGACUAUAUUGAAAUUUUCAUAAAUUGAGAAAUCAAACUAAAAUUUCAUCACCUUCAAUCUCAAACCUAGAAUUUUCACAUAUCACCUGCUGAUAUAACAAAAUUUCGAACUCAAAUUCACCAUUUAAACAACCCAUAACUCAAAAUCAUUAUCUUUACUUAAAAACUUUUAAAAUCAACUAAAUAACUCAUUGUCCAUAACAAUGAACACAUAAUAUUCAAAUCAAUUCAUCAAUCAAACCCAAAACACAAUCUUCAAAACCCUAAUAUUCAACAAAACAGAAAAUUAAAGCUAAGAAAAACACAUUUAUCCACAUCAAAGUGUAAAUAUUCUUACAUUUUAAUUUAUUUUCUCUAACUCUCUUAUCCUUUCUUUAUCUUUUCCUAGUUUUUCUUUUUUUUCUUUCGCUCUCACGGUCCUCUAUAAGAUUUCAGAUCUAUCUUUUUUAUUAUUAUUUAUAUUUUGAACUCUUUAUUCAAUUACUACAAUACCGUUCAUUCAUUUAUACCUACUUCUAAGCCUCCAUGGGUUUUGUUGUCUUUUUCUAUUCUUUUUUAUUUUCAAAUCAUUACAAUAAAAUUGUUUUCUUUUCAUUAAGCUGCUAAUUUAUGCAGCUUUAGCUCUUGUUCUCUUUUCAUGUUUAGCAACUCUGAUCUGUUCCUUUUCUUUACAUGAUAUAAGGACAGGUUCUUACCUCUUGAAGUCUGCUGGAUAAACCUAUAAGCAGAAGAUCCUGAAGCGAUCCCAAAUCACAGCUUCAAUCCCCACCGCAACCAAUCUCCUCUUUCCCGUAGUCUGUCGUCCUCAAUUGGGAAAUGAUCUCAAAAAAUCACUUGAUGCAACAAGUAGGGUAGAGAAAUAUAAGACUUCAACAAAGAAUCAAACUCAAAAAAGUUGAAGUAAUUGUCUAUGAGAAGCAUUUCUGUGUCACACACUCAAGUAAUAUGAUUGACCUAUUACAUUAUACAAAUUAAUAAUAAUAAUAAUAAUAAUAAUAAUAAAAGAACUAGAUUUUUGAUGGCAUCCAGAGUGCUGUUAGUUUCAAACAAAGAGGCUUGUGCAUGCGGUGUUACGCUGUUCAUGUACGCUAAGAUCUCCUAUGAAUACAAUUGUAUAAUCAUACAAUUGUAUUAGUUUUAUUAAGCUGUUAAUUUAUGCAGCUUUAGCUCAUGUUCUCUCUUCUUGUCUUGCUAUUCUGAUUUUAUCUUUUUCUUUGCAUGAUAUAAGAGCAGGUUCUUACCUCUUGAAGUCUGCUUCAAUGCCCGUAGUCGUCCUCAAUUGGGAAAUGAUCCAAAAUCAACAACUGGUCCGGAGAUAGUUUGUGUGAAAAGAAACGGCUGAAAGAUGAAAUGUGAAGGUUAUGGUGAGAAAUUAGAUGACAAACUUACUUUGUCCUACUAAUGCUUUUGCUUUCAUUGUUUCGAAAGUUAAAGAGACAUAAACAUAAUCAUUUCCUUCCUUCUACUUUCCACAAUGUCUAAUUUAUACAUCAAAAAAUGGCAGUUUUUCUUUUCCUUUCUUUUUAAAAUCUUAUGCCUAAUUGGGUGAGGAAAUUAGUGGAGCAUUAGAGUUUUGAAAAGACAACAAAAAGAAGCAAUGUCUCAUCUUUUGAUAUGGUGGUACAAGAUACACCAUGGUAUGGUGGUCUUGCAAGAAAUGUCUUAGCUUUUGAUAUGGUGGUCUUCUUCCAUGAUCAGUUUUCGAAAGAUUCGAGUCUCCGUUCUAGUUCAGGUUGGAAGCUAGGCCGAAAGCUAAGAUUCUUUUAUUAGUGGUUGGUGUGGAUGAGUAUUGCAAGAAUGGACUCUAAGGGUCAGCUAAUCCGCAUAAUUAAACUACUAGGAAAUUCAAGGAAAGUUAACAAUAGUAUUGAUUCGAUCAAGUAAGGGGAUCCGGUGUCUAGAGAGGACCUUGCCGUUAAGGAAAUAACCAUAAAAACUAUGGAGCCCACUAUUUAUUAAUCCAUUUCUAUUUACUACUUAUUACUAUUUAUUUAUUUUUAUUAAUUUACUAUAUUUUUGUUUGUGUACCAAUAAAAUUUGAGAUUCCUUUAAUUUUUUAGGUGCAUGGUCUAGUCUAUUGGCUGCAUGUACAAAAUCAAUUCAAGGGUGUGUAUCCUUAACUAUCAGGCUAACCUUUACAGGCUUAGCUCGCAAUCGAUAAUUAAUUUUUAAUGAAUUCAAUUUUUAUUUAAAAUAAGGAAAAAGACAUUGGUGAAUAAAUAGUUUCCUUCCUAUUAUAAUUGUUAGACCUUACCAAAGGGCUAAUUUAGAAAAAGACUAACUUAUAGGUCUAACAAUUAAAGAAAAAAGUAUAUUUAGACCUUCCUAUUAUUGGUCAACUUGUGAUUAAGUAGAUCAAUUUAAAUUAAUUAUUUUUAUUAAAAUGAUAAUGUUUUGUUUUUUCUCUUGAUAUUAAUUUGGCUAAUUUUUAUCAAAUCAAUAUUUUAUGUUCAAUCUAGCAUACAGGUUUAACAAAUAUGCUUCGCACUUGCAGCCGUGGUUUGCUGUGGGCAUUUGAUAAUUGGGAGAGGCUUUAGUUUCGUACCUGUUGAUCUGCUUCAUAUACACUUGGACCUCUUAUUUUAUAUUUUAUAUUGGUUGGAUCCAAACUUAAUCCAACACAAAAUUAACAUAUUUAUUAUUUAUUUAAGAUAAAUGAUAUGGCUUUAACAUAUUAGCGUACACUUAAUAUGAUUAAAUUUAAUUUUAAUUAAUUAACAUCUCACCGUAAUAAAUUUACCAUUUGCAACCAAAAAACAGUCGACACCUUAUUAAUAUAAUCAAUAUAGUAGAAAAUUAUAGUGAUUUAAAACAAUUCAUUAAAAUGUUUGUAAAUGUUUUUAUUUUGUGACCACGGUUCUUGUGUUAUCUUUUAUGUAUUGUCAUUGUCGUACAUGGAAGCAUCAUAUGGGGGUCAUUUGGAGUCGCUACCUAGUUGUUUAGUUUAACAUCACUAAAAAAUCUAGGUAUACUAGUCCUGUUAGAGAUUCGAGAGUAAAUAACUAGUUAUGGCUAAAAAAUAUAUUAACACUCCUAACACACCCUAUCCAGGUAAGUUCCUUUGUGAUUAGAUGUGGUUUAGAGAUUUUGAUGGUUUUUUGAUAUAUCCAUGGUUUAGGAUUGGGAUUUGCUUGUAUGGAUAAAUUUGGUGUUUAAUAAUUUAGUAUGGACUCUUGUACCCAGAUAAAUUCUUAUAAAAAAAAGUUCUUUGUAAUGUGUGUAUUAUGGUAAAAAUUUCCCUCAAUAAAAAUUCAUGAAUAUUUAGAAUAACUUUGAGGAUUUUCUUAUCAACUCCAAUAUUUCAAAUAUCAGCUUCACUUAUAGGUAUCUUUUUAUAUCAAGAUUUUUAACCAUUAAUUCUCAUUAAUUAAAAAAUAGUGGUCUAUUAAAAUAUUGACCAAAUUCACAUGAAUUUAAUAAACUAGUUAUUAAAUUCUAAAAUGCAUAUUAAUAUAUAAUAUUUUAAUUUGUUUUUAAAUAAAGAAUAUUUUAAAAAAGUAUGGGCCACAAUACCAAAGUAUAGUAUAAAUUAAAAGAGAAAGGAGUUUUCUCUUCCUCACUAUUCACUUAUAUUCAUUUCACUAUGGAUAUUAAUAGUGAAUUUUUUGAAAAUUUUCAAUUUGAUACUUAAUUUUAACAAUUGAGCUUUUUUAAAUCCAAAUUAAAGCCUAAUUGCAUAUUUUUUCAAGGAUGAUGGUUGAAUUGAAAGACAUAGGACUGAAGUGAAAAACUCGACUAAAAUAAGUCGUGGCUUUGCAAUUUGAUUGCAAAGUUCAUUUUAGCCCCUAUAAAUUUUCAUCAUUGUAUUUUCAUACCAAACUUUAUUUUUUUCUAUUUUUUAUUUUUUUUGUAGGAGAGAGAGGAUCACCAUAUUUCGUUGUGGAGAGAGAAAGUUGCUGGGGAUUUUGGCCACCAAUUUUCUAGUUGGUUUUGGUUAAAAUAGGCUGAAAACAGGUUGUGGCUUACAACUGAGUUUUUUACUAAAUUAGUCAAUGUUUUUUUUAGUUUUUCUUUUUUAAAAAACAAUUCAACAAGAGAAAAGACUUGUAAAAAUAUAGAAUUACAUAAAGAAACUCAACAAAAAAUCAGACUCAAGCAAUUAAAAAUAAUUUUCUAUGAUAACCAUCUCUGUAUCACACAUUCAGGUAAAUAUGAUUGACCUAUAACAUAAAUAAAGCCCUGCAAACAAUUAAAUUAUGCUUCAAAAGCAACAAGACAAGGUAUAAAGUAUACCAACAAAAAUAGUUUACUAACUGACACUUGUGAGUUAAAGCAGUAAUUCCCAUUAAAAAUGCAUUUUGAUGUCAUAAUUAAAAUAAUAUAUAGACAAUGACAAAAUAAAAUAAUAAUAAUAAAAUAAUGUGUAAAAGAAACGAAUGAAAGAUUCAGAUAAUCACUUAGACAUGUAAAAUUACUCAACUGGCAAAAAGAAACGAAUGAAAGGUUCGGUAAUCACUUUUAGACUUCUCCACGGAUGAUACCAGCUCGCUUCCACCAACAAAUAUAAUUAACCUAAGCUAUGAUAGGUCAAAGUUCUUUUUAGUUUUCUUCUUAAUUUUUUUUUUUUAAAAAAACAGAUCAACAAGAGAAAAGACUUGCAAAAAAGUAGAAUUACGAAACUCAAAAAAAGAAUCAAACUGAAGCAAUUAAAAAUAAUAGAAUAUGAUGACCAUCUCUUAUCACACAUUCAGGUAACAUGAUUGACCUAUAACAAUAUUAAAAAAACAAAAACAAAAAGCUAAUAGAUGGUCGGCACGUGUUCAACUUUAUCUACCUUAAGGAAAGGAUAGAAAGUGGGAGAGAGAGAGGUUAAAAGGCUUAAAAAAAGAAAAGAGCAGGAAAGACAGAAAUAAAAGAAAGGUUGAGAUAAGAGAGGGACGUGGAAAUAGAAGGAGAGGCUGAGGGAGGCAAAACGGAAGAAGACAUUGGAAGAUCGGAGGAGAGUAGAGAAAACAAUAUGAAUAUGUGAUGCUCGUUUAUCUAUUUGAUUGGGAUUUUUUUGUGCCUUUGAUAAAAAUACUCUGUUUUUUUUUUUAUCUCUUUGAUUGGGAUUUUUUUGUGUCUCUUUUAUUUGGAAUUUCUUUGGACACUUUAAUAAUAUAAUAACAAAGAAAAUUAAAAUAUUGGUGAAAUUAUUGUUCAUUCAAACAUAAAUUUACUGUGAACUACAGUAGUAUUUUUUUUCAUACUCUUCCAAAUAAUGCAGGAAAUGAGGACCUGAAAUGACAGCAGCGAAUAACGUGUUUGUUCUUGUUUCUUCUAAAGUAUUUAAAAAAAACAAUUAAAUUAAAUUUUAAUUUUAUUUCAAAUUAAUUUUUGAAAAAACUAAUUUGAAAAUUAGUAUGAAAAAAAAGGAUAAUAGAGUAGGUGUCCAAAUCAAAACACAUAAAUAUAGGACAAAAACAGGGAGAGAGGCUCUUUGUUUUUUUAACUGUAUUGGUUUAUAGUGUUUUAUGAAUAUUUUAGAUAAAAAAUAGGUUAAAAGCAAGUUUUUAAAUAAAAAAUCAAGCUUUAUUAUUUUAUAUAAUUCAAAUAAAAUCAAUUUAUUUAAUUGUUUAGAAUUAUAACUCAAGUUAUUUAACGUCUUUUUAGAAAAAAAAAAAAAAAACACUUGUAACAUAGUGCAGUACAAACAGAAGAGACAUAACCAUAGUGGCAAAAAUCUUAAAGGGUUCUAAACUUCUAAAUUAUUUCUGUUACUUUCCCUCAAUUUUCUAGACAAGCAAAAGGAGCUAAACUUAUUCCCGACCAAAACGUCAAGAAUUUCAGUAGAACAAAAGAAGAGAUUAUUACUUGACCAAAAACAAGCAGUCAUCACCCAAAGAAACCGAGUCAAUGAGAGAAAAAGAGUGAUAGCUAGAAAACAAUCAACAGAUCCAAGAAUUUUCUGUAUGGUUUCCAAGAAAAUGAAACGAAACAAAGAUAGACAAAGAUAGUUCGAGGAAGUGGGCAGCCUUUUUUCUGCUGUUCACGCAGACUAAGAACUCCUACCAUCGUAAAAUCAUAUAAUUAAAACACAACAAUAAAACGCAGCCUUUUUUCUGCUGUUCACGCAGACUAAGAACUCCUACCAUCGUAAAAUCAUAUAAUUAAAACACAACAAUAAAAAAGUAAUGAGCUGCUAAUUAUGUGCGAAAACCAGAGAAUACAGAACGUGAGAGUGAGUCAUUGUUGCAAGUAAAAGAGGCGCAGAGAGAAUGGGAAUAGGAAUUUCAUUACCUUAACUUGAGAAAAUAUGUGCGAAAAGCAGUGGUACUGAUUGCUCAAUGAAAAUAUGUGCGAAAAGCAGUAGUACUGAUUCAACAGCAACAAGGCAAGGUCUAAGCAUUUCGAUGACAUAAUUAAGAUAAUAUGUGCGAAAAGCAGUGGUACUGAUUGCUCAAUGAAAUGGAGAAGGCCUUUAGCUCUCUAUGGAAUCCAGCUUCAAAAGCAACAAGGCAAGGUCUAAGCAUUUUGAAGACAUAAUUAAGAUAACAUGCGUAGUAUAUAACAAAGAGACAGUGACAAAGAAAUGAAGAAAAAAAAUGCGUACAAGUACUCACCUAGCAAAGAAAGAAACGGAUGAAAGGUUCAGGAUAAUCACUUAGACGUCUCCAUGGAUGAUACCAGCUUGCUUCCAACAACAAAUAUAAUUAAUCUAAGCUAUGAUCGGUCAAUGUUUUUUUUAGUUUUUUUCUCUUUUUAAAAAAAAAAAACAGAUCAUCAAGGGAAAAGACUUGCAAAGAAGUAGAAUUAAUGGAACGAACACAACAAAGAAUCAAACUCAAGCAAUUAAAAGUAAUUGUCUAUGAGUACCAUCUGUGUCAUACACUCAAGUGAGGAGAGAAAAGAAGGAAAAAAAAAGGAAAGGGACAGGGAAGGCAGAAAGUAAGGUCACGUAGGGCUAGUCUUGUAGAAAGUUUGAAAAAUAGCACGAAAGAAGAGGAUAAUAGUAUAACAUUUAAUUUUACUAUAUUGAAAAUAUGUUGACCAAUAGAAUCCCCGCCUCAGCCAACCCCAAAUCUGUCUAUCAUCGUGUAAUAUUGAUUAUUACAUUAUGCGGUUUCCAGCUAAUGAUAGGAUAUAAAAUAUUUUUUUAUAUUCUAAAAUAAUUUUUUUAUUAUAUUAAAAAUAAUUUUUUAAAAAUAAAAAAAUAUUAUUUUAACAUAUUUUGAAGAAAAGCUAAAAGAACUAUGUUUAUGAGAAAGGACCAGGUAAUCCAAGGAACCAAUAGAUUAUCGCCACAUGUUCAACCUUAUCUCCACAUGUUCAACCUUAUAUUUUAUUGUGACAUAUUCCCGUUUGCUAUUGUUGCCUCUCUCUUUUUCCUUUUUUUCCAUAUGAUUCAAAUAAAAUUAGCUUAUUUAGUUGGUCAGGGCUAUAACCGAAGUUAUUUAAUGUCUUUUUCAAAAAAAAUUUUUUUUUUUUAAUAUAAUAGUGAUAUUUGUGUUAAAGGAUUUACUAGUAGUGAGUUUGAAGUUUACUAUUAUGAUAAAUUAGAAAAAAUCGUUGAACUGCAAUACCAUAACAAGUAUAAUAAAAUGUUUUUAUUCAAAUGUUUUUUGAUUCUCCAAAAUUUUCUUCAAUGUUAUUUUUAUUUCUAUUUUGAUUCAUAAAAAAAAAUUAAGAAAAAAAAUUUAAAAUUUAAAAAUAUAUUUUUCUCAGAUCAACCGUAUUUUUCAUGAAAAAUAAACCUAUCGGGUCAAUAUGGGUAAACUAUGUUGACUGGGGUAAAAAUUGAAUUUCAAGCUACUUUGAGUCAAAACUAUUAUUUUUUAUCAAAACUCAGUCAGUUGGGUUGAUAUCAAUUGAAAAAUAUUUUUUGAUGUUUGAAAUUAUUAUUUUAGUAAUUAAAACUGAUUUUUAGCGGUUGAGAGGUGUUUUUUUUAAUAUUGGUUUAAGUUUUUAGUUUUUUAUAUAUAUAACAAAUCAAUAACACAAAGUUUUAUUAAAGUAGUUGGUGCAGCUGGGACAGGUAAAAAAAUUUCAUCAGGACAACGCCGUGUCCCCUAGUUAUAAAAUUUUGUGUCCCCUCAGUAUCAACUAUAAAAGGCAGUGAAAAAAGAAAAGUGAACAAUUCAAAAAAAUAUCAAAUGAUCUAAUACGAUUUAUUACGCUAGAUAAAAACUCAAAUUCAUCUCAGUUCUUAACCAAAUCUGACUUUGGAUCUAAUUUUACCACAUCACUAAGGUGCACAAGAUUUUUGAUACACCCAGUGACAUGAUAAAAUUAGAUCCAAGGUCAGAUUUGGUUAAGGAUCGAUGAAGAUGGAUUUGGGUUUUCAUCUUGUGACAAGCUCUUUUAAAGGACGAUACCAAUUUAUUUAGAUUUUGGACCAAUUUUCAAAAAGCCAACUGAAUUUGACUUUGACAAAUUAUUUUAUAAUUGUUUAUUGGUUUAAAAUCUAAAAUUACAAUUUAGAAAGUCUCAAAUUACUUUUAGAUAGAAAUGAUUUGAUAUCAACCAAAGUUGACUUGCUUCUCAAGAAGUUUCCUGUCCAUAAACAGUUCCGACAGAGUCGAGUAAUGUGCCUGAUGAUCGAGUAAGGUGCCUGAUGAAUACUAAUCCAAAACUGAACCAUUCCGUGCAAAGCAGACUUGACAAGCUCAAGCCUCCCGACAUAGGUAAGAUUCUUUCCCAUCCAGCCAUGAAUGCCCGCUUCAAGCUUGUGUAGCAAGGGAGACUACUGACUAGCUAAAAGCCUUGAGAGUUAUAUUUAGAUUUCUUUUUCUUUAUCUUGCUAAAAAAAGUACAUCUAGCUCGAUAACUUUUCUUCAAGCCAUGAAUUUGUUGUUUAUAAGAAAUUGAAAAUGAGAAUAUCAGAAAUGAAGCAAAUAAAAAAUCAAUUUUAAAAAAAAAAAAAUGAUGUCAACUUUGCCUUUUGAUCUUUCAAUGCUGUAUUAAUUGAAAUUUGAAGUUGGUAAUUUUAUAUGAGCAUCUAGAACUAAAUAAAAAACUACACCAUUGGUUUGGUGCUCGACUUCACAAAAAAAAAAUCAAUUAUAUUGUUUAAGAAAAAAUAAAAAUAAAAAGACCAAAAUUGAAACAUGAAAAUAAAAAUAAAAAUAGGAGACCUUAAAAAAACAAAUUGUGUCAACGCCUCCAUGCCUUGUAAUUUUGAUAAAUUUUCUUUGUGGCCCUUUUAGUUUAGAAAUGAAAUUUUUUUAUACAAAACUUUAUUUUACUUGUAUUUUAAUUCUUGAGAUUGAGAAAGAAAAGAGAAAUUCAUCUAAAAAUUACAAAGAAAAGAGAAAACUUGCGAAAGCCAGCAAGUUAUCUACUCAAAAAAACCAUUCAACAUAAGAUUGCUCUGCUAGGAAACUUUUGAACAAAUAGUACAGCAUCAAGUCUCAGUCAUCUGGAGAUUUGAAUGCCCAAAUAUAUUCACAUGCUCAUACAAUAACAUUUUUAAUAAUGCAUUAUGCAAUAGAAACAGAACAUCAAAUUGACAGAGAAAACAUGCUGAUGCAGAAAAUACUCAAGUCGUAGAAAGGAGAAUGCAUGAAAGUCCACACAUUAAACAUUAUGUCUUUUAUUUUUGAAGGUUCACACAAUUGAAAAGGAACACAAAUGGGCACGCAAACAUACGCCCUUACUUCUAGAGGCUUGUACGAUAAUGGGCAAGCAACAUUAUUUUUUUGAGGUUCGCACAGUAAUGACUAAAUACACAACAUUACAUUACUCCUGUGCUGUAAACAAUUCUUCUAACUUCUUCAGCAAACACAUAGAUAGAUAAGUCGAAAUCUUCUAAGGUAAAUAAUCGUCACAAUGUGAAGCUAAUUUGUAUCCCAUUGCCAAUGGAACAGUUGGAAUUAUUUCCCACCAAUCUAAAACAUAUUCGUAGCACCAACCUUGAAAUCAUGUAACAACUAACCACCAUUCAACAUGAGAUUGUUCUGCUAGGAAAAGAUGACAUCAAACUUUUGAACAAAUAGUACAGCAUCAAGUCCAAAUAUAUUCACAGCUCAAAGACAUGAGUCUCCAUCUUCUUUCCACCCGUUAUUUCUGGUCCACUCUCUAUUAAUGCUUGAAUCUUCAGCUACUUCAGAUACCUGUAAACCAAUUCAAGCAUGGCAUGCUCAUUUUAACUUGUAAAUCAUAUUAUUGAGCGAAACAAGAAACAAACACACUAAAAGAGAGGCAAGAAAUCAAGUCAAAUCAGCAGCACCUCUGAUUGAGCACUCAUUGAACCAUCUCGUGUAGUAGCAAAUUUUGUGCUCAGCUUUGGACAUUGAUGGACCUUCAACUUCCCCAAACGAGGGAAUAAGAAAUCACAGGAUCCAAAACUAAAACAGACAAUACUUGAUAAUUGUUCUAGCGACAGCUCCCACAGAUUAGGAAGCACCAUCUCCUUCUCAACGUUGACAGGUGAAGCAUGAUCUUCCUGCCCAAAUACUCCCAAUAAUUGAGAGGCUUCACUUACUUCUAGUGUUCGCAGCUUUGGGAGACCUGAAGCCAUGGCUACUGGGAAGAGACUCUUCAACUUGUUGCAUUCUCUAAUCUCAAUUUCACACAAAUUGGGGAAGCAUAAAGAUUGAAGAUGAUCUCCU
rnacentral:lncRNA from 1 species